GUUCUAAUUUAUCCACUAAAAAUCGAAAGCAAAGAAAAGUAAGCAAAAGAUCUAAUCUGUUAACCAGAAGGAAACUAGAUAUAGAGACAUGAUUGAUUACUUAUCAGGGGAAAGAUUGACAAUCGAGCUUUAAAAUCCUCAACUACUACAUAUUUGUAUUCCUUAUAUCUAGUAGAAAGAUAUGUACAUAUAAGAGUUUUUACAAGUUCUUUUUAAUUUUAGUUUAAUCUUCUUUAAAGCUCCCUGGAAACAUGAGGAAUUAAUGUUUAGUUAGGACCCCAGCAACUCAAGUACAUGACAGUCCUGAGAGACUCCUCAGCCUGCUUGAGCCUUUCGUUCUUGGCAGCUUUGAAAGCCCCCGAAUCAACUGUGUUGGAGAAACGCCUUGUUAGCUUGGAGGAAGAAGAAGAAGAAGAAGAAGAAGAAGCAGCAGAAUCUUUGAGAGACCUUAGAUUAGAUUCACACUUUGAUGCUUGGUCUUUCAUCCCCUGCAACACCCUCAUCCCCGCCUGGUAAAAUACCCUGCUAGCGUACCUCAAGCUCAUAAAUAACCAAAAUUCUCAAACAACUUUUUGAUGAAAAUUACAAGGAAAUUACAACAAGUUUGAAGUAUAUGGAGAAGGUGGUUAGGUGUAUAUAUAGGGAGAGAAGGGAUUUGAUUCAAAGAUUGUCUAGGAAAACAACCGGCUUUGGUAACUUCAGUGGACCUUUUUCGCAAGCGGAAAAAGCAGGGAAAUUUUAUUUUAUCAGGGGAAAGUGGGGACCUGAUUCUAUUAUAUGGAUGGAUGACGCGUCUAAAUUUUAUUUACUUACAAGACAUGAAGAUUCCAGAUAAGUAGAUAAGGACAAGCCAAUGCAUACGUUAGAUUUUUGAAGUUUCUCAGGCGGGUUUUAUUCGCGAUUCUGGCUAAAGAUAUUUUUUGCUGAUAAUGAUGCUGACGACAAAUCGUGAUUUGUUUUAGUAACGGUUGACCAAAAAAAUACAUUAUUUCUACUACCAGCUAUAAACUUAAACAGCUAGGACUUUGAUGUUAAAUUUGAUUAUCAAUUUAUUAAUAAUAAUAAUAAUAAUAAUAAUAGAGGCAAGCAAAAAUUUAGUAUUAAAAACUUUAAUUUAAUGUAGAUGUUCCUUUUAUUUUGUGCUUGGCAGGAGUUACAUGCAAGAUGCAUUUUCUUCAUUAGAUAGGUGCAUAAUGUAUCACGCUUAAAUCUCGAUUAAAUAGUGAUAUAAACAAAAAAGACAUUCCAUUUCUUCACUAAUGGGGUUUAAAUACAUCAAUAAAAGUGAAAAAAAAUUUACUUUUCUAAAAAAAAAUUCAUGAAAGUGAUAUACAGUAAGUUAAAUUUUAAAUUAUAACAUUUAAAAUUUUUUAUACUAUGAUUUUAUUUAAAAACCUAUUAUUCAAAAAAAUAUUUUUAUUUUAAUUAAAAAAUAAAAUAUUUUUAACCGCAUUAUAAAAAAAGUAUUUUUUUUUUUAAGAAAAAAAAACUUGCCAUGCUAUUACAUUACGCAAAGCCCAAACGAGAGAAAAUCCUGUGGCCCAGUUUAAUUUAAUCAGGGCCAUUUUAAGCCCAAAUUUUAUCUUAUUAUCCAUUCUGCCCACCCACACAGCUCAGCCAAUGGCAGCCGAAGGACCGUUGAAUUGAAUUCAUUCCCAUUUUCCUUCCACUCAAUAGCCACCAACUAAUCACAUUUUCUCCGCCGUUGAUUUCACUUCAACAACCACCAUGAUUCCCGCCAUGGAUCUUCGUCUCCUCCACUCUUCUCCCUGCUUCUCCGCCGUUCGAUUCCCUUCCCCUACACCUCUCUGCAGACGAUUGUUCAUAGUGAGGUCUCUUUUACUCUUUUCUAAAGUUUCAAUUCAAUUUGUUUUAUUUACUACAAAUAUUUAUUUUUCUCUAUUUGGCAAAAAAAUUCAGGUCGAGUCUUCCUUUUCCAAAUGAGAAAGCCAAGUACCACAAAGAACUUGAAGCGGCGGCGGAGGUGGUCGUGAGAGCUUGUCGUCUUUGCGUUGACGUAAGUUAAUUCGUUCAAAGAUUUGAAUCUCACCUCUUAUUCUUUAGUCAUUGCUUGAUUCAAUUGCUUGCAUUAAUUUCAAACGUAUUUUUCUUAACUUUUACGAUUUUUAUUUCUUAAGACUUUUUAUUUCCUCAUUUUCAAAUUACAGGUGCAAAGGUCUCUGUUCUCUGAUGAAGGACGAAUUAUCGAAAAGAAUGACCAAACUCCGGUCACAGUGGCUGAUUUUGGAGUCCAGGCUCUUGUUAGUUUAGGUACUUAUUUUAAUGCAUAAUAUUUAGAAUAAUUUUUGUUUGCUUUAUUGCAUAUUACUAGGAUUGGACAAAAAGUUUGAAUUUUGAAGUAGAUUUUGGUAUAUAGUUAAUUUUGAGCUUUCUCAAUUCUGAGUUGUGACUUUAAACUUCAUUGUACAUUCCCAAUGAAAGAUAUAUAAUUUAUGCUGUAGCAAGACACGUACUGACAAAUGAAAUGUUGCUUAAUUCUUGGUUAACAAGUAAGAAAGUUUAAACAGAUGAGAUAAUGAAACUUCACUUGUGUUUCUUCUUUACUUUCGGUGAUAGAGUUGAGUAAAUUGUUCCCUUCAAUUCCAUUGGUGGCGGAAGAGGACUCUGGUUUUUUACGUUCGAACAAUCUGGUUGAUCCUGUAGUAAGUGCAAUAUCUGAUAAAACGAGCUUUGAUGAGGAAUCACUGUCACAUGCUGAUGUGCUGGAAGCAAUUGACCGAGGGGGCAAGAAUUAUUUUGGUUUUGGAACAAAACCAGCCACAUAUUGGGUAUGCCUACAAUCUAAAUAAGCUUGUCUGUAUCAUGCUUGGAUGCAUACUUUAUUGACAUGGUUAAGUCAACAAACUUGAUGCAGAUACUGGAUCCAAUUGAUGGCACUCGAGGGUUUGUAAAAGGAAGUCAGGCCUUAUAUGUGGUAUGGUUUGCGUCCUGCUUCACUACACUUAAUCUUUUCAUUUGAAUUUUUGUCUUAGUGCCAUGAAACAUCUUGUAUAUUUAGUACAUGUAGCACUUACAAAAAACAAAGUGCCUUAUUAUUAUUGCCUUAUAGACCUGCAUUUGUUUAACAAAUCUUACUGAUAUGGGACAGGAUUCAAGAUAAUAAAUGAUAUUCUGUUGUACAUGAAUGAUGCAGUUGUUUAACAUUCAAAUGAAAAGUAUGGUAAUAUGCACGCUUAAAAAUUCAAAAAUAUUUAGUUAUAUAUAUACGCACAAUAGUUUCAAUCAUAAGUUGAACAUUUGCUUUUCUGAUUUAGUGUUGACAUUUUUUUAUGAUUGCACUGGUUGGUGUGUGUGUAUAAACCUUGUUAUUGCUGAUGUUAAAUGAAUGUGUAUUUGUUUAGCUUUUAGUGGUGUCCCACUAAGAUAUAAGCACAACCUUUAUUUGCAACCUUCUUGCCUGAUGGCACAUUCUGAACUUUCAGGUAGGUUUGUCUCUUGUAGUUGAAGGAGAGAUCAUGUUAGGUGUCAUGGGCUGCCCUAACUGGGUUGUGGAUACUUCUUACAAGUCUACCACUGAUGUCCAAGGUUAUAAAAACAGUUCACCUGGAUUGGGGAUCAUUAUGGUUGCUCAUGUUGGCUGUGGAACUUGGACAAAGAGAUUAAAGGAUAUUCUUGAUAGCUCAACUAAAAUUUCAUCUGACUGGACCAGAUGCUUGGUUGAUGGUUGUUGCUUGGUACCCAAAGCCCGCUUCUGUAUUCCAGAGAGUCAAACAUGGGAGUCAUUGCCAUUAUCAAUUUUGUAUGAAGCAAGAACUGAUGAUGAUGAUAUUGGGGAUAAGGAAAUUCGUCUUUUGCCCACAUGUUGCGGAAGGUUUGAUGUUUUUCUAUGGCUAUUGCAAUGCUUUCCUACUUGUAUGAUUCUCCAUUUAGCUAUCACUUCCCUGGUAUCUAAAGCACAAUACUCUUUUUCUGUUAUUUAGUUUUUUUCUCCUUGGUGAUGAGAGUUUCUAGAUUAAAAAUUAUUUAUUGCAUGUGCUUGAUAUACAUCUCCUCUUUGUUCGCAGUUUAUGCAAGUACUUAAUGGUGGCUUCAGGUCGGGCAUCUGUUUUCAUUCUUCGAGCAAGGUCUCAAACAGUUAUCAAGGUAUAAUCUUGGUUAACAGUUAAUUAAACACACAAAUUCAUUAGCAACAGUUAACUUAUCUUCUCCUUGAUGAUAUAGGCUUGGGAUCAUGCUGUUGGUGUGAUAUGCGUUCAUGAAGCUGGAGGAAAGGUAACGGCUACACUUCAUCUGUGACUGAAAAUUGUGGCAGAAAAGAUUCCAUCACAGAUGUGACAUUUUCUGGUAGUGAUCAUUGUGGAAGACAUUUUCUAAUAGCUUCCUUAUUGCUUUUUCUGCAUGGACUAAUAACAUGAAGAGGGAAGAACAAAAACACACAUCCAUAUGACAUAGUUAAUAUUCUAUGGGAAAAAAAUAUAUCAUAAAAUCUUAAGAAUAAGAGGCAUUCAUUUUGACGCCCUCAUUUUGUUAAUUUGGGGCCCACUUCUCUCGUUUGUCCUAUCCUACCUCCUUCUUGUUGAGUUCAGUUUAUAUCCAAUUCCAUGUUUCCAGCAUCUUGGCAUUUGUACUUCUAAAUUCAAAUGAUUAUAGUAUCAUUUUCUAUUAUAGAGCAAUAAAUUGACACCAUUAAUUCAGGUGACAGACUGGAAAGGAAGUGAACUUGAUCUCGCUGCAGAUCAAGCUGAACGGAGGAUCAUAUAUCCUGCAGGUGGGGUUCUUGUGACUAAUGGCAACAUCCAUAAUCAGAUACUGGAGAUGAUAUCUUCCAUUUCAACAGUUGUUUGACACUGAACCAUACGGUAAUGUAUUCCUAUACUGUUGUUCGAUUCUUUGAAUACCAUUCAGGUUUCAAUAGAUCCUGCCUUUUGUAGAUGAACACUUAGUCUCAUUCACAGGAGUAAAUUGAAAAAUGAAAUUAUUCCGAUAUUACCAUUAGAUUGUCAAAAGAAGGAAUUUCUUCUAGGCAAGUGUAAUGUAUAAUCAGUGCUGAUGCGUGUCUUCUUUUAUUGUAAUACUUGUAGUCUUUUAAUUGAAGGGAAUGUGAAUUUUGUCAAAUACACCUUUUGAGCAGCCUUUCGAAAAGUUUAGCUUGUGAAAAUUUAUGAAAAGGUGUUAAUAGGAACGGUGUUUGCCCCAUUCUUAUAUAUUUGUACUAAACUCACUGAAGUUGCAAGAAAUGAUGGUGCUGCUCAAUGUUUGCUUUCUGUGUUUUAUUCAUCCUGUAAUUAUGUCUUGUUUUGCAUUGACAAUUCGAGGUGUCUAAUAACAUUCUUGAAUUAAAAUUACUAUAUGUUGGUAACUCUGUAAUUAAGCUUCCCUUCCUAUUAGCUGAUGGUACCUAGGCUGUGGGUAUUCAUAAAAUAAAUGUAGGGCAGCCUAUGAAUUCAUUCAAGAGCCUCAAAUGUUCCCAUUUGCCAACUACGAGAGCCGAAGUCGGUGUUGAGGGACCCAUGUUGAUCAGAAAACCAUUGAUGAACUAAAGUGAUAUAAGUUACAAGGAAGAUAUUUUUGUCCUCAUUGUUAAACUAUAACCUUGGCCAAAUAUCUUCUAAGUUAAAAUUUUCACGAGUCGAACCUUAUUUUACCUCACCAGGCAGCUAGUGGAUUGUCAAGGUCAACGUAUGCAUAUGCUCUAGAGACUUUAAGGCUUUGCUUAAUCGGAAAUAUAAAAUGAGAUGAGAAUGAAAAAUUUAUUAAUAAAUUAUAAAAUAAAAUAUUUAUUAUAAAUUUUAAUUAUUAAAUUAAUAAAAUUUCAUUCUUAUCCUUUUUUUCCCCUUAUCAAGCAAAACGUAAGCGUACUAAAAUAGGAGAAAAACAGCGGCUUAUCUGUGACUUAUUAUAUUUUGAUCAGUCGUGGAAAGUGUAGAUAUCUAGCAACUAAAUUAAACUUGGCUUCAAACGAAUCCACCCUCACCACGUCUUCAGCUCGUGAAUCUGUGCUGAUGACAUAUAAAUCACCAUAAUUACAAAAAAGACUACGUGUCCUCGUGUGCUUACAUCGAAAGAUAAUGAUUUUUCUAUUUUGACCAGCAUUGUAUUUGAGAAAGUGCUUCCAAAGCCAAGUGUUUGUUCCUCCUUUCAAAUAUUUUAUACCCUAAAGCAAUAAUACUCUUAGCUGCUUUCAUCAUCUAAUUUUAAAAAAUAAACCAAAUAUAUGUAAAACUCCAUUUAAAAUAAAGUUCUUGCGUGGUUAUAAUGUUAAUAGUAACAACUAAAACUGCAUCGCACAUCAUCCACAAAUGCAUCAGAUCUCGUAUAUAUCUAAAAAUAUCAUUAAUUAAAUAUCGAUGAAAUGUUAGCUCAAUAAUAUUUUAAUCGAUUUUAGAAAAUUUUCAAUUUCAAACCUUAAUUAUUACUGAAAAAUCAAACAAGGUUAAUUUUCUCUCUAAGAAACGGCUUUGACCUUAGAAUUUAUUAUUCAAAUGUUUGUAAAGCAAUCGAGUGGCUCACAACAUAUUAAAACUAAUAACAUUAUUAAUAUCAGAGGAAUUUUAGAUAAUCUACCGAAACGUCUUGUAAAAUGAAACGAGGUCGAUAUGUGAACACGUAUGCAACUUCUUUUGGAAAACCCAUGCGCAAGCAAACCCUGGAUUUUGGACAAGUAAUUGCCCAAUCGUUCAAGUAUAAUUUUUUUUAAUUAAACUCCUAAAUCUCCAUUAGCAAUAUCAUUUCGACUACAAUAAUAGUACUAUAUCUGAUUUGUUAUUUUGUCAAUAGUGUCUCCAUGACACCAAGAACAGAGAACCAAAGCUAAGACUAUGCUUGUAUUUUGACAAUAGUGUCUCCAUGACACCAAGCACAGAGACACAAAGCUAAGAUUAUGCUUGUAUUUUAUGUUAAUCAUUUUGAAUUAGCCAAGGCUUAAUUACUAUUUCAGUUUUAAACAAGAUAUAUAGAAACGAGUCUCUUUCUCUUGGUCCUAUGGAUUUAUUUUAUUUUAAAUAUGAUAGCCGUAAGAAAGGCAAACAAGCAAGCAAGAAAGAUAUGACUUGUUCUUUGAUGUUUUCAGAGCAGACAUCAGAACGUCAGAUGUUAUUUUAAACAUGCCUUGUUGGAAAUCUAACGUCUCAGAUUCUACCACGUAUAAGCUUCAGUAUUAUUUGAUUAUACCUAAAGAAUCGAGUUUCGUACGUGAGAUAUCGUCAUGCAUGCAAAUAUAGAUUAUAUUUUCAAUAAUUUGGUGCAAUUAGUCAUAAUCUUCUCAAAAACUUUGUUGAAAAGGAAUAGUUUUCAGGCGUGGACCCAUUUAAAAGAUUCCAUUAUUAGUUUUUAGUUUAGACUUCAAAGUAGCUUUGAAAAUUGCUCAUUUAAUCUUAAUAAACACGUUUUCUCUACUUUUUUUUUUUUUUCUAUUCCCUCUGAUCUGUUAUUACUACAUUUCCUGUAUUACUUUCUUGGUUCCCUUUUGACUCCAAGAAAUUCAAGAAAAAAAAAGGGUUCUUUCCAUAGCUUUACAACUGUGAAUUGAACAAGAAUUUAUGGCCGGCUAAAAGGCUGUGGGGGAGAAAUUUUCAAAAAGUUAUCCAUAUUAUAUUUUGAAUGUGUCUAAAAGCUAAUUUUUAAACCAAAAAAAAAAAAAAAAAACAAUAUAUAUAGUUUGAAAACUCUUCUUUUUCUUUUUGGAUAAUUGCUAUAGGAGAAUUGAAUUUUGUUCCAUCAAUCACAAAAACAAGUCCAAUGUCAUCUACAUUUUCCCUUAAAUUUAAGCCAAAAAUUAAGAAUCAUGGUAAGUUUUGUACAAUAUCAAGAGAUCUUUGCUAUGAUUGGUUUACUUGUUGCCUUCAAGCUGAUGCAUUCGUUUUUGUUGUUACAAGAGCUUAUGAAGUGUGAUUCGUAAUUCAAUUGAAGACAAUCUAGCUAGAAAUAUGCAUGGCUGGUAUGUGGACGGAGUGAUUGUGAUUGUAUAGCCAAGUUUUGGAUUUCUCUGUUAGCAAGGUGAAGGAGUGUGAACUGCUAGCUAGCUAUAGGAAAUAAGAACAAAUUAUACAAUGCUGGUUUUUAGAGACGAUAUAUCGAUCGCUAUCACAAAGCAACUCUUAGUCUAUUUUGGAAGCAACCCUUUCAAUAAUAAUUGCUCGGGCGUCGAAUUGGCACAAGUCAAUGAAGUGGAAUUCUUGACGUUUUGCUGGACGGACAGCGAAUCAUCAUAUUUCAAAUGUGGCUGAGAACAAUGUUAGGAGACAAAGAAUGACGACUUUUAUCUUUCAUUGCGGCAAUGAUAAAAUUCAAAUACACCACUAUUUACUUUGGUUUGCAUUAUAUUCCUUUGCCAAUGAUUAAUUUAAUUAAGUUUAUAGGUUAUUCCCAAUCCAUGAUUUGAUUUUCUCUUUGUAAAACUUUUUCGAUCGACCAUAAGAUGAAGCUAACGUGUGCAAGAGUUUUAUCCAAUUUCUUAUAAAUUGACAAUGGUACUCAAUUUGCUCUCAAAUGUAGAUUCCAAUCCGGCCUAGAUAGUACCGAUGAAGGGUCCCAUUAUCAUUGCUGAAAUACACAGAUCAUCAUGAAGAAGCAUUUUCUCAAUUUGAGUUUGGGUGUUGACAAAGCUAGCUAGCCAUCAAAGAUAAAAUGGUGAAAACAUGCUCAUUUGAAAAAUCAAACAUAGGAUGGACUAAAACGAAACAGAGCUACGGGAAGUCGUCGUGAUGUGAAGCUUUUGUCUUUCAUAUCCACACAAAAAUCAAACUUUCUCCUUUUCCUUGUGCUAACUUCGUUUUUAUUGAUGUUGACUGAGGUCUAAAUACAAAACCCCAAGAAGUUUAAGCUCUUGUGUUAAUCUAAAUUAAACAAGUUUUACUAGGUGUGUUUAUAAAUCCAAUCAAUGGAAAAGGAAAUCAAUUGAAUUAUUAUAUAGAUAACAAUUUAUGACAUAUAUCUUAAUGAAAAAUUAAUAUUGUGGAAAUUAAACCUUAUCUUGAAAUUGAUUGGAGGAGAACCCUUUUUCUUUUUCUUUUUUUUUUUUUUGGUUUAAAUUCUUUUUCAAUCCUCUCUAUGCAUAAUAAAUAUUUUUGUAUUUCGGCAAACACCCACCUCUAUUAUUGCCAUCCUCGAAUUAAGUGAUUCCCGAAAAUGACCUUACAAAAAAUUAUUAAAAGGGAAAAAUGAUUGCAUUACCCUCGUGUGGUGAGAAUAGAACUGGUCCAGCAAAUGCUGCUUGCACGGGCAAAACAGUCUUUUGGUUCAAAGACUUCGAGUCACAACUCAAAUUACCCAGCUUUAGCUUAAUAACUCAAGUCAAUCUUUGUAAAAAUGUAGCCAAAGAAGAGAAGAAAACGAAGAAGAAAUAAGGGGCACGUGGCUGUUUCAUGUUGGUGACAGCUAAUAUGAAUCCAGAAAGUAAGAAGUGACCUUGGAAAGGGAUCGGCAUAAAUAAUUACAAUUAAUUGGGAUUUAUUAAGCCCAUCCAACCCAAAAAAAAGGGAGAUUCGGGGGUUAGGCUUUCACACUUUUUUCUCUAAAGAAGGAGGACACGUCGCCAUAGUGAUAAACAGAGGACGGUACCGAAUCCUUCUGACAUCUCUUACCCUUCACUUGUGCCGCUAUUUAUACAAGUAUGUCCCUAUACAGACCUACAUCUCUUUGCUGCAUCAUUUCUCUCUUUUCUCUUCAAUUCUCUCAACCCCUCUCUUUCUCUCGAGAAGAGCCUUAACCAAAACCAAAAGCUAACAUGGGAAGAGUACCUUGCUGUGAUAAAAAUGGCCUCAAAAAAGGGCCAUGGACGCCGGAAGAGGACCAGAAAUUGAUCGAUUAUAUUCAAAAACAUGGUUAUGGAAACUGGAGGACACUGCCAAAGAAUGCUGGUAAACUUUUACCUAGAGUAUAUAUUUGUUAGUUGGAAAAGUCUUCUUUCAUUUUUAUUUUUUAAUGUGCCUACUUUCUGGUCUGCAGGGAUGAAUUAUUGUAGUUUUUAUGGACAUUAUGCUAAUGAAAUUUUGAAUUUUUUAUUGUUAAUAACAAUAGGGUUGGAAAGAUGUGGAAAGAGUUGCCGUCUUCGAUGGACCAAUUACUUGAGGCCCGAUAUCAAGAGAGGAAGAUUUUCUUUUGAAGAGGAAGAGACAAUAAUUCAGCUACAUAGUAUAUUGGGGAACAAGUGAGUUGUUUUCCAUCUUCCUUUCGCUCCUUUUAGUUCUAUUUUUCUUUGUUUUACUAUACUGUUUUUUCUAAUGUUUUGAAUGUUUAUAGGUGGUCUGCCAUUGCUGCUCGGUUGCCCGGAAGAACUGACAACGAAAUAAAAAACUAUUGGAACACUCACAUUAGAAAGAGGCUUCUUCGAAUGGGAAUUGAUCCUGUAACUCACAGUCCUCGACUGGAUCUUCUUGACCUCUCCUCAAUCCUAAGCUCAUCUCUUUACAACCAAUCUCAAAUGAACAUGUCAAGGGCCCUAGGAGUCCAAUCCUUUGUUAACCCUGAGCUUCUAAGGCUGGCCACUUCUCUCAUGUCAUCUCAAACUAAAAACCAAAAUCAAAACCCGAAUUUCCUUCUUCAAAAUGUUGAAGAAAACCAACUUUGCAACUCCCAUGUCCAAAAGCAAUAUCAGCCGUUUAUGCAAUCUAACCAUCUUCCAACGCAAGUACAAGAAAUCCCAGCUUGUAUCUCGUUGAAUACUCCUUGUAGUAUUCAAUUUUCUGACGAAGCACAACUCAUAAGCCCCAAUGUGGACCACUUUCCAUCAAAUCUUACCGACUUAAGUGACUGGCAAGGCAAUGCGAUGCCUUCAAAUUUGACUGAAGAUUACGUGCCGCUACCGCCAAAGUAUAACUGUUACGGCUCUGGUCAUCAAACCGUCAUGGACCCUUCUUCCGAAACCUCAAAUUUCCCUUCCAACAACAGCAACCACAGCUUCAGCUUCGCGUCAGUUCUAUCGAGGCCUUCAUCAAGUCCAACUUCAUUGAAUUCAAAUUCAACAUACAUCAACAGUAGCUGCAUUGAAGACGAAAGAGAAAGCUAUUGCAGCAACAUUUUGAAGUUUGAAAUCCCAGAUAUUUUGGAUGUUAAUGAAUUCAUGUAAUUCCAAAAUCAAAACUCACAAACAAGAGUUUUCCCUUUCUGUCCAUUUUUCUGGGUUUUUUUCUUGGAUUCAGUGUGGGAUGUUGAUACAUGUAAAAUUUUCGAAUAUUAAUAAUUAAUUUGUUGUAUUUUUCUUAAGCUUACUGUAUUAGGAAGCAAAAUCCUACUAUUUUAAAAUCUUUUUAUUAUAAUGGGAAGUUUCCAUUAUUGAUAUGUCACUACAAUUAUUUCUUUUGCUUUCCUUACUUUCUAUAUCUUCUCAUAUCUUAUUUAGAUUAGUCAUCUUAUCGUAUAUUUAUUCAAUUCUUGUCAUAUGGACUGACAAGUGACUGUUUCCCAAAUAUAUAUAAACCCAAAAAAAAAAAAAAAAAAAACCAAUAAUGAAUCAAAUCAUACAUAACAAGGAUGCUGCAGUUGGCUCUGUUCAAAAGAGUUAUGACACUCUUAAUAAAUAAAGCUACAUCCUUUUUGCCGUUCCCUAAUAUGGAAAAUCUUUGCCUAUAACAGGAAAGCUUUUAAAGUUAAAAAAAAAAAGAAAAGAAAAAUACUAAUUAAAACACUAACCCAAAGUGUUAGUACUUUAUUAUUAUAUAUGAUCAUAAAAAAAUCAUGAGAGAAAGAUCUUGGCUUCAAAGAUCCCGACAGAAAGUCAAGUUCUGGCCGGCUUUCCGGCAAUGACAACGUCGGAGAUCGUGAAUCCGUCACGUGUAUAUGCUACCUAUAAGUAAUUUUGCAUGGGGGAUUAUGGUUUGACCUAAAAAAUAUAAAAAAGAAGGGGACUUGUCGAUCUAUUAGCGGCGACCAAAUCCGUGGGGGUGGGGACUACCUUUAAAAGGUAUUUGUUGCUUUUAUUGAAAAACAUGGCGAGGCUCUUGUGCUGUGUUCUGUCCCACAACCAUUAAUAAGCUUCAGUGUCAAACCAAGAACCUAAUGUUUAACACGUCAUCGUUUUGUUGGACACGUUGGCUCAAUCAUGCAGGGGUGGGUCCCAAGUAAAGGGGUUUGAGCCUUUGAGGCUUACCGUUUGACCGGGUAACCACAAAACCAGGCUUCUUAUCCAGUUUCAGACAGCUACCAUGGCUUUGACUGUUCUCCCUCGCCGAUUAUUUCUUGUCAAAUCAAUAUAAUUAGGCUUCAUGCAAUAAUCUUCUUAAUCAAAUAAUAUUUCAGGUUAAUCAUGAUUACGUUAAUCUUUGGAAGAAAACGAAUUUAACUGUUUAGUUUGCAAAAGAAUUAUGUAGUGCACUGUUUCUUGAGAAGAUGACGUGCAUACAUUUUUUAAAUAGAAAAAGUAAAUAUACCAUUAAACUAUAUACUAAAAGUUCAAGUUUAAUUUUCAUUUUUGUUUUAUCCAAUUGUUGUUAAUUUUCUCUGGUUUCGGGUCAAAAAUUGUUACAAGUUUGUAGUAGAAGAACGUAUUUGUUAGUAUAUGUAGUGAAGAAAAAAAAAAGUGUGUGAAAUGUGUCUCCAUAUAAUUAUAUACGUCUCUUGGCUAAGAGAGAAAGCUCUUGAAUAUGAACUUUUUUUUUUCUUUUUUGGUUAGCCACAUAAAACUGGUGCAUGCUACUUUAAUUUGGUCAUAUAUAUAUUUGCAUGACCUUUCAUGUUUCAACCUGAUGAUCAUGAGCUUUUCUUUUUCGACUUCUAAUUCGUAAUUAUCAAAGAUGACUGUCGAAACAAGAAAACAAAAAACAUGAAACCUAUUGCAACUUUUUUUUUAAUGUUUUUUGAAAUAUUGAUGCAAAAAUCUUUCACUUUCCUUCUCUGGUCUCAUACCCUCAGAAAUGGACCAAGUUGUGGCUAGACAACGAAUAUAUAUAUAUAUAUAUAUAUAUAUGUAUGUAUAAAUAUAUAGACGUUCGACAUGCUGUGUUUCUUAACAUUUCAAGAAUAAUGUACCCAUGCACUUACCAACUUGUAAAAAGGUUGCCAUUUACUACUUACACUUAACAGGUAGCUGAGUUUUGACUUUUGUUAUAUAUAUAUAUAUAAAAGAAAACAGAUACACGAGUAAAGGGUGAACAAUGUCAACCGUGCACGUAAAAAUUAAAGGGUGAACCAAACGAAAUUCACUCACCCCAUCAAACCAAACACAGCAGAAAUGUCAAUAAAUAUAAAAUCGCCACUUAUAAGCACACCAACUUCCCUAUCUUCUUCUUCUACUCGUGCGAUCCGAAGCUCCUUUCCCUUUUUAACCAAUCCUCUGGGUCAAACCCCCCAAAUCCCAUGUAAGCUUUACGUUAUUUAUACGUCAAAAACAGGUCUUGUUUUUAUGGGUCAAAGACCAAACAGUUAGGCACCUCACUUUUCUGUAUGUCUUUCUCACGUUCCAUAUAUAUAAAUAUAAAUAUAAAUAAAUAUAUAUGUAAAAUCCAUUGUACAAAAAUCAGAUUAAAGGCUCGACGUGUCAAUUAGCGUAAAUAUUUUUGUGGUGUAAAGGUACGGUUCUUCUUUGACUAUGAGCCGACCAAAGUAUCCAUUCCUCAACCGCCCAAAGAAAUUUUGUUCUUUCAAACAUUUUGAAUGAGUACUCCCUUCCUUAACGUGGGUUUCUGUCUUAAUUUGUCUUUGGGUUUUACUUGCUUUUCAUGUUUUUUUUUUUUUUUUUUGUUCUUUUAAAUGGCAUUCAUUGCGGCGUGCACUUCGUGUAAGGAAAAUGUGCACAAUUGGGGUUAGAAAAAUAGGGCCCGGUGACAAUUAUUUGUCUAUUGUGGACAUUUUAAAAGAUGGGAUUAUUUGACUAAGAAUUCAUCUUUUUUUUUUUUUUUUUGGAUUUUUCUUCAUUAGAAUAUUGUGAAAGUAAUAAUUUUAAAAAGAAAGCCUUUUUUGUCUGCUUCAAUUACAGAAACAAACAUGUGUUUGUGUUAGAAUGUUGGUUUCCACACUCUGGGGGGUAAAAGGUUGGCAAUUGGCUUUGCUGUAACCUUAACCUAUGAUUGCUUCAACCUUUUGUUUAAUUAUUGACGUUAUUAAUUAAAGCUUAAUUCAGAUUCCAUGCCUUUUCUCUCUUUCUUCUCCCUUUUUAAGGAUCAAGUAAAAAAAUUAGUUCUUUUACGUAUAAAAAUAAAUAAAUAAGUUAUUAAUUGUGCCUGUGCAGUAUUAUCUAUGUGUGAACGGUCUUUGGCUCUUUGAUGUAAUUAUCAGUUGAAAACUAUGGAUAUAUUGUUGAAUUAUUAUUUGUGAAUUAAUAAACUCAAUUAAUAUUAUAAAGUGUUCUUUAUAUAUAUUAUGAUAAUUCAAAUUAAUUAUAUUUUUUUUAAAGAAAAACACAAUAUGAGAAUAAGAAAAAUAAUAGCAGUUGUUGAAAUUGAAUUCUAGUAUUAUUGAUGUCUUUUUUUUUUUUUUAAUAUAAUUGUAUAAAUUAAUUGAAUUAUAUAUAUAGUUGAUAUACACCAAUAAAAAAGUAUGGGGUUAAAAUUUUCAAAUAAAAAUUAUCCGCCUUUAGUUUUUUCGAAUUCGGUAAAAUGGAAAUCAAGUUUCAUAAAUUUUGAUGUACAUAUAUAUAUAUAUAUGUAUAUAUAUUCCUACUCCAUUAUAGAUUACCCUAACAUUCAAUGAUUUAGUACAAGGCUCCUGUAAUUAGCUAAGCUGAAAGAUGCAUCAAAAUAUUUUUUCCCUGGUUUCAUUAUCUUUUUCUUUUAUGACGGAAAGGAACCUUUGGGAGUAUCCAAGAGUACAAUAAUGAAAUUAAACUGUCGGUGGGAUGGUGAAAAUCAACACUCAUGAUAAAAAAAAAAAAGUCACAUUAUUGGGUUAGUCAAAGAAAAACGAGGGAUAUUUCUUAUUUGUGACGAUAAGAAGACGUUUUGAAUGGCUUAUAUUGUCAGCAAAAGGUACACUUGUCUAUUAUAUCUCCUUUGAUAUAUAUAAUAAUACUCAUUGUUUACAUAGAGUGUAGCUGGAAUUAUAUGACUCGAAAUGAUUAAUUAUGGUCGGUCUAAAUCAGCUAAUUAAUGCCAAAAUUACCAUUGGAAGGAUAGAUCAAUUUCACCGGCCUAUAUGGUUUUUUUGCCAAUUGGUGCCUGCCAGAUAAUUGCCAUUAGACUAUUAAUUAAUUCCUCCUAUAAAAUGGGAGCAGCACCAUCCUUAAUACGUGUUGGAUUGCUGUUGAAUUCCCUAAUAAUCCAAAGCUCAAAGUAGACCUUAGUAAUAACAAUGGUAAAAAUAAGAAAUAAAGCCUCCCUUAGUUAUUAACAAUAUGCCAGAUGCUUUAAGCUUUUGUUUCUUUGCUUCUUUUCUAAAUUCAAUUGGUUUGUAAGCUUAAUGGUGCACUGAGUUACAACAGGUUUUAUCUGCUUCUUUUGGGUAAAUAAUAAGCUUUGCUUAAAAAAACAAAUUCCCCAUAGAGUACUUAACAGCAAUAUGAUGUAUUGCUAUCAUCACUAGGCCAUUUGAUCUCUGGAUUUUUCUAGUCAUACGAUUAAUCCGAUAAAAUCAUGAAGGGUUUGUUCUGCUAUCAAUUCUGACCAACACUCCACCGAAUUGCAGACUAUUGAACAAAUCAAAAUGAGAUAUUGAACUAGAAAAAGAAAAUUUUGAUUCUGAAUAAAGGCCUGUCUCCGGUCAAAAUUUACGGGCGCCUCAAGAAAUCUACGGUUAAGGCUUCUGCUGUUGGGCAUUUAAAUCUAGCCCAUUUUAAUUAAACGUAUUUUAUCUUUUCAGUGCAAAUGACAUUUGGUCCAAGAAUGAACUGUUAGCCCAAAACCCCAAAUGUUUUCUGAGAGGGAACCGCUUUUUGUUUUCAUUUUCUUAAAAAAUAAAAAAUAUGAAAAAAAUAUUUAAUAAUUAAAAAUAGAAAUAAGUUUUUAGAAUAUAAAAAUACAAAUGAAUUGAAAUAUAAAAAUAAAAAAAUAUUUUUAAUUAUGAAAAUAAGGGAUGCAUAUUACUUUUUUUUUUUUUUUGUGUUUUGCAAGUUAUUGUAUUUGAAUAUUUUUUAAUGUAUUCUAAAAUUUAUUCAAUAAUAUUUUAUACAUUAAUUACAAUACAUUAACAAGUGUUCAAAUAUGGUAACUUACAAAACACAUAAAAAAAAAGUAAUAUAUUUCUCCUAUUUUUACAAUUAAAAAUAUUUUUUUUGUUUUCAUAUUUCAAUCCAUUUUUAUUUUUGUUUUUUAAAAAUUAUUUUCAUUUUCAAUUAUUAAACAUUUUUUUCACGUUUUUCAUUUUUCAAAAAAAUAAAAUAAAAAAUAACUCUAUUUUUUGAAACCAAAUGCAACAAAAUUUAAAAAUUUUGAGAACCUAACACUUGCUUUUUUUUUUUAGUAGAUAAACUCUUUCAUAAAUUGAACCAAACGUACGUUUAGUAAAAUGUGAAAAGUUUAUUAAGCUUAAGUUUGUCAUAUAUAUAUAUAAAGAAAAUCAACUUAUAUUGUAAACUUAAAAAAUGUUACACAUGUUUUUAAUAAUCGAUUAAAAUAAAUUGAGAGACAAAUAAAAAAAAGAAAACUUAUUUAUUUUUAUUGGUUAAAUUUAUUAAAAUAAAUAAUUAAAGAAAAAUUUAAAAUUAAUCUCUUGCUCAUAUUUAUAUAAAAAAUAAAUGAUAAACCAACUAUUGGAUUGAGUCCAGCAGGCCUAGAAAAAAUGGACCCAACCGUAUACGCAUGAAAUCCACUUGCAAAACCCCCUUUCCAAGUAAUACAUAAGAAUAUAUAUUAUAAAAUCUUAAACCCUUUUUGUUAUAAGCCUCCAAUCUCUGUUUUUCCUUCCUCCCUUCUCUCGGCUGUUUAGGUAUUUGAAUCUGCACUUUUUAUUUGCUUAAAAAUUAUGGGCUGAGAGGUAGAAAUCAGCCUUUUCAUGCUAUAUUAAGAUUCCCAUUUUUUGUGUUUCUUUUCUAUCAACCCAGUCAGUGACAUAUUAUACCUGAGGGUUUUUUUUUUUUUUUUUUUUUUUUUUUUUCAAUUUUAGUUUUGCGGUUUAAUUUGACAUGAAAAUGACUAUGGUUGUGUUGGAUUUUUUAUUUUUAUUUUUAGUUUUGCGAUUUAAUUUGACAUUAAAAUAACUAUAAUUGUGUUGGAUUUUGCUAUGUUGUAUGUCAAUGAAUUGUAUUUUGAUGAUAAGGAAAUGUUUUGUUUUCUUACUGUUCUUUCUGAACUAUGUGGCUAUUAAAGAUUAAUCCUCAUCUGCGGUAGACAGACAGGGUGUUAGCUAUAGCUUUAUUUUGGAUUACCUGUGUGUAAAUAUUUUUGCCUUUGCGGCUAGCUUUUUCUAAUUUAGAGAUAAACUGUUUAUCUUACAACUCACAUAUAGGCUAAUGUUGACCAUUAGUUAUAAGCAUGCACACUUUGUUUAUCAUGUAGAUUAUUGUUUCUUAUCAGUAUCUUAUCAGUAGUUAAUCGGUUGCUCUUUUAUGACUUCUUGUCAGUCCCCGCUUACCUUCUGUAUAUGAACCUACUGUUCCAUAUUUAUUUGAUGCUUGGUUUUUGCUCACCUCUUAGUUCUUCUGCAAUAUGACAUCAAAAUUUUAUUUUUUUCAGCAUCGACUAAAAUGAAUCUCAACAACAUGAAAGUUCCUAAGAUGCCUGGAGGUGGAGCUCUUCCUGCUCUGCUUAAGAUUGGAAUUAUUGGUGGUCUUGGCGUCUAUGGAGUUGCGAACAGUCUCUACAAUGUUGAGGGAGGGCAUCGAGCUAUUGUUUUCAAUCGUAUAUCAGGCAUCAAAGAUAAGGUCAUCAUUUUUAUGUAAUGUUCUACCAGUUUACAUGUUUAUUAGAAAGUCUCUCCUUCCCCAUUGUCUGUUGUUUGUGGAUUUUAUAGUACUUCGCAAAACUUGCAUAUCUUGUCAACUUCUAUAAAAGAAUGGCUAAGGCUAUGACUAUGGCUUCUCUAUGAAAUUGACUAGCAUGUAGCCUUGUGCUAUCCUUUCUUGAAUGACUAGAUUUUCUGUUUUUUCCUCUUGCUAUUGACAUUCUUGUUUACUAUAUUUGUUCUUUUGGUUUAACUUCUGCUUAGCAUUAUGUCUUGCAGUUUAAUGAUUGUUUUUUGCAGGUUUAUGCUGAGGGGACACACCUUAUGGUUCCAUGGUUUGAGAGGCCUAUCAUCUAUGAUGUUCGAGCAAGACCCCAUCUAGUUGAGAGCACUUCUGGUAGUGGUGAUCUCCAGAUGGUAAAUGCUAAUUUUCAAUUUUUGCAUAGAUUUUCUUUUGCAUGCAAGAUAUUUUUUCUGUCAUUACCUUGUUGCUUUUUUGUUUUCUAAAAUGAUAUUAACUGGACUUAAAUAGUUAUCAUCUUGGCCUAUUUUUAUUUUUUUUGUUCUAUAAAAAACUCAUGCUCUAAUGACAGUUAGAUGGGAGUAGUUUUCGGUAAAAGUUCUGUAGGCGUGAUUGACAGGGGUGAAAGCUAGGGGGCUGGCAGGGACCUUCCCUUCCCUGGCUUUUGAAUUCUUUGAUAAUACAGAAAAGUUUAUCAAUUAAACAAUAAUAAAUUUGAAUUUAAUCCCCCAAAGCAUUUAUUGUAUGGCCCCCCUUACCAAUAUUUUGUACAAUUAGUAUUGUAAACUCUAUAAUUUUCAAAUUUUUAGUUCUAAACAUCACUAAUUAGUUUUUCUUUUAUUAUUUUUUACCUAAGCAUAAUGUUUAAAUCCAUAAAAUUUGAGUUUACCUUCUCAAUCAAUCUGAUAAAUAUGUUAAUAUUAAUUAUUACAUCUAGAGUUACAUAAUAAACAACAUUAGUUUAAAAACUUUUUAGUUGCUGUAUUUUGCAUACAAAAUUAAUUGUAAAUGCAACUUUCUUCUUCCAAGCUUUUAAUUGUUUAAAGGUUUUGUAAUGGCUAUUCUCUCUUUUAAGAAGUAAUUAUUUGCUUGAUGUUAUUUUUCUAUUCAAUCUUUUUUAUUGUCAUAUGGAUAAUAUAAGUUACAGUUAUAUAAAAUUUACAUAUAUUGUUUCAUACUUAUGAAAAGAAAUGUAAUUUUUAUGCACAAUUAUCUCUUUUGUUAAAAUAGGUUUUUUCCUAUUUUUUUACUUGUAUGUUUUUUCUUAUCUUGGGGCCCCCUAAAGUGAGAAUCCUGGCUUCACCCCCGGUGAUUGAGCCUUGAGAGCUCUAGAAUGGAGUAUGCACGAGGCAUUUUUCUUUUGUUUCCCUUUCUUGUUGAUGCUUUAAGAUAUAUAUAUGCUUUUCCAUAUUUAUAUUAGGUGGAAACUUAAAAUAGAAAAAUGUUGCAGAAAGUAAUGCCAUCAUUAUAAAUUAAACCCGCUUCUGAACUAUGCUCUGCAGGUGAAGAUUGGGCUUCGAGUUCUCACUCGCCCUAAGGCAAAUCAGUUAACUGAAGUUUAUAGAACCCUUGGUGAGAACUAUAAUGAGAGGGUCCUGCCUUCAAUCAUUCAUGAAACUUUAAAAGCUGUGGUUGCUCGGUACAAUGCUAGCCAACUCAUUACUCAGAGAGAGGUAGGUAUCCUGCAUAUUCGUACUUACAGUUUUAUAGAUGUCCUAAUAAUAGCAUAAAUGGUUUGGAUUUGUUAUGUGAUGAACUGUUGUCUUUUAGAAUGUUAGUAAGGAAAUUCGGAAUAUAUUGACUGAAAGGGCAGCUUACUUCAAUAUUGAACUGGAUGAUGUGUCCAUUACAAGCCUGACUUUCGGGAAGGAAUUCACCGCUGCAAUUGAGGCCAAACAGGUGGCUGCACAAGAAGCUGAGAGAGCUAAAUUUAUUGUGGAAAAAGCUGAACAGGAUAAGAAAAGUGCUGUUAUCCGAGCACAGGUAAAAAGGAUUGAUCCUUUCGUAUAAAACAUAGUAGAUGACAAAUGAUCUGAAACGGAUUUGGAUUUCAGCUUCUGCUUUGCUUAUAAGAUUGUGAAAUUUCAUUUCGCCUUGUAUAGGUUGAUCAUUUUACCCAUCUAAAGUGUUUUUCUUCACUGGUUUCCAGGGUGAAGCAAAGAGUGCCCAACUCAUUGGUCAAGCUAUUGCAAACAAUCCAGCAUUCAUCACAUUGAGGAAAAUUGAAGCUUCUAGAGAAAUUGCACAGACCAUUUCAAAUUCAGCCAACAAAGUCUUCUUGAAUUCAAAGGAUCUAUUGCUGAACCUUCAGGAGAUGAAUCUGGAAACCCAUCAAAAGUAAUUGCCAUGUUAAGUUGAAAACUUAGUUACUGCCCCUCGUCGGUUUGUUCCGUCGUGACAACUUUUAAUAACAUGAGUUUAUUUUGUCCAAGGAUUAGCGUUCAAACAUCACAUAUGUUCGAUUUAGGACUGUUCAGUUGAGGUACAAAAGGACUGUUGGAUGUAUGUUUUCCUAAUUUCCUCCAUUAUGGAUCAUCUAUAUUAUCUUCCUUAGUAGAUAUAUUUUCUUUGUCAUGAUUCACUGAAGUGGUAGGAACAAACUAGGCAAUUUUUUUUUGUUCAAACUAAAAGCCUUUUUUUAUUCUCUAGAGAAUUAUGUAUAUCUUGAUUUAAGUAGACCUGAUAAUUUCUGUCAUGGAACUUUUGGCAUUGAAAGUUCAUUUGCUAUUAGUUUCUGCCAUCAAUUUUGCUUGCUUAUCUAGUCGGUGGUCAGAUCUGGUAAUUGCCAACAACCAGUGAUGGUUAUAUCUAUCCCUUAAAAAGAGUUCAAAAAUUCUUCGGGGACCAAGAAUAGUUAUCUAUAUUUUAUUUAUUUUAGUUAUAUCUUAUUUAUUGUUAUUUAUUUAAAAUUACGUUUAUAGAUAUAAGUAUUUAAGAUUAACAGUUAGAAUUAUUUAAGUUUAUUAUUAUUUAGGUUAUCAUUUAUAAAUAAUAGAUAUUUACUCUAAUUAAAAAACUAGGUAAAAUUAAUUUAUAAAUUGAUUUUAGAAUUGCGUUUGCAAAUGCGAAGAAGUUUUAAUAAUAAUAGAAAAAAAAAAAAAAAACAGAGUUUGAGAUCAUAAUAAAGAUAUAAUCCUCUCAAAUAAUUGUUUUGAAAUAAUGAUAAUACUAUGGGUUUAGAGAGUCAAUAAUGAACAGGGGAAUAUUUAUCAACAAUAAAAUUUGAAAAUAUUACAUUAUUUUAUAAAUUUUAAUAUAUGCAGAUAUCAAAAUAAUUAUAUUUAAUUGAGAUUGAAUAAUGAAAUAAACUCAAAAUAAAAAAAUAAAUAUAUGAAAAGUAAUUAUACAUAAACAAUGUAAUUUAUAUAAGAAGAGUUAAUGUCACGAAUGAUUCAUGAACAAUAAUAUAUGAAAUAUUCAAUAUGAUACUUGAAUUUUAAAAAUUUUUAAUUUGAUAUUUGGACUAUUAAUAUAUUAACUAAUGUGAAAUUUGAAGAAUUAUUUGUUCCUUAUAUAUCAUCAUUUGAAAUUAAUCACGUUAGAAUUGAAUAUCAUAUUAAUUAAUAGAUUCGUAAUUUAAGUACCAUAUUAAGGAUUUUUAAAGUUUAGAUACUAUAUUAAAUAUUUUAUUAUAAUUUAAUAGUCAUUCUUGAUAUUAACCCAUAUAAGAAAACAUAUUUGUAGGCAUAAUUGAUUUUUUUUUUUAUCUUUUAAAAAUAUUUAUAUUUUAUUAAUAACUAUCAUAUUUGUAUCAAUAUUCAUGUUAUCGAUUAUAAAAAAAUAUUUGUGUUAUAAAAAAUAUAUUAAUGGUUUUGUUAUCAAAUGAUUUAUUUAUAAAAUUCAAUUCGAUUACUAAUAAAAAAAUAUUGUAACUUAUAUCAAAGUUUGUUCACUUAAAUGAUUAUGUAUAAAUAUAUAACAAUAUAUAGAACAUAUAUAGGAUUGAAAAUCAUGUUCAUAAUAUUAUAUAAUAAUAAUUAAUAUUAAUUGAAUAUUUAGUGAUUUAAUUUUUUCUUAAUUUUUAUCUUGAUGAGUUAAUACAUGAUCAUUUUUAUCCGAAGAUGAUUGAAAUUUUUAAAUUGUAUUAAAUUGUUCAUCUUUUUAGAUAUCCAAGUGCUUGAACGAUUUAAUUUGAAUUAUUUAAAGUAAAAAAUUAUCAAAUAAAAGAAGAUAAAUUAUUCUAGGUGAAUUUUUUUAAGAUGGGAUAAAAUUUAUUGGACUUAUUUUUGAAAGCAUUUAUGCCAAAAUUACAUUCAUUUAUAAAAAUUUAUAUUGCUAAUAUUAAAAAUAAAAUCAUUAUAAAUUGUAUAAAUAAUAGAUAACAAGUUUGUUAUUACUGACUUUAAUUUUCUUAAAAAGAAAACAUGACAAGAAACCAAAACCAAGUUAGGAAUUUAAUAUAGUACUAAUUCUACCCAUUUAUACUUUGUUUACCUAUUCAAAGGUAACAAAAUGCAAAAUGGUGAUCCCUGUGACUUCACUUAAAGUUGGGGAUGAACUUUUGCUAAGGUGUCACAAAAUAACUGUGAUGUACUGAACCAAAAAGAAGAAAGAGAAAGAAGAUGGUAGAACAUGAAGAUAGACUAAAAAGAAUAGAAGGAAUAGAGGGAGUAAAAGCAGAAUUUUGUAAUUCUCAUUCAUAAUUUCAUCUCGUUACAGCAUUGUCUCUGUAUAAACUCACAAUUUUCCUACUUUGGCUAAAUGCAAGGAUCUAAUGAAAUUGCAGCAUCUGACAGCUCACAAUAACUAAUGACAAAUAGACAAAUCAGCAUAUUAAACGGUUUAGCUAAUUUUCCAUGAACCUUCUUGCAACAGUCUUGUUAUUUUGCUUGCCUUUAUUUCCUUCUUCCAUUACUGCCUUCAGCUCAAUUGCAUACUGGCCAUCCUCGAUAUUCCCUUCACCAGAUACAGCCUUCUUAAGCUCCUUUGUGUAGUACCCUUGAUCAACCAACCUUAGAGCUUCGUUCUUUGCUGUUCCAGCUUCCAUCAUAGUAACAACAGCUUCAUUCCUUCUUGUUCCAGCUUCCAUCAUUGUAACAACAACCCAUUUCAUAACAUUAUCAUCCCCUUCAAAAGAUCCUUGUCCCCAAGGAUCAAAGGAUCGAAGCAAUGAGCUCAACACUGUAAAAUCUUCCCCAUGUGGUGUUUUCUGGCCUUAGAUUGUACCCCACCAUUAAGACUUGAGUCAUACUCUUGUUGUUACUCUUAACUAUCCUCUUAACCAUCACAACAGCAAGAUAAACUAAUAGUUGACCAUCUUUAUUGGUUUUUGGUGACAGGCAUAUUAGUUCCUAAAAAAAUUAUCACCCAAUGGACAAUCAUGCAAAUUGUCAUUGUUUUUCCUCUAACCCGACCAACAAACAUUUUUGAUAUGAGGAGAUUGAGGACUGAUCCAGCACCAAUAGCAGAGGUCAAGAUAAACAACAGCAAGCCUCCAAUAGAAAGAUUGUUUCUUGAGACUAAAGAGUUAGCUGAAGUUGCCUAAAGAGCCACUGCCACUACCAUACAAUGACGACCAUAACAUAGCUAUGAGAACUUGAUUGGAUCCACAUUUUCCCUUCUUUCUGACUUUGACAAUUCAACCAUGGCACCUUUGACACAUCACCCUCCCAAAAGAUUGUUUUAGAGAGAUAUUUAUAAAAUUAUCCCAACUUUAGAUAAGUUAUGUAUGAGAAUGAAUGAAUGCAUGCAACAAGAAGGAUUUACCACAUAACAAUUGUUAACAAGAAAAAUCUUUAUUGAAUUAAAAGUUAUUUCUAACUAAAUUCAAUAUUACAUCCAUAAAAGUCUAAAGUUUAUUAUGAAAAAAAAUCUCUAAUUUGUCGAUAUUGACCUUGUACUUCAUUGAGAAAAUCUAGCAAUCCUUUACCAUAUAAUCCAACUGGUGACACCCUUGUCUUUCAUUCAUCGAUUUUUUCUACCAUGUCAUUGGUUUUAUAAGUAGCAACAGUGAUUUGGUCAAGCAGGCAUUCCAAUUGGUUAUGCUGCCUCAUAUAUGCUUUUUUUACUUGCUCAAAUUCCUCAUUCAAAGCCUUCAUUUGUGUUCCAAUUUCAACAACAACCCCUUUUAGAAUUUGAAUGUGUUUUUGUGCUUCAGAGAGUAUUUUUUUUUUCACUUUUUUGCCAUUUUUUUUAGGAGUUAUACCAGCUCACAAGUGGUGGAUGAUUGUAUUAUGUUAAGGUCAGUGAAUAAACUCUUCCAUUCAUCCUUUUUUUUGUUAGAGUGCUUGAACCUUGUUAUCCAUUCUCCCCUCUAAUUCCCUUUUAAGCCUUUGGUUUGCAAGCUCCAAUUUAUCGGAUUUCAUUUUUGUCAAUAGGAGAUUUUGCUAGGCUUUCCGUAGAUGUAAUCAAGAUUCUUUUUGUUAAAAUUAUUUUAUGGCAAUCACUCUUUAUGAUAAGUUUAAUGAUAUUAAUGCAUGAACAUAUAGUGAAAGCAAGACAUUAGUAAACAUGAUAUUUAUAAGGAGUUUAAAUAAGAAAUGUCCUUCAUGUGCCCUAUUUAGGAUUUUUUAUACAAAAGAGUGGGUAAGGUUUUAACUUAGGUUUAGAUCCUUAGGGUUUAUCUACAUGCUAGGUUCAAAAAGUUUAACAAUCUAAAAGCUUUCAAAUAAUUCUUUAUAUUAUCAUCUAUUGCAGACUAAUAUGACAUCUAACUAGCACUACGUGAUGACAUUAGCUAGCAUCUCACGUAGCAAAUGAAAUACUAUAAUAGAAUUCUCUCAAAGUUUAGAGACCAAAGACGAAAUUAUCUUAAAAUUUUAUAUAUUUCAUAUAUAUUUUAUAAAAUAUUAAAUUUGAAAUUAUAUUUGCAUAUUUUUUUGUUAUAAUAUAAUUUACUAGAUAGAUUUUUGUUUUAAUCACAAAAUAGAUAUUCAAAACUUAAAAUUAAGUUAAAAUUUUCAAAUUCAUUUUCAAAAAUUUAAUUCAUUAAAAAAUUACUAAAAAUAUUAUUUUACCCCUAAGUCAUAAUAAAACAUAUUAUUUUUAUCCAAAAAAUUUAUUUUUAAAAUAUUAAAUGUCUUUUAUUUUUCCUUUUUAAAUAUAUUUUAUAAAAUAUGUUUUAUAAAAAGGAAAAAAGAAAAAAUGUUUUAAAUUAUAUAUUUUAUUUUAUAUGAAUAUAAAGUUUUUAUAUUUAUGAAUUGAUUAAUAUAUCUAUUUUUGAAAAUGACAUGAAAAUUUUGGCAUAAUAUUUUAACAUGAUAUAGAGUUUUUAUUUAAUUUCUUAAACUGAUAAAAAAAAUUUACUUAAUUUUUUAAAAUGAUAUGUAAUUUUAACAAUAUUAUUUUAAAAUUUUUUACUUAAUUUUAAUAUUUUAAAACUUUAUUUUCUAUGAAAAAUAUUAUUUUAUUGAUAAAUUAUAUCAUAAUAAAAAUUUAAAAAUAUUUUAAAUUAUAAUAUUUUAUAAAAUAUAUUUGAAAUAUAUAAAAAUCAAUUUUUUCUUGAAUUAUUUUUAUCUUUUCCUUUAUUUACUUUUUAUAAAAUAUAUUCAAAAAAAGAAAAUAAAAAAUAUUUAAUAUUUUAAAAAAUGUAUUUUAUGGAUUGAAAUUAAUAUUUUUAUAAUGACUUAUGAGUAAAAUAAUAUUUUUAAUAAAAAAUAUUUUUUUGUUUUUUAAAUGAUAUUGAAUUUUGAAAAAUGAAUUUGAAUUUUCAACUUAAUUUUUAAAAAAUUAUUUUCUAUUAAAAAAUAUAUAUAACAAAUAAAUUAUAUUAUAAAAAAUAUAUAAAUAUAUAAUUUUAAAUAUAAUAUUUUAUAAAAUAUAUAUGAAAUAUAUAAAAUUUUGAGAUACUUUUGUCUUUAAUUUCUAAAUUUUGAGAAAAUUCUAAUUUCAUUUUUCAUUUGCUAUGUGGAACAUUAACUGAUGUCAUCACAUUGUGCCAAUUGAAAUUUAUUGUCAAUUUAUAUAGUUCUAUAGACAGAAAGACAAAAUAGGACAAUUUUAAAUAAUUAAAUAUCCGAUUAAAAUUUUUUAAAAUUUACAAAUCAAAAUAAAAUUUAGAUAAAAAUUUAGAAACUGCGGAUGCUAUUAACACUAUUAUAUAUAAAAAAAAUAAAUGAUAAACUAACUUUUAGGUUGAGUCUAAACAAAACAAAUUGUUUAACAGUAAGCCUAGAAAAAGAUAAACCCAAUGGGAUCCAAUUCAUAGUUUUUGUUAUAAUCCUUUUUCCAAGUAAUAUAUAAGAAUAAAUACUAUAAAACCUUAAACCCUUUCUUAGAAGCCUCAAAUCCCUUUAUUCCUUUAUUCCUUCAUUCCUUUUUUGCUUGGUUGUUUUAGGUAUUUGAAUUUGCUUUUUUUUCUUUGCAUUUUUUUUUAACUUUAGUUUUAUGGUUUAAUUUGACAUGAAAAUGACUAUGGUUGUGUUGGAUUUUGCUAUGUUGUUUGUGAUUUUUUUACCUUUUUUGCAUUAUCAGAAAAGAUGGAGCUUUAAAUAUGUAUAGAGAUACCAUGUUGGAAUAUUUACGUUUACAUAUUUCAAGCCACACGAUUAUUGUAAGUUGUUUAAAUUUUAUACUUGUAUGGAAUGUUUGGCAACAAAUUGUUUGAAUCAAUGAGUUUUGGCUAGGUUAUAUUAUUUUGAUAAUAAGGAUUGUUUUCUUACAAUUUUUUCUGAACUAUGUGGCUAUUAAAACCUAUUUUUGAUUAAACAAUAAAAUUCUUUGGAUAGGUAUUAAGUCUUCCUCCCCAUUUAAGACAAUGAUCUACAUCAGUUCCAAUAAUAUAUCAAAAUUUUUUUAUAAAAAAUUAUAGAUAGAUCAUCAAGUUCGGAAGUUUUAAUUGGGUGCAUUUGUUUGAUGUCGUAAUGAACUUCCUCUAUUUUGAAUUCCAUGAGAAGAGUUUUGUUCAUCUUGUUCAAUAAGCGAGUCUUUUAAUUAGCACUUCUUGAAGAAAUUUUGAUUUAUAUAACUUCACCUAAAAGCUUAAAUCUACUUCUUGUAUACACUAAAAUUGUUUUUAUGUCCUUUGUAAACAUUCUAAUUAAUAGGUUUACAAAAUUUUUUAAAAUAUUAAGAGCCAAACACUUGGCUUCUUAUUUCACACUAGAUAAGCUCUUCUAAAUGUUUGUUUUGCUUUGUCAUUAUGUUUAGAUUGGGACACCUACCCAUUAGACAUAAAAAUUGUGAAGUCACUAUCAAUCUUUUUUAUUUAUGUGUGAUUGGUCACCUAUAUGAAUCUAUUCUUUUCAAGGUUAUCUUAAGUGUAAACUAAAAGUCUCUAAAAAAAUAAGUUAUGACCUACAUCAAUAGAAUUAAGGUAUGAGAGUCGAUUACAUAUAAAAAAAAUAUUAGCACCCCUUUACGCUCAAAAUUGGUACUAAAUUAAUUAUGUAUUAUCUAAAUUAAACUUUAAUCAAAGAUGAUUUUAUCAUGCAAAUCAAACAAUUCCAAUCCCUUUUUCUUUAUUUACACCACAUGGUCAUACAAAAAAAUUCUAUCAAAAUAUCAAGCAAUCAUGCAAUAAAUAUUAAAUCAUAUCAUGCAAAAUUUAUCUUGCAAAUAUAUUAUAAAUCAUACCAAAUAUCAUGUAAUAAUAUCAUGCCUAGAUCAUACUAAAUUAUUCAUACAAGAAUGUCAUGCAAAUAUAUUAAUUAUCAUGCAAUAAUAUAAAAUACUAUGUAUAUAUAUUAAUAAUCAUUCAUGCAAAUAUAUGAUCAUGAAAUCAAAUAUAAUCACACAAAUAUAUUAAUACUUACGUAUAAUCAUGCAAUUAUGCACACAAUAAAUAUAGAAACAUGUAAUUAAAUAUCAUUCAAAUAUAAUAUUAAUCAUGCAAUAACACAUAAUAUCAUAUCAUGCAAUGAAUAUAAAAUUAUGCAAUAAUAAUAAAUAACUUUGUAAAUAAAUAUAUUAAUAAUCAUAUAAUAACAGAAAUAAAUAAAUUGAUAAUCAUGCAAUUAAUAAUGUAAAUCAUGCAAUUAAACUUGCAAUUAAAUAAACAAUCAUGCAAAUAAAAAUAUAUAAACUAUGCAAAUAAAUAUGCAAUUAAAUAUAUAAUCAUAUAAAUAAAACUAUAUAAACCACGCAAAUAAAUAUAUAAUCAUGCAAAUAAUAAUAUAUAAACUAUGCAAAAUAUGCAAUUAAAUAUAUAAUUAUGCAAAUAAACAUGCAAUUAAAUAUAUAAUCAUACAAAUAAAUAUAUUAAUAAUCAAGCAAUUAAAUAUAUUAAUAAUUAUGCAAUCAAAUUAAAUAUAAUCAUACAAAUAAAUAUAUUAAUAAAUCACACAAAUAAAUAUAUUAAUCAUGCAAACAAAUAUAUUAGGCAAACAAAUUAUCAUGCAAAUAUAAUAUUAGUCAUCCAAAUUCAUGCAAAAAUAAAUAUAAAAAAAAGAGUAGGCAAUUAAAUAUUAUAAAAAUUAUACAAAAAUCACAUAAAAUGAAAGCAAAUAUUACCUCAAUAAAUCACGGGUUCCAAUAAUUUUUCACCUUUCAAAAAUUAAUACUUCUUACUAUAAAUCUUAGCCUUCUUUCCAAAAACUCCGACUAGAUCUCCUUGCAAAAUUUUUUGCUGGAUUGCUUUUUCCUUGUUGAUUCAAAACUUUGCCCAAAAUUUUUUUUAAUGACCUUUGUUUGAUGUUGAAGUCAAUUGUUGUCAACCCCCCCUUUAAUUAUAGAUUUAAGGUAUUUAUAUAUAAAUUGAAUCCCUUUCGAUUUGGAAGAAAUUAAUUCAAUUGAAUCUAGAAUCUCUCUAAAUUUUAUUUGUGUAAUCUUCCCUUUUUCAAUAAAUUGAGCCCCAAUGCUUUCCAAAAUUAUUCAACCAUUAAAGUUAAAAUCUAAAAUAGAAGCCAAGAGUUGAAUUGAAUCCAAGAUUUUUCAUGCAAAAUCUCACAUAUUUCUUUUUUUUUUAUUUUUACCCUUUAUUAUUAUUUUUUUUACCAAUUAACUUUGACUCUUUUGACUAAAAAAAAUUAAACUAAAAAAUUAAAAUACAAAUAAAUUUUAGGACUUAAUCUUUGGGUCCAAAAUUCACUUUUUCAAUUAAGGCCCAAUUGCACAAUCAAAAUUAAAAUUCAAAGCCCAAUGAAUUUUGAAAAAUCCCUUGAUAAAAUAAGAUGUCUAAAUUACCCCUUUUUGUGCAUUUUCUAUAAAAUAGGAAUUGUACAAAGACAAAAAACAUACAUUUUGUCUAGGUCAAGAAAAAACGAAAAAGAAAAUUGCAAAGGCUCCUCCUCAGAGGUUUGAAGCUUUUUUUUUUUAAAUGCUCCCUAUAAUUAAGACUUUGAAAAUUUUGAAAAAUAAAAUGCUCUCCCAUAAUUGAGGCUUUGGAACCUUUGAAAAAUAAAAUGAAAAUGCUCCCUCAUAACUAAGGCUUUGAAACUUUGAAAAAGUAAAAUACUCCCCUAUAACUAAGGCUUUGAAACUUUUGAAAAAUAAAAUAAAAUAAAAUCAUUCUUACCUUUGAAAAAGCUAAUCCCUGAUAAAGGCAUUGAAACUUUAAAAAAUCUUAUCUUAAAUUGAGUUUCUGCAUCUCAUCUAAAUCAUCAUUGAUUGCCUUCCAAUGUCUUUUUUUAAAAUUAUUUUUUCAUCUAGUUUUUUCUUCUUACUUUUCAAACAUAUGCAAUGAAUGAAAAGAUUCUUUACAAUUCUCAAAUUCAAUUUCAAGAUUCAAACUUCAAUUUUUCUUCCUUUCAAACAUGCAUGAUGCAUGGGAUAAAUAUGAUAAACACAAUGUAUGCAUACAAUGAAUGCAUGAGCUAAAGAUUUUUCAAAAUUCCAUUCUAAUUUCACAACUUAAACUUUGAUAAUUCUUUUCCAAACAUGAAGUGUAUAAGUGCAAUAAAUGCAAUGAUAUAUGUAAUAUGUAAUGAAUGCAAUGAAUGCAAAAUUCCUACCCAAUUUCAAACUUUAGACUUUUUUUUUUUUUUCAAAUAUGCAUAAUGAAUGCCAUGAAUUAGUGCAAUAUUCUCAGCAUAAUGCAUGCAUGUAAUGUAUAUGGUGAACGCAAUGUAUGUAAUGCAAUUUAUUUAUCUUUUCAAUUGCCGUAAAUCAGAGGGUUCUUAAAACUUUUGAUUUAUCUUUUCACUCUUUUGACUCAUUAACACUUAUGGUUUUCAACAUGAGUUAUCAUGUACCAUCAAGUAGUCUCAUCCAUUACAUCAUCCAAAGCCAAAGUUUUUUUCUUUCAUUAGGAUCUCAAGAUUCUUCUUCAUGUCUUUUCAACUUCUUAUCAUGUUUUUUUUUCAACUUAUUUGGAACUGGCUAGCAAAUGUAUUAAUUGAUUUGUAACCCAAAUUCCUUUUCAUUAGCUUUAUCAUUUGAUCUCAACAUUUGGAAUGUUUCUUUUCAUUUGUGAGCCACAAAGAUCAACAUUAUUUUAAACUUCUUUCAUCUUUCACAUUUUAUUUAUAAUAUGCCCCAGUCACAUCCAACUUUUUCAAAAUAAUGUAAGGAUCUUUCAUAACAAUCAUUUAUUCAUUCAUCAUCAUUUUAAUUUAAUGCCAAAUGUAAUCCAUCACAUUUCUUUAAUUCAUCAUGGAAAGAAAUAAAUGGUGAAGAACAAAAAAAAAAAAAGGGUAUUCAUUAUAAGAACAAAUUUGGUAAUAAAUGGGUAAAGAAAUCAUUUCAGGAUGAAUCAAGAUAAAUGCUGAGAAGGGUAUGUAACAUCUAAGAUAAUGAAUAUUCAGACAAUUAUAGACAAAUUAAUUUUGAAUUCUUUUUUUAAAAACUCAUUCUAUUAAUAUUCUUGAUAUUUCAUCAAUUCAAACAUUAUCCCUAUUUCCUAGGGAUCUUCAUCAAGGUUGUUUUUUCAAGUUUUCUUUUUGUUACUUAAACCACCAUUUCGGGUUUUUAGUUUAAGUUUUCCUUUUUCUCUUUUUUUUUUGCUUUUUUUUUGCAUCAUUUCUUUUUUAUUUCCCCUUUUCUCUUAAUCCAUCAGUGAUAUUUCAAUCAAAAUUCUUAAUAUUUUCAUUACAAGUUUAUUUUAGUUCAAUUCAAAAUUUUCACUUAGGACAUUUACAUUUAAUCAAAAUGAAAUUUUAAGGAAUGUAAUGUAGGCUAGGGUCAGGGGAUUAUGAAAGAAAUGGAUAAAGUAAACUCAAAAUUAAUUCGAAAAGUAAUAAACCAAAGAAUCAUUUAUUAUCAUAUGGAAUAGCUUGGUUUUUUAUCCCAUUUUUCAUCAAUUCUCUCUUUUUCUUUGUUCUUUCUUUUUUUUACAUUUUUUUGAUUUGCACUUUUCAUUUUUUUUAGGAAGAAUCUGAGUACUAAAAAGGUUUUUUUUUUUUUUUUUGCCUUUGAAGUCAUUAUGAACCUUCACUUUCUUUUAUCUUUAUUAUUUUUUUUUUUUGUGAUCGAGCCUUUUUCAAACUUUAUCCCUAAUAUGGAAGGUGAUCAUUGAUUAGUAUUUCUUCUAACAAAAAUUCAAUAAGUUCAAAUGGGAUAGCAAAUGGAUAAUUUUAUUUCUUAUGUGAUGGGUAGAAGAAAGAUGGUUACUUCUCAUUUUAAAUAUUAAUACUUUUAAUGAAGAAUAUUUAUUGACUAAAAGCUAACUUGUGAGUGAACCAUCACAAAAAAUCACACACUACAUCAUUUCUAUCUAUGAAUGAACGAAAUCACAUUCUAGUUUCAUUUCAUGAAACCUAUUCUAUUUUACUUCAAUGACCCUAUCACAUUAAAAGUCUAAACUUAUCAAUUCCAUCACUAUGAAUGAUGCUUUCAAAAUUAAAUAUUAAAUUAUUAUCAUAAUUGUCUGAACAUUCAUUAUUUAGAACAUGAAAGUGGGUGAAAUAUGAAAGGCAUGUAUAUAAAAACAAUGUAACAAAUGAGGAGAUGUAAUGAAAAUGCAUCUGUCACUUUAUUAAAAUGAUGAAAGAUAAAAAAAAAACUAACAUAAAAGACUCGAAUGUUUCAAACUUGUAUUAUUUUUUAAAGUUCUUAAGGUAUAAAACAUUUAUAAAAACUCUUUCAAAAUUAUGUCUCAGUGUGGUUAAGCAAAGAUUUCCUGAUGAUACAUGUCCUACAUAGUGAUCAAAAUUCAUCAAUCCAUUUUUUGCUAAACUUUGGACUUUAUACUUUAAUAUUGUGUAAUUUUUUUUGUAGAAUGGCCAACAAGCCUAGGAUAAUAGUCAUAAGUAGCAUUAGCAUCAUACCAUUUUUGGUAGGAAAGCUUCAUAGGUUCUAAAUAAAUUGGUGCAACCAAAUAAUUCUUGAUGAGUUGAAGGAAUAGCUCAGUGUAUGUCAUAAGAAUUGGACCUAUAUGAGCUUUUUCUCUUUUCACCUAAUUCUUAGGUUGAGUAAUUGGUUGAAAGCUAAAUAACUGUAUGACUAGUUGAUGAGCAUAAAGACUUGGGGAGACAUUGUUGAUAGUUAGAUAGUAAGGUUGGUACAUCGUGUAAAAAGAAUAUGGGAUGAAGCCUCCAACCUAUUGCCCAUUAUGAAUUACAACUUGAGCAUUUUUUUUCUUUCUUUUUUAGCACAACUUUUUUCUUUGCAUUACCACUUUCAAGCUUUCCAUUCUUGAUGAUAUUUUCAAUGAUCUCUUCAAAAAUUACCAUAUCAUUAAAAUUUUUAAUUGCAUUUCUAAUCAUCAUUUCUUAGUAAAAAGCCUUAAAAGUAUCAACAAAUAGGAUUGUGGUCUCCUUUUCAGUGAGCAAUGGUUGAACUUGGAUAGCAAUAUUCCUUCAUCUCUAGGCAUAUUCUUUGAAACUUUUAGUAUGCUUUUUUUCAUGCUUUGUAAAGACAUGCGAUUUGGUGCCAGAUCUAUAAUGUGUUUGUAUUAUGAAAUGAAAGCCCUUGCAAGUUUUUUACAUCCAUGAAUGUGAGAUCUAUUCAGUUGCACAUACCACUUAACAGCUGAACCAAUAAGACUAUCUUGAAAAACAUGGAUGAGCAACUUUUCAUUAUGAACAUAUAUAGCCAUCUUAUGAUAAUACAUCAUAAUAUGUGUGAUAGGCAUUUGGUCUCAUCAUAUUUUUCAAACUUGGACACUUUAAACUUUGGUGGAAUCACAACAUCAGGAACCAAGCAUAAUCCAGUAGCAUCCAUUAACCAUAAAAGUUUAUUCUUUCAAUAGCUCUAAUUCUCUCUUUUAUAAGCUCUAUCUUUUGAAAACCAGAGCUUUUUUUAUUUCCAUAGGGCCUAUCUUCAGCUUUUAUUAUUCUUUGAGAUCAUCAAGAUUUAAAACUUAUAUAGGAUCUAAUGUAUUGAUACCAAGAAUAGGGAAAAUAAGAACAUGAGUAGCAGUUGUUAGCAUGUUAGUCUGCACAUAAGGAUAACUUGUAGUGAAUGACAUUUUGGGGUGGGCCCCUUAAGAUGCAUAUACUAAAAUGGGUCAAAGCUAUAGGGGUAUAGUGGAUCAGUCUCAUUUUGUAUCACUACUUCUUCUACCACUUUUUUCUCUUUGUUCAUGUUUUUCAAUAAUUCUGUAAUAGUUUUCAACUACCCCUUUAGUUCUUUUUGUGACUUUUUUAACUUUUGAAAAUGAAUAGUACCUUUUUCUUUCAUGAUCCUUGCCUGAUAUCUAGUGUUGUAAUGCCUCAAAUUAUUUAAAGAUUGAGCUAUUCUUGAAUCUUGAUUUACUAUAAAUUUUUUAUAAAAAAAAUUAGGAUGACUUAUUAUCAUGCACUUUGAAAAAAUAUUUAUAUAUAAAUGCAUGAAUGCAAUAAGAAAGAUUUAUUGCAUAAUAAUUGUUAAUAAAGAAAAUUUUUAUUGAAUUGAAAGUUAUUUCUAACCAAAUCCAAUAUUACAUCCAUAAGAAGUCUAAAGUUUAUUGUGAAAAAAAAUCCAUAAUUUAUCGAUAUUAGCUUUGUACUUCAUAAAAGCUAGCAGCUAUUGGCCAUGUGCUCCCACUAGUGGCAUCUUUGUCUUUCAUUCUUUAACUUUUCUACCAUGCCUUAACUUUGUAAGUAGCCAUGGUAAUUUGAUCGAGCAAGCACUCCAACUUGUUAUGCUUUUUCACAUAUACUUCAUUUACUUAUUCACAUUUUUCAUUCACAACAUCUAUUUGUGUUUCAAUUUCGACCACUAUCCCAUUGAGUAUUUGGAUGUGCUUUUGUAUUUCGAUGAGUGCUUCAUCUUUUUCUUGCAUCUUUGCUUGCAAUUGUCUAAAGUUGAGCUAACUCAUGAUUGGUGAAUGACUAUAUGAUAUUGAGAUAAAAAAAGAUUAUUUCAUUCAUCCCUUUCUUGUUUGAUUGCUUGAACCUUUUUAUCAAUUCUUCCAUUUAAUUCCUUUUUUAGCCUUCAAUUCAUCUUUUUCAACUUGGAGUUUUCUUUUAACAUUUUCCACUACUAAUAGGGGAUUAAGAGGUGAUGAUUUCAUUAGGUCAUUUAGAGUUAUUUUUUUAAGGAUUUUAAUGUCUUUAACUCACCUAAUAUGUCACACAAAGUACUCAGGGUAACUUUAUUUGAGAAUCUCCUUCUAUUUUUCUUUUGAGCUAAAUUUCAAGCUUGUAGGAUUUUGGCUAUCUUUAUGGAGACAUCAGUUUCAACAUAUAAGAACUUUAUUUUACUAAGUCCAAAAAUGGUUGGGAUAAACUAUUCAUAACUAUAUUGUCUUUACACCAUAUAGGAGAAUAACUCACUGCACUCCAAAAGGCUAAGAAAGAAACUCAAAACUUAUCUUCACAACUAUGCAACAUUAGUCCAUAAAGCAUCCAAAAAGCUCUUCAUAUCGCAUCUUGGCUUAUGAGCUUGCAUAGAAAUAAGAUUCAUUCUUCCUUGGAUUUUUGUGUAGGCCAUUCAUUCUCACAGAAUUCCUUGAUAGGAAUGCUUGUAGUGAAAAAAGGCUUACGAAUUUACCACCAUUAUUUUCGAUAUAACUUUUCAUCCAAAUAGUUAAUAAUAAGCAUAUCUAGUAAAAUAACCUUUUUCGUUAUGGUGAUAAUGAUUUAAAGAUCUAAUAGUCUCAGCUAAAAUUAUAGGAAUAUGGUUGAUUUAGUAACCAAGUUAAUCAAAGAAAUCCACCAUUACAACUUUUAGAAAUACCAUCAUCCCAUAUAAAGCUAAUGCCAUCAAAUACAUUCAUCUUUUAGUGUUAAAAUAUUUGUAUAUAAAGUCACAAACAAUGGACUAACGAGUGCCAACACUUUCACCUUUUCUUUUUACCCAAUUAUCAACAAUUUGCACAUCUACUACCAUCAUUUGAGCAAACUUUUUUCGAUAACCAGUCUUUUAUUUUUCUAAUAUACCUUAUCAAGAUUAAGGAGAUCCAAGUGAAAGAAAGUUGAAUAUUCUUUGAUAGUUAGCACCAUAUCAACCUCAUUGAAUAUAAAGCAGUGAUAUGAAGAGUCUCAAAACUAAACCAUAGCCCUAAUAAGUUGAUUAUUAAUAUGGACUGAAAAAAGUAAUGCAAGGUCCCCAAACUUUUUUUAGAAAGCUCAUUGGCAAUGACACUCUAAUGAUUCCAAAUACCAACCAAAUCACUAAAAUCAUUUCAUUUUAGAUUGAGAUGGAUUUUGGCAAAUAGAGUAGUUACAUAAUUGGCUAGCAAACAAUCAUCUUUUUUAAGUUGAGCUUUUUUUACUUCAUUCUCAGGCACAUAAGAAACUUUGAUAGGUUCGCCAUGGAUGUAAUUAAUUUUUUUUUAUUGUUUUGUUGUAAUCACUCUUUAUACAAAUAUAAUGAUGCAUGUAUGCACAAUAAAGUAGAGAAAAAAAGGUUAGUUAAUAUGAUAUAACAUAUACAAGGAAUACAUACAAGAAAAUAACACAACAUAAAAGGUUAGUAUGUAAGGAAUAAUAAAUUUACAAGAAUAGUAAUUAUCCCAUCAUGUGUCCUACUUAAGUUUUUUCUAAUAAAAUGGAGGAUAGGGCUCUAACCUAGGUUUAGAUCUUUAGGGUUCAUGUACAUGCUGGGUUCAAAAGCUUAACAAUCUAAAAGCUCACAAAUUAUUUUCUACAUCAUUGUCCAUUGUAGACUAGUAAGGCACUCCAAUCCUUGCCCACCAUUAUAGGCUCAAACAGAAAGAGUUCAAUUUGAGUGAGAGUUUUUGCUAGAUCACAUGAAGAUUAUCAUCUCACAAAAGUGUAUGUACUUGCUCCCUUUUAAUAAAGAAUAAAGUCUGGGUGUAAAGCUUAUACAUGAAUGUAAGUAUGAUGUGUGUAAAGCGACAUGUAGAAUAAUAAAAUAAUUAGGUGUAAAUAAAAAAAUUUGUAAACCAAACAAAUAAGAAAUCACAAACAAAUAGGUUAGUCCAUAUGAAAUUAUAAAUAAUUACAUAAUAAAAACUAUUAAAGUAAGGCUUAAGAUAAUACAUAACUAACUGAUGGCUUGACUCUCUAAUGUCUCCAGUGGAGUCACCAAAUUGUCAUAGCAUUUAGACCGAAAAACUACUCAUUAGACAAAAAAAUCAUGAAAUCUCCACCAAUCUUUUUUACCUAGGUGUAAUUAGUCACCUAUGUGAAUCUACCCUUUUUAAUGUUAACCUAAGUGUAAACGAAGGGUCUCUAAAAGAAUAGUUUAUGGUCUACAUUAAUAAAACUAAGAUUCGAGAAUCAGUUACAUGUAGAGAAGGUAUUAGCACCUUUUUACGCCCAAAAUUGGUACCAAAUUAAUUAUGUGUUAUCUAAAUUAAACCUUAAUCAAAGAUGAUUUUAUCAUGCAAAUCAAACAAUUCCAAUUCUUUUUUUUUUAUUUAUAGCACAUGGUCAUACAAAAAAAUUCUAUCAAAAUAUCAAGCAAUCAUGCAAUAAAUAUUAAAGCAUACCAUGUAAAAAUUAUUAUGCAAAUAUAUUAUAGAUCAUCUCAAAUAUCAUGCCUAAAUCAUACUAAAAUAUUCAUGCAAGAAUGUCAUGCAAAUAUAUCAAUUAUCAUGCAAUAAUAACAAUAAUGUAAAUAUAUAAUAUCAUGCAAAUAUAUUAAUUAUUAUGCAAUAAUAUAAAAUACCAUGCAAAUAUAUUAAUAACCAUUCAUGCAAAUAUAUAAUCAUGAAAUCAAAUAUAAUCACACAAAUAUAUUAAUAAUUAUGUAUAGUCAUGCAAUUAUGCACACAAUAAAUAUAAAAACAUGCAAUUAAAUAUCAUUCAAAUUAAUAUAAUAUUAAUCAUGCAAUAACAUAUAAUAUCAUAUCAUGCAAUAAAUAUAAAAUUAUACAAUAAUAAUAAAUAACUAUGCAAAUAAAUAUAUUAAUAAUCAUACAAUCACACAAAUAAAUAAAUUGAUAAUCAUGCAAUUAAAUAUAUAAUCAUGCAAUUAACAAUGUAAAUCAUGCAAAUAAACAUGUAAUUAAAUAUAUAAUCAUACAAAUAAAUGUAUUAAUAAUUAAGCAAUUAAGUAUAUUAAUAAUUAUGCAAUCAAAUUAUAUGUAAUCACACAAAUAAAAAUAUUAAUCAUGCAAAUAAAUAUAUUAGGUAAAUAAAUUAUUAUGCAAAUAUAAUAUUAGUCAUCCAAAUUCAUACAAAAAUAAAUACCAUGCUAUAAAUAUAAAAAUAAGAGUAAAAAAUUAAAUAUUACAAAAGUUAUAAAAAAAUCACAAAAAAAAAAAUGAAAGCAAAUACUACCUCAAUGAAUCACGGGUUCCAACAAUUUUUUAUCUUUAAAAAACUAAUACUUCCUACAAUGAAUAUUAACCUUAUUUCCAAAAACUCUAAUAGGAUCUUUUUACAAAUUUUUUUGCUUUAUUGCUUCUUCCUUGUUAAUUCAAAACUUUACCCAAAAUUUUUUUUUUCAAUAACCUCUAUUUGAUUUUAAAGUAAAUUACUGUUAGGCUCCAAUUUAAUUAUAGAUUCAAGGUCCUUAUAUAUAAAUUGAAUCCCUUUCAAUUUGAAAGAAAUUAAUUCAAUCGAGUAUAGAAUUUCUUUUUAAAUUUUAUUAUUUGUGUAAUCUUCCUUUUUUCAAUAAAUUGAACUCUAAAUCUUUCCAAUAUUAUCCAACUAUUAAAGUUAAAAUCUGAAAUAGAAUCCAAUAGUUGAAUUGAAUCCAAGAUUUUUCAUGCAAAAUCCUACAUUUUUCUUUUCUUUUUUUGUUUUUUUAAAUUUUUAUCUUUUUUUUUUUUACCAAUUGACUUUGAUUCUUUUGACUAAAAAAAUAAAAAUUAAACAAAAAAUUAAAAUACAAAUAAAAUUUAAGACUUAAUCUUUGAGUCCAAAAUUCACUUUUUCAAUUAAGGUCCAUUUGCACAAUCAAAAUUAAAAUUCAAAGACCAAUUAAUUUUGAAAAAUCCCCAUAUAAAAUAUAUGUGUCUAUAAGUUUGAUUGGAGUUUUUAUAAGAAGUGCUAUUUAGAGUAAAACCCUUCUAAAAGUGUUGUAAAAAGAAGCUAAAAUAGUGUUUGGUAAAUUUUAUGCAUGAGUGCUGUAGAAUAUUGAAAAAUUAUUCGAUAGAAUUUUACAUAAAAUAAAAAAGGCAACUUUAUUAAAUUAAAUGAAAAUUUUUAGGUGAAAAAUAAAUAAAAAAGAUAUUUUUGUUAAUUAUAAUAAAAAAUAAAUGAAUUCGAUAAAAAUUAAUGUUAAAUAAUAUAAUUCUCCUUAUUAUUUUGUAAAUUAUUAAAAAAUAAAAUGAGAAUGUAAAAAAAAAUUCAUUAAAUAUUUUUUAUUAAAAUUAUCACUUCUUGAAAAAACUUUGAUUUAUAAUUUCAUCUAAAAAUUUAAAUUUAUUAUCCAUAAUUUCUUAGAGGGACCAAAAAUUAAGCCAGAGAUUAUACUACUAAAUAAUGAAAAUUGGAACUGUCCAAAUGAAUGAUUAAUGCUCCAUGUAGUCUUCUCAAUUUUCCAUUUGACUAAGCCAACAGUGGCAUCUGAUUGUGCCAUCGAGUUGUGUUCUACGAUUAACAUUUAUGGUUGAUGAUGUUUAUUUUUAGUUGCUUUCAUGUAAUUAUCCUUAGAGUCUGUCUAUGAACAUAAACCCAGACUCCCCACUUUCCUUGAGUGGAUUGGAGCAGUUUGAUUGUAGAUGGUAAUUGCUCACUUCCAAAGUCUUGUUGAUAGUUUUCAACGCGGGGAAUUCUAUUUACAUUCUAAUUUUUAUUUUAUAUAUUCCACUAUUAAAUAUACCUUAAAUUUAAAUUUAAAUUUUUUAUUUUUAUUAAAUAUACUCCAUCCCUCAAUAAUUGACUUUUCUUUCGUGCCUUUAACAUUUUUUCUUCUCUCCCAUUUCAACCGUAAAAUUUUAGCUUUUUAAAAUUAGAUUUUCGAGAAAUCUUUAAGACUCUUAAAAAAUAUAUUUUUGAUAAGUCUAAAAGACUUUCGAAAAUACAUUUUUCAAAGCUUUUAAAGUUUUUGAAAAUUCAAUUUUAUUUUCAAGAAACCUUUAAAGUUUUCAAAAAAAAUUUUUCGAAAAAUUUUAUUUUUAAAAAAUAACAUAAAUUUUAAAAAUUUAUUUUUGAGAAUAUAUCAUAUAAAAAGUUAAAGGUAUUGUAUUCUCAAAAAUAAAUUUUUAAAAACAUUAAAAAAUAAAGUUCAAUUGGGUGAGAUUUCAUUACCUCUUUGAAAUAGUUUUUCUCAUUAUUGUUUCUCAUUUUCUAUCUUUUUUACAUGAUUUGUAAGAUUUAACAAAAAUUUUAAAAUUUUGGUUUCAGUUUUAAAGAUUUAAAGUUUAGUGUACAAGAAAAAAAUGAUGAAAAAUGAAAAAAAAAGAAAGAAGAAAAGGGAAAGAAGGAGAAGAUGGUAAAAUUUUAAUUUAUUAAAGGAUAAAUUUGAUAUUUGUUAUGUGAAUAUUUUAAAAAAAAAAUUGACGAGGCAUAAUGAGAAAUUUGGUGGUGAAUUUAGAAGCUUCUUUCAUCGCAAAACUUUGAGGUUUGGUAAUGAGGAAAUGUCUAAUUAACCCUUGAGAUAAAACAUCAGCUAAAACAAGAACAAAUGCUGUAAUAAGACAGAUAUAGGAGGAAAAGAGGAUAUUUCAGUCUCGAUGUACUCUACUCAUGCCCAAAUUACCAAUACGUGCCUACUUUGCACUUUCAGUAGUAGACAAGGCAACGUGUAAAUUCUCCAAGCUUGUCCCUCAACGUGUCACUCAUAGACAAAUCUAACGCCACUUCGUUACUUCUAUUACCCAAAAACAAUUAGAAAAAAGGUUAGAACAUAGAACCGAAAGGAAAAACUCCAAAUUGAGGUCUAGUCCAAGAGGCUAUGGUUUGGUCCGUUGAGCCAUUGGUUGUAGGCAGAGUGAUCGGAGAUGUGCUCGACAUGUUCAGUCCUGCCACUGAGUUUUAUUGUCCCGUAGGGCACCAAGCAGGUCACUAAUGGCUGUGACAUCAAGCCAUGUGUUGCUUCUGAUAAACCUUAUGUUCAAAUUCUUGGCCUUUCCAUCUCCAGCUGUUUAUACACUCUCGUAUGUAAUUCUUGCUAAAAUUUUCUCUAAUUUUCUUAUAACUAUGUCAGUUAUUCAAGAUAUAGUACUGUGGCAAUAAUAUGUAGGUUAUGGUUGAUGCUGAUAUCCCCCUGGUAAUUAAGGGGGUGGCUCCACUGGUAAUUAAUUACAUUAUUAUGCUUAUCCACUGCAUUUGUAAUAAGAAUGGAAUAUUCAUGUAACUAAUACAUAAAAUUUGGUACAACUCACAUGUUUCUGCUGCAGGAUUGUUGUAGAUAUUCCUCAGGCACAUGAUGCAACCAAAGGUAUAUAGCUUUUCCAUUCUACUCUUUCAGCUGAAAACAUUGUUCUUGAUUAUUAUGAGGAAAACAUAGAGAUUCAAGAUAAUUUAAAAAUCUCUAUCUAAAUUUCAUCUAAUUCACAAUUUGGGUCAAAUCUAAAACAACUUUUGAUUCUAAACUAUAUCUAACUUUUCAUAAUUCAGGAAGGGAGUUAGUUUCUAACAUGGGACCACGGCCUACUACAGGAAUUCACAGGUAUAUUUUGGUUCUCUUUAAGCAGGAAGGAGCAGUGGAAGGAGGGAGUCAACUGUCAGAUGCCCGUGCCAACUUCAGUACUCGCCAAUUUGUUGCUCAAAAUGGGCUGCGACUUCCCGUUGCUGCAUUGUAUUUCAAUUCAGAGGGAACCGGCAAUGAAGAAACGCUAGCUGAUGGAUCAUAGCUUACAGUGCAAUAUUUAAUCCUCAAUAAUUGGUAGAUUUUGUGAUAAAUUCUUAUUCACUUAAAAAAGGAUAUGUACAGAAUAGGUUGGUAGGGUUAUGAAGAAGGAUGUUUGUUGUUUCAGAACUUAUUUUGUUCUGUAUUUAAUUUUCAUAUUCAUUUUGUCUGAAUUUAAUUAAAGUCAGAAUCAUGAGAUAGUGAAAUUAGGAAGAGCACAUUCAAAAAGAUUGGAUGUGUGUUGGAUAGUGUUUCUACAUAGGGCAAACCAUGACCACUGAGUUGAAUUGAAAUUAAACUUGAUGAGACCACAACUUUUGGGCCUUAAUUACCUAAUAUAGAUUAUUGAUUUGUUUUAAAUCAUAGUAAAAUAAUUUUAUAUUAAGAACUUGAAUUUGGUUAAAUUCAUUGACGAAAUAUUUUUAAAAAAGUAAUAUUUAAUGAAUUUAAAUUUUAAAUUUUAAUAUUUAUAAUUUUUUAUUCUUAGAUUGCAACUUGGUUUGUAAAAUAUAUAUAUAUAUAUAUAUAUCACACUACAUCUUUUUAAUUUGUUGUAAUAAAAUUCAGUUGUUCUUGAAAAAUUAGCCAGCAAAUUUGACCAUCAAGACUCAAAAAUUUAAGAUUUUUCAGUAACUUAGAAGAAUAAAGCAAGAAUUUGAAACUUCCCCAAUUUAGCCAUUAGGCACCAAGGAUUUUUUGGCCUUUCCAAAAUCUGCGGAGUUUCUCUGACCUUUUCCAACCUUUCCUCUCAAGUAAUUUACUUUAAAUACGAUUUAAGACAAGCCAGACAAAAUAAGGCAAUUGCGUGAAGCCCACGAGGGCCAAUCAAAAGUGGGCCCAAAAAUUCCUGAGCUGACGUCUUCUCCAAUCUUAGGGCCAUUGAGUCAGACGCAGAUCUCAACUUGUUCUUCUUCCUCUGGCGCCGCUAGGUUUUACCGAAAACGAAAAAAGAAUGAAGUUUGGGCAUUAAAAACACAUCCGAAUUUUUUAUUGUUAAUCAGAACAGAAUCAUCCAUGAGAAAAUGCUUUCAAGAACUUCGUCUUCUGCUUCUUCUUCUAUUAUUCACCGCCUUCAUACGCUAGCUUCUUCAAAGCUCCCUCUUUUGCCUUCUCUUUCUACAUCGCCAUGUCCAGGUUCUUCUCUUUACCCUUUCUUUUUUUUUUUUUGGUUUUUUGUUAAAAAUUUUUUUUUUUGGCUUGGGUUAUUGUUUCCUGGGUCUGGGUUUUUUGGGGGAUUAGCUUCUCUCUGAGCUUUGGUUUAAGGGUUUUAAAGUUUUUCUUUUUUUUGUUUUAGAAAAGGUGAUUUUUUUUUUUAUCUAAGAACUAAGAAGGUUUAUUCUGGUGUUCUUUGGGUGUAGCAAAAUGUAAUGAUUUCCUUAAUUUAAUGAUAGCACAAUUAAUUAUUACAUUAGAGGUUUGAACCUUUUAGAAAAAUAUGUUUCCAACAACUUGGGAGGUAUGAAAGUAGAUUUCUUGCUGUCAUAUUGUGUGAAAUUGACAAAUGGAUUUUGUAUACUUACCUUUCUUUGUAAGAAAUUUAGAAUAGCUUCUAAGCUUUAUAGAAUUAAUAUGGUUAAUGAUGAGAGAACUGUUGGGAUGCAGACUUUUGACAUUUGUUAGGAAAGCUGCGCAAUCUGCUAUUUCAAACCAGAGAAGGAGUUAUUCAGAAUUUAGGAAGUAUGGAACAGUUGUUAGUAUUGGGUUGCGUUUGCCACAAUGUAGAGUUUACUCCAAUUAUAGGUAUAACAUUGGAGGAAAGCCUCCCUUCUUACUGCAGAAUACCAAGGAAGGGUUGUGUCGAGGUUAUUUUGCCAGGAACCAUUCCUUCCUUUCUGCAAGUGGUGCAGUAACUCAUCAUGCCCAAGUUGCUUGGAAAAGGCUUACCCACAAAUGUUCUGCCACUGGUCGUACUUUACCCCAAAUAAGCAGGAUUGCUCAAGCAGUCAGCUUAGCUUUGUCCCGCUCACACUUGAUAGUUCCUGGUAUUUUUGGCUUGAUAUGUGGACAAGUGGCAUUGGCACAGAGGACUUUAGUACAGACAGAUUACUACCCAUCACAGAAUUCUUUGUCUAUGCGUGCACAAGAUGGGCAUGCUUUUGUUUCCUCUUUACUAUUAUCGGUAGUAGAAGGUGUUAUACUGCUGGUGAGGGCUCUGUAUCUUGCAGUUUUAUUCUCUCCUAGCAUAAUAAUGGCACCAUUUGCCGACUCUUGUGGUCCCCAAUUCAGGAAAAUGUGGCUUGAGGUUGUGCAUCGCACACUUGAAAAGGCAGGUCCAGCAUUCAUAAAGUGGGGUCAAUGGGCAGCAACACGACCAGAUCUCUUCCCUAGAGAUUUAUGCACCAAGCUUUCAGAGCUUCACAGCAAAGCUCCUGAACAUAGCUUUGCCUACACAAAGAAAACUAUUGAAAGAGCAUUUGGCCGCAAGCUUUCUGAAAUUUUUGAGCGUUUUGAAGAGGAACCUGUGGCAUCUGGAAGUAUAGCUCAGGUGCACCGGGCUACUUUGAGAUUCCGCUAUCCUGGUCAACAGGUCAAGCCUAUGGUAGUUGCUGUAAAGGUUAGACAUCCUGGUGUUGGUGAAUCAAUUAGGAGAGAUUUUAUGAUUAUCAACACAGUGGCAAAGUUAUCAAAGUUCAUUCCAACACUGAACUGGUUGAGAUUGGACGAGAGCGUCCAGCAGUUUGCUGUUUUUAUGAUGUCUCAAGUUGAUCUUGCAAGGGAAGCUGCCCAUUUGAACCGUUUUAUAUACAAUUUCCGAAGAUGGAAGGAUGUUUCUUUUCCUAAGCCUGUGUAUCCACUUGUGCAUCCUGCUGUUUUAGUGGAAACUUAUGAGCAAGGGGAAAGUGUCGCACAUUAUGUUGAUGGACUUAAAGGACAUGACCGGAUUAAGAUUGCACUUGCUCAUAUUGGAACUCAUGCACUUUUAAAGAUGCUUUUGGUAACUACUUUUAAUUUGUUUGCAUACGCUUCUGGUAACAUUCAUAUGUGAUAUGUACUUGAUGAUGUUUGAUCCCUUUUUCCCAUCAUCUUGACUGUUUUAGAAAUAAAGUAUAACGAUUAUGGUUUCCAAGAGAUUAUAAUUUUCUUCUUUCAGGUGGACAACUUUAUUCAUGCUGACAUGCAUCCUGGAAAUAUCCUUGUUCGGGUGUCUCAAAGCAAGGCUUCUCGAAAACGGCUAUUUAAAUCAAAGCCUCAUGUCAUCUUCCUUGAUGUAGGCAUGACUGCUGAACUUUCUAAGGGUGACCGUGUAAAUUUAUUGGAAUUUUUUAAGGCUGUUGCCCGUAGAGAUGGCCGCACUGCUGCAGAGUGCACACUCAGACUAUCGCAGCGACAAAACUGCCCGAACCCUAAGGCUUUUAUUGAGGUGAUGUAUAUAGAUGUAACCCAAACUGUUCUCAAACCCAAAGGCUUUUAGGGCAGUGAGGAGUUAAGGAAAAUGCUUUUGUUGUUAUGUUCUUUUCCUUAUUUUCCCAUUUAGUCUACCCAAAUGCUUUCGAUUGUCAUCCCUUGUUCUAUUGGUUUUUCAUUUCAGAUGAAUGCAUUAAUGGUGUGUCAUCUCUAUUCCAAGUCAGAAUAUCUUUAUUCUACCCCUCUGAACCGUUCCAUUUUCAUACAAGUUAUUUAAUUCUAUAUCUUCUUUGUGUUCUUAUUCUUAGUUUUCUAAUACCAUGUUUCACCAGGAAGUAGAAGAAGCAUUCACUUUUUGGGGUACUCCAGAGGGUGAUCUAGUCCAUCCGGGUGAAUGCAUGCAACAACUGCUUGAGAAAGUAAGGCGUCAUAAAGUCAAUAUUGAUGGAAAUGUAUGCACUGUGAUGGUCACAACUUUGGUUCUUGAGGUAACUUCUGUCUUCAUUUUAUGUGCAUCCAAACUUUCACCUUGAAACCUUGACCAAGCAUUUGAGACGUCUACUCCAUGCCCCCCUAUUUUUGCUCUUAUUUACCUGCUAGGAAAGAAUUUCUUGUCUUUAUGUUUGCUCAUGUUUAUGUAUUGUGCUUUAUGUUUUUAUCUGAAGGAAACAAAAUAAAUAGCUGUCAUCAUAGUUGUUGAGUAAAUCUGCCAGACUAGUUGAGUCUGGAAGUUAAGAAAGGGGACGUAUUCCCAUCUCAGGAUUGUUUCAUAAUAGUCCUAGGCGUGACUUGCUGAAAUGUCUUUACAAUAUGAAAAUAAAAUAAUCAUUAUUGCCAUUUCAGAUAAAUUGAAUUAUUUCAUCAUCACAUUUUGGUUCUUGUUUAAAAUGUAGGGUUGGCAAAAGAAACUUGAUCCAGGAUAUAAUGUAAUGCAAACGCUACAGACAUUGCUACUCAAAGCUGACUGGGCAAAAUCGCUUUCCUACACUAUUGAUGGGCUGAUGGCUCCAUAAAACAUUAUCCGAAGUAUGGUUAGCUGAAUGCAUUCUCUCAAUGGAUCAUUUGUUUCUGUUUCUAGAAAACAAUUUUGAUAGAGCUGAGACCCUAGAAUAUACCGGUCCUGAAAAGCAUCAUAAGUAGUAUUUAUCUUUUCAAUGAAAUUUUGAGCUAAUGUGAAAUUUAAUCCUUCUGUAAUUAUUUGUUAGUUUGUUACUUUCCGCUAUUCAUUGCUGUUAUAUCUUUAGCCCCCAAAACUCACAGAGGGGCAACACAGAAAUAAAGUGUCAAACUUUUUUUUUUUUCCUUUAAAUUGUUAUGGAGGGACAAACAAUUCAUGUACCAACACGUAGUGGUCGAUUGGUUUUGUUGUGUACUUUAUGUUUUCGAAACUUUUGUUUUGUUUUAUUUUUAAUUUAUUGAAUUUGAAAACACGUUGAGAUAGUUUUUGUUUUCGAAAUGUAAAAAACAAAAACAUGUAAGGGAAAGUGAUUAAAACUCUAAGAUUCCAUUUGUUAUUAAUAAUAUAUUUAUAUUAAUAUAUUAUUAUUUAUAAUAUAUUAUUUAUAUUAUUAAUAUAAUGUUUAUACCACAAAAAUAUUAUUUUAUUAAUAUAAUAAAUUAGCGUCAUUAAAAGAGUUUAAUUGUAAUUUUGUGAACAGUAUCCAUGUAAUGACAGUUUUAAAUUGUUUUCAAAAAAUUUAAAAUAUCAUUUUUAUGUUUUCAACAAUUUUUAAAAUUUUUCAAAAUUUUAUUUUCAAUUUUCAAAAAAAAAAAAAAAAAAAAUUUACUGAACAUGUUUUUGUUUUUAAUUUAAAAAAUAAAAAAGACUAAACGAAAACACAAAACAGAAAACAAAAACGAUACUAAACGACCCUUAAUUAAUGAAAUGGUGCUUGAAUUGUGCAAGGAUAGUAGCCAUCAACAAAUAGCAAUUUCUAGUUCUCUUCUAUUGAUUAUUGCUGAAAAAUUACUCCUUAUUUCUGUUCUUUGCCAGGAACAAAAUUAAACAUAAUCAUGGAGCAAAUUUACUCGGGCCACAGCCGAAAACCUCUUGUUUUCUGUCAAUGCAUAAAACUCUGACUUGAUGCCUUAAACUAAAUUUCAGAAAUGGAAGGAGAGGAAUCAUUGAAUAAAAAAAUAUUCCAUCCAUUACAGGAACAACUCAGUUGAAAACUAAAACAAUUUCCACAUUGCCUUUCUUUUGAACAAAUGGUUGCUCAACAAAAGGAGCAUCAGAUUGACAAAGAUCGGUGAUUGCUUUAUUAGAGAAAUUAGCUCUGGUUGUAUUGAACAAAAAGGUAAAAUACUAUGAAUGAUUUUCCAUCUGACUUCGGUUGUAAUAAGUAGAUGGUUGAUCAAUAUUACACAUUUACAAAGUCAGUUGCAGUAAAGUGGCCUAGUUCCACAUGAUUUGACUUCCAUAUCCAAUGGGGGGAGAGAAUGGACAAUUGCAUCAAAAUUUCCGCAUGCAGUGAGCAAUGCUUUAAAAAAGGAAAAACCAUAGAGCACAGCAAUAGCCAGAAACUGAGAAUCCCUCAGAUCACAUGACAUUUUUCUCCAAUUCUCAACUACUCACUGAGCUCAGCACUGGACCUAAACUCAAGAAUGAGGCAUUAUGUUAUUAGCUGUAAUUUUAGUGGAGUUUGAUGAAAUAUCAUGCUAACAGCAAGAUAAAGACUUAAUAUUACCACAAAAGUAACUUACUCUGCACAUGUAAGCUCACGAAUUUCUCUUAUUGCUGCUCUAAUCCUAUACAGGGCCAUCUUCUCAACCUUGAUUUUGGAGCAAAAGCACAACAUAUUCACAUUACUACAGAAAAUGAAAACUGUUAACUAGAGUUACAUUUUAAAAAAGUUUACCUCAAACUUCUUUGCUUUUGCUUUGUGAUCUUCUGGAAGCAGACGAAGUUCAUCUAUCAACUGGAUACACUUGGUCACAUUUUCCGGUGAAACAAAAUCCAAAACCACAUUAACGCAGGACUGUAGGUUGUCAGGGGAAAAAAAAUCUUCGUAGCCAUAUAAAUUGGUAAAAUUUCUUGGCAAAGAAAUAACUUGUAAUUCAUAAAAUUGAAAUAAAUGAAGACACAUAUGGAGCAAAUAUAAAAUUAUUGAUAAUUUACACAUAAAAUCAUUCAUAACAGUAAAUUUCAUAAUAAUUAUUCAAGACCAAAGACAUCAGUAGUAUACGUUACCUUAACAUUCCUAAUCUGGUAUGGACAGCCAGCUGGAAUUAUAACAGCUUCUCCAACAUGUUGCUCAAAAGUCCAGGGUUCAAUUUCUAGUAGCAAUAUGAAGUGGAAAGAAAUUUCAGUAAGUUUAUCCUCAAAUAUAAUGAGAUAAACAAAACUUAGUAAACUCACCAUACUCCUCCUUCAGCCUUCUCUUGUGACUUGUGUCAAGAAAGAAAUUCUGAUCAAGGAUUGGAUGAACCACCUGCAGGAGGGUAAAAAAUCAGAAUUAUGUCCAUUCUGCUAGCACAUUGUCAACUCUCGGAACUGGUCUUACAUGCUUUCGAAAGCCACACGUGUGACCAAACUCAUUUGAAUGCUUUCUAAGGUACUCCAUAAGCUUUGGAACAUCCUGCCUUCGGAAGACAUCCCAUUCUGCACCGCAUGACUUGGCCAAGUCAGUUCUUUCCCCAAACACUUCCUGCUUUUCUAAUGCUUCUGUGUUGUGAAUGGUAUGGCAUGGAAGUAGUGCAGGUUCAGAAUUUGAAUUACAAUCAGAAUCAGAAUCAGAGUCAGAGCUAUCUUCCUUAUCAUGGUAAACAUCUCUAUCUUUGAAACCUAAAUCAUGUGCAUCAUGCACAGCAGAAGGUAAUCGGGAAACUUUGGGUACUCCGUCAUAAGCAUGCAUUUCUUUACCAAUCAUUUCAUUCAUUCCUACUUCUUCCAUAUUUUUGCCAUGUGGUGGAGAUUUUUCCUUGACUUUAUAAGCCAUCUUUUGAUCAAGAGUAGUAUUAGCAAGCUCCUUUUGGUCUUGAGAUUUUUUCUUUUUCAUUAACUUUCUUAUUUUAUUAAGCUGCUUCAUGGACACAGAAGCAUCUGUAGCAUGUGCCAAAACAUUAACCUGGGAUAGAAAGAGGGAAAAGGAAAGACAAUAAAUGAACAAGAUUACUUACAUAUCAAUGGAGUUUUCAGCAAGUAUGAUAAAUGUAUGUAUUAAAGGGGUUUUCACAAGAAUAGAUAUAGAUUUAAGGUUGUGCUUUACUGGAAGGUUCAUAUUUCACUUUGAACAACUUCAAAUCAUAUCCCCAAUAGUUGAUGCUCAGUGAACUCCAUGAUAACAUUUCAAAUAAUUUCUUGCUGAGCUCACCUUACAACAUUAUCCUUCUAAGGGAUGAUAAGAUUUGUCAGAAUAUACAUACAUUUUGUAAAGGUAGAAAGUUAUAUGGACAAGGAUACACAGAUGAUCAAUUAGACACACGAUGCCUUGGUCAAAUCAUAUUUUGAAAAUUGUAAAAGAAGUGCAUAGCAUGAAAUAUGUGUAAGAGAUUAUGAUGCAUGUCAAUAUGCAAGAUUAAGCAUGACUCAAAUUUAUUUUCCACUAUGAAAUGUGCACUUGGCUGAGUUGUUAGUUUUAUCAGAAUGUUCACAACAUACAGUAAACUGUUCACUAGCAAAUAUCAUUGUGCAAGAGUAAUUAACAUUUGAGUCUAGAUAACUUGAAUAAAACGUGCAUCAUCCCAAGUUUUAAGAGAUAGGAUAAAUUGACCAAGAUACAAGCAACGGGCAGAAAUAGACAUACCACAUCACAUAAACUAUAACAUAAUUUUGUCACCGAAUUGGCCUGCACAAGUUCCUCCCCACUGCAAUAUGAUAUAGAGACACAUGGGCCUAGGUCAGGCUUUAUGAUUUCUUGUGGCAACCUUGCAGCAAUGUUCAAAAGACCACUUCCAGGAUCCAUGUAUUCUGGAAGUGGUAAAGCUUGAAUGAUUUCGGUAUAAUGAUCUGGGAAUUGUUCUUGAAAUAUAUGAGAAGAAAGCCAGCCCUUCAGUUUCAGCUUCUCAUCACACAUACUAGAUUGUGCCAGCCCCAUCAAUGACCCCAAAAAUAACUGCUUAAUACCAAUUUCAACCUACCACAAUAAAAGGUAAAAUUGUUUAUAGCCUUCACCUCACUUAAGAUCCUAGAAGGAAGUGAAACAAAAUGCAAAGGGCUUAAAUACCAAUUCUCAUGAAAAUUUAAAAGAAAAAAAAACGUGAGCAUGAACAUGGAGGUUAAAUGCACUUUCAUGAAUGGCCUAUAUUUGGAUUGUGGAUGUGUGUAUGUGUGAUAGAGAGACAGAGAGAGAGAUGGAGUAAUGAACAAAAGACGACCAAUUUUAUCUUCCUGUAAAUCCAAAAAAAUUAAUAAUUUGAUGUGGCAUGUAAUGUAAUUUAAAAAGCUAACCUCAAACCAGUCCAAGCAACCUGUAGUUUUACUUAGUUCCUCAUUCUCAGCUUUGGCAACACUAUUCUUAAGAUACAAGCAAAACAAGAAUACCGGAUCCCAACUCAAAGCUGAAGUAUCGUGAAGAACAUUUCGAACUAUUACAGGAUGGCCUUUACCCCAAUGCUUCUGGAAGUGCUCCAGGUUAUCACCAUGAUUGUUCAUGAUAGUUGGGUAAAACAGAAAGUUAUCAUUUGAAUUCUCUCUCCUAGCAGCCUCUUGCAACUGCUUCACACCAUUAGCUUCAUAAUCUGUCCCAGGACAUAGUGAGCAGAAUGAAAAAGUAUCAAAGGCUUCCGGCAAUUCAUAGCUGCCGACUAUUUCUUCAGCACUUAUUUCCAGCUCCUUGAACCAUCUUAGUGGCAAAAUACAUCUCAGAUCAAGAAAGCCAUCACCACAACCACCAAACUUUCUGGGUGGGCAUGAUAUAGGAACAAUGCCAUCAGGAGCUUUCAGACUAUGCAAUGAUGCAGAAGAAUCAAAAUGUCUACUGUCAUAUUUUUGCUUAGAGAUUCUUACAGAUUUCUUAUCUGAAAGGCGAAUGCCAGGAAAACUACUUUUCCUUCUAUUUGGGCAUUUGCAGUUAAGUUUUUUGAUACUUCCAACUAAACUCCCUUGAAAGAUAUCCCGACAACAACUUAAGCAGAGGUUAUAUGAACACUUUGGGCAGCUUCUAUGGAAAUCCAGUAUGAAAUUCUUGCAGUUACUGCUGCUCCAGAAGUAAUAUCAUCACCAAAGAGCAACAAAAAAUAAAUUACAUAUAUUUUAUUGAAUAUAUUUUAAGCAGCAAAGAGCAUACCAACAAUAUUCCUUAUUGCCACGAAAUUCAGUUGGUUGGACCUGAAUAUCACAGAGUUUUUGGCCUAUGACACACAAGAUCACAUCACAACCUCUUCCAUUGAUUAAAUAUAAUUGUUUUGAUAAAAAAUUGAUGAAAAGUAAUUGUAAUUACCUUUUACUUUUGCCUCUACUUCAAUCUCAUCACCCUGGUCUUGGUUUAUUUGUUUCAAAACAGGAAGAAGCAUGCAGAUCAAAUAAUGAAAAUGUAACACCUUGUCCACUUUGUUUUUGUCCCUUAGAAACUCCUGAGACAUGUUUUUUUGCAUUAGGCAAAACAUCAAAUCUUAGCAUGGAAAUAUGCAAGCAGCAAGUCAAAUUGAAGUGUUUCAGAUGUAAUCAGACCUUACAUUCAGUGUCUCUAUGUUGACUCACUGAGCAGGCCUUGCAGCCACAAGUUCCACGACAUACUGGACAAGUUAUCUUAACUUCUUCUUGCUUAACAAAAUACCUAUAUGCAUUUUAACCUCAUAAGAGUCAAUCAACACCUAUUUUAUAACUCCAACCAAAUGGCUCAAAUCCAACAUUGCAGAUUGCAUUCAAACCAAAGAGAUGAGACAUAGAAUAAAUACAUUUUGAAUGCAUCAUUUCAAGCCAGAUUGGGAAAGUAUUCUCCAAAACACUAUUUCUGGAAGGUCCAUACAAAUAGUUGAGAUACUAGGUGAAUAAUAACUUCCAGAGUGGCUGAAACAGGUAUUUAUACCUUAAAUUUAUUGCAUUUUGAUAUACUAUUCGUAUCCAUGUAUUAUACAUUUGCUUUCUUCAUUAAUAACCAAACAUAUAACUACUUUACAAUCACAAUGCAAACAAAACCAAAAACAGAAAAGAUAACUCACUGUUCUUUUAUGCAAUCCAAGCAAAAGAACUGCUGUCUACAACUGGAACACUUGAUCAAACUACGAACACCGCUUUUUCUACACCAGUGGCACCUUAUACUUCUCCCUCUCCUCAAAUUCACCACAUUCUUCUUAUAAGGCUCAACCUUAGUUAAGGGAAAAAAAAACCAUUACUCGGAAAACAGAACAAAAAAACCAAAACUAAAACCAAAACCAAAACAAAAUAAUACCUGCAAUGUACCAACAGGUAAUGGUUCAAUGUUCUUAGACCGAAACCGCCUUCUGGUAAUUGCAACAGUAUCAGUUUCAGUUUCUCCUACUUUAACAUUAAAACAAGAACCUGAAACAGAACCUGAACCCGAACCAGAACCGGAACAUGAACCAGCAUUAUCAAAAUGUGGACUUGAAGAAGAAAUAGCCAUUAACCCAUUAGGCAAUUCUCUCAUUAAAUCACCUUUUUCUUCUUCUUCAUCAAAAUCACUACAAUCACUUUCUUUCCUUUUCUUCUUCUGAAUUUCUCUUUUCAAAACCAUUCUUAUGAGCUCCAAUGGCAAAUCUCCUCUCUUCAGUUUCAUCUUCCGAACAGCUUCGUCUAAAGCCUCAGAUUCCCUUCCGAUCACCCUCUUUCGCUUCAUUGGCCCGGCUAAUUUCAGCAACUUUGCCCUAAUUUCGAGCUUGUUCUUCUCGAAACCUUUCUUUUUUCCCUUUUUCCUUUGCAUUUUGAGGGAUUCUGGUACUUUCUGUUUCUUUUGUCGGUGACGGCCUUGGAUAUGGUGAAUCUCACACAGCUUUUUGCCUUCCAUUACUCGUCGCUUACACCGCCAUUGCCUCCCGUCGGUUCGUUUGCAACGGAGAUGGUCUGGCAGAGCACCUUCUUCCUCCAUUCUGAUUUCCCAGGAAAAUUUUUUCUUUUCCCGGAAAAUUAAUGGGAUUCUUGAGAAAACAAGGAAGAGGGUUUGGGUUUAGAGGGGAAAGAGGAGAAAGGGGUUUUUUUAGGAAGGGUAAAAAGAGUUGAGAGUAGGGUUUAUUGGAGUAGUAGAGUGAGAGAGUGAAGGGAAAGUGGCAGAUAUCGUAAUUUUGAGGAAAGAUAAGAGUCCAGUUGUUUUGAAAACUUUCCAAAUGGUGCAUAGAGAGGAAGUUUUGAUCGGGAGUUUGACAAGCAGACAAUUAGGGAGUCUCUUCGGGUUUUUUUUUUUUUUUUUUUUUGAAAAUGCAUUUUUUGAGUGUUGACAAAUAAGCGUUAAUAGAUGUAUUUAUGACAGAUUCUUUUUCAGAAACGCCUCUUUAGCUUUUUGUUGGGAUUUUUUUCUUUAAUUUUUUUUGGGGGGGGGUUGUUUAAAGAACAUUGCUCUGGCUGCUGGGCUGAAAAUCAUAUCAGCAGUAGUGCAAAUGUUAAUGAAAUUUGAGUAUGCACCAGCUAAUCAGAUGAUAGUUUGAUUGUCUAACUUGAAUGGCAAUUGCCAAUUGCAGUAAGAAGUUGAGUUGUAUUUGCAUUUUAAUCAGUUCUUUUUUUUUAGCAGAAGAUAUUGGUCAUGGUUUUUUAACAUAUGAUGCAGAAGAAAUGUCUGAUAUGAAUCAUUUCAGGUUUGUUUGAGAAAUUCUGGUGCAGAUUUUCCGUUGUGGUGUUUUACAUGGAAAAUUUUUUGGUUCUUACCUGAUAGUUUAUGAUAUGGUUCAAAGUAAAGCAUUACAAUCAGGAAAUAAUUCUGGUAGUGAUCAUACCAGGAUAGUGGCACUCUAAGAUUAUCAGAUUAGAUACUAUUUUUUGGCAGCAUAUUCUAACUUGUGUUUUCUUUGAUAACCACUAUCAUAUCAGCUGUCAUUACAAGUAAAACUGACAGUUUAUUUAAUGCACAGAUUUAUUACAACAAUGAAAUAAGAGCAAUGGUUCUACAGCAAUCACAAAAGGAAAAAAAGGAAAAACAUAAGCUGUUAAGUUGCAAGUCCCGGUAAACAAAAUGGUUACUAUGGCUUUGUUCAAAUAGUGGUCAAUUAUCCGAUCAAAGAAGUUCCUCUGUUGAUUCAAUUUAUACCACCAAUCUUUCUCUGGGCAUGAAGCAGAAACCACCCAUCCAUUUACAAAAUCUAAUCUAAUUUCUAGCAUUAUUAUUCCAAUCCUAUACACUUGCUACUAUAGUAACAAUUUCAUGGUUUUGAUUAUGAUUUACAGCAAUUUGCAUAGUUAUUGCACUACUUUAUGCAAAAAUUUUGGAACUCUGAAACUUAUCCGUUUCUCGAGAUACUGAAUAGACCAAAGAGAAAAGACUUUGUAUAACUCGAGGGCCCAUUUAUCUCUGGUUCCAAUGUUGCAUGCUGCUUUGCUUUUAACAUGAAUCAUCGGUAUUGGCGUAAUCAUCAUCAGACUAGUUGUUGUGCAGUUGGCAUUUGUUUUGAUCUGGAACAGCAAGAAGAUAGCAGGAUUUGUUAACCUGGAAAUUGUGGUUUUCUGGUCUCUGGAGUCCUACAAAAACAAAUGGUGCCACUGUUGUUUGGAGAUAUGGCGUUACCACUUACCACAGAUUGCCUGAUUUGAUUAGUCAAAUGUGAUGAAUUAUCAUUGGUAUUUCAAUUAAGCUAUUGAAAUUCUACAAUACAUCAUUUGAAUAAACUUUGAUCGUUCGGAUCCCAAUCUCCUGAGAAGGGAAAACUAACAUGGAAGAACUAAUUGAUUUUUCAAUUUUUCAUCGAGAACUGAAGAAUUGCUGCUGAGGUUAUAAUUUCCAAAAUAUUGGAGAAAAAGGCUGAAAAGGGUAACAAACAACGAAGAGAGAUAAAACCAUAAAAUUUAUAUUCUCUCGAGACUUGAUGGCCUUUGUUCAAGAAAGAGCAAAAAAACAUGAUUGAAUGUAGCGCUGGCGAAUUCCUCCCAGAAAUUGAAAGAAUUCAUCAACGCUGCACUCAAUGACGUUUCUUCCAUCUGGGAAUCCCCAAACCUUUGCUUCAGCUGCAAUCCAAGAAUCGCGGACUAUCCAUCCAAUAUCUAUGUAAUGCAGAACAGGCUCCUAUACGAGUUGCAGUACAUGUAACUUUGAAUUUGAUUUGUACUUCCAUAUCACUUUGCCAAACUGGACAACAGCAUCUCCCUUCAACAUGUUAGCAAAAUAUUUAUUCCCUUUCUUUUUUCUGGGGGUUUGAAUGAGCUUGCCUUUGUUUGAGAGACUUUCAGGCUGUACUGAUUUCCUGUACUGGAAUCUUCAAUCUUGUACUACAUUUAACCCCCCAACAUCCAACUACCGACUUCACGGUCUGGUUUACCAUGAUGUUCUUUUUAUAGUUUACUAGUAAACUAAUCCCGUUUCGCUUGGAAUUCGUUGAGGUCAAUAAUUUUUUACAGCGUAUUAUAAGGAUAGAAUUAAAUAUAUUUAAAUGUAUUAUAUUUGUAUUUAUAUAUGAAAUAAAAAAUUAUAAUUUAGUGAGAAAUUAAAAGUUAAUAUUAUAAUUUUGUUUUUUGUACCAAAUAAAACAAAGGGAUGAAACAAAUAUAUAUACAAAAACAGACUCUCUCAAACAAAAUUCAACUAAAAAAGCAUGUCUUAUUUUCUCAUAUCUAAAAACUUAUUAAAUCUAAAAAAAUAGACAGCUAUUAUAUGUAAAAAACUUAUACAGUAAUAAACUUUUUAAAAAUCUAACUUAUAAAACAACUCAUAUUAUCACACAUCAAAACCCACUAAAUCCAAAAAAAUAGUAAUUAUCAUGUGUAAAAAGCUUAUCCAUAAUCCCUAACAUCUCAAAACCCACUAAAUCACUUUAAAAAAAAAAAAAAUCUGUCUUUAAGCCGAGACUCUUUUUAUAGAUAGUAGUAUAAAUAAAAGAUUUAUCUGAAGUUCAGGCUCUCAGUAGGGACCACUUGAUUGGUCGGUCAAAUGGUAGAACUAUGAUAAUUUUCUGUUGUUAGCAUACUUCCAUUGACCAGCUUUUUACCUCUUUUAAUAAAAGGGCAUUUCAAUCUUCCAUAAAGGAGGGAAGCCUAUAGUUUUUAUAACUAAUGUGUUACUUUGAUGUUUAACACCUGCUUUUAAUUUUGCAGGAUUAAUGCAAAAAGUGCAAGGUUCCUUGAUUGGAUAUAUAGUAAAGUUACAUGUGGAAAAGGAGAUGAAUAUGCCUAGUUUAAGAAUAUCAGUGAAGAAGAAGAAAAAUAGUCUAGGAGAUGAAUAACAAAAAUAAUUACAUUUACUAUAUAUAUAUAACUAAAAUCUGCUUAUCUUCUGCGAGGAAUGAUCUUAUCCUCUGCAUCUUCAUGCACAACAUGUAGAACUUCAUUUGGAGGAAUGUGCCACCAAUUUUGUGGUUUCUCCAGCUGAUGUCCUAUUUUAGGCAAUUUUAUCAGCAGCUCUAUUGCCUUCCCUAUGGAUAUGAGUCACAAUACAAUUGUUCAGCUCCGGAAAUCAAGUUUAUGUGACUAACAUGUCUUUGUAAUUCGGCACAUUUAACCUGCCUCCUCUUGAUAAUGAUAUCGACCAAUGUCUUGGCAUCACCUUCAAGCCAUGCAUCAGUCGAACCAUUUUCCAAAACCAACUCAAGGCCUCUUCGCAGUACGGCUAGUUCUGCAAUAGUUCUAGUUGUUCUUCCUAUAGAUUCAGCAUAACCAAGUAGGAAUUCAGCCUUGUGGUUCCUGAAUACCCCUCCAAUACUAGCUUGUCCUCUAGCUUUGCAAGAUCCAUCAAAAUUUCAUUUGGUCCAGCCAAUUUAACGUUUUGCCCAUGCCACUGGAAUAGGUUCUUUGUGAUAAGCAACAAUCGGACUGGGUUUUGUAUCAGUCUUUGGCAUCUAAAAAUAUUGAUGGACUACCGGUUGAAGUUUAUGAAUAAUCAAAAUUGAAAGGAAUGGUUUUUCAGAUUGGAAAACCAAGAAUGAUGCUUUUCCUCUCUCUUGGUAUGUAAAACAAAAUGGAAAAUCAAUAUUAACAAAGAGAAAAGAGGAAGAAUGUACAAAGAUUAAUGACUUCAAAAAAUUCAGUGUUACGUUAAAAACGAAAGCAGAACAAUGUAACAAAAAAACCUAGGAAGAUGAAAGUUGAUGAGAAACAAGUGCGGGUCUAUACCAUGAUUUUACAAGCAAAAAAUAGAAGACAUCUUCAGAGAACUAAUAAGAAAGAUGAAGAAAAACCAGAGGUGUUAGGCUCAUAGAUGUUUAAUUCCUUCCUUUUGAUAUCGGAUUGUAAAGUUGAAGUGGAGAUAAAGCAAAGAACAUUCAGAAAUUUAGAGCUAGAAGGCAACAUUUUGAUAUUCAUAUGAUUAAAAUGGCCAGAGAGAUUUCUUCAAGAACUCUCAAGCAUCUUCUGUUAAUUGGAUUCUUAAGAAAAGCCUCUGUGCAUGAUUGGAAACUUGCAUGAGAAGAAAGAUUCAUGGAAAUGCCGGAUAUGAUGGCUACCAUCAAACUAUAACUGUAAAAAUUAACUGCGUCUAUCCAAAGAAAAACUGAAUUAUAACUAAUUUUGUAUAUCUUUAACCUAUACUUUAGGGGCACAUUCCAAUUGAAUUGAGGUUGCAGUACAAAGGAUGGUGUGGAAAGGGCUUUACUUAAUUUAGUUGACUUGGAUUGUAAUGCAUUUAUAAUUUGCCACUUAUGAUCUAAUUUUAUUCCAUAGAGAAUUGCAGGUGCAGCCACGUCUAAGUCCUCAUAUUCUCUCCUAGGAUCCUGAUGGUUAAAAGAACGUAGAGAAAAAAAAUCGACAAAAUUUUUGUUUGAUUAUAUCAUGAGUUGCGUGGAUCGGUGGAUCUUCCCACUGUCUAUGCUACAACUUCUGGAACUCUUUAAAACUUAUUCAUUUGCAACAUUAGAGUUUGAACCAUUCAGUCAACGACUAGACCUAACUGCAAAUUACUAGUCGUCUCAAUUAGGUUUAAGCAUAAGAAAGCUUGAGUUUCUUGGUCACUUCAGUUAUGAUAGAAAAAGGGUAUGGAAAUUGGAAAAUGGAUAGAUGCGUAGUAGGAAACACUAAAAUGAUGAUUUAUAAAGACUGGCUUGAACAGUUCUGCAGUUAGGAAAGACUGGCAAACUAAAAUUCUAUCCUUUAUCAAGCUUGAACACUUCUGCAGUUAGGAAAGAACAACUUUUUUCAUUGGAUAACAAGAUAGACUUGGAUCUUUAGAAGGCAUUCUUUUUACCAAUGAGCCACAACCAGUCCAAAGCAACACCUGAAAAUAUGCCAGCUAGUAAACAUAGUACUAGUAAAUUACCUAAGGCAUUUUGCUCAGGUCCCUGCCAAAAGAAAAAGGAUAAAUUUUCAUCAGAAAUUAAUGAGAAUACUAAGAUUUGUAUCAGAUUUCAACCAUGUAAAAGAAAAAAAAAAAAAAGAUUUACUGCAAAGACUAUGCUAAGACUAACCUUGUAACCUUUAGGGGCUGCUGUCAUGACACAGACCGUGAGGUGACCAUUUGUUAAUCCCAGGAAGGAUACAAGCAGUAUCAUCCAUCCCUGAUCACCAUACUUGGCAGUGAAGUAGAAAGCAGGGAUCAGUAAGAAACGAGAAAGUAUUGCAAUCAUAAGGCCCUUCCUGGAUUCUAUCUUAAGGAAUUUCACUAGAGGAAGAUAUCUUGAUAUCAGAUCCCACACAUUGUAAGCUGCUAUCAGCACAAGAGGAUACCUAAAAGUUCCAAUCAUAAGAGGAAUUUAUCUUCAGUUUAGAAAGCAAUUACCCAGGAAGACAAUUACUAAGGAAGUUUUUCCUUGACAGUCAAAUGCCUUUAAGGGCUUACAACUAUUCAAUUACUUGGAUAAAUACUCCAAGUAGAUAAAAUUGUGCACAUAUCUAUAUGUAAUGCUAGUGCCAUAAAAACUUUCAAACAGAUGGGAAUCAUGCAGUAAAGACCAAGUUCAAUGGGCCGUUGAAACAUUUUUCCAAAUAGCAAUUGUUAUGGAUAUAGAAAGUAAAAAUUAAUGGUGGCAAAACCAGUCUGAUCCUGAGCAGACAAAUCUUCAAAUACCAUAAAAAGUAUACAAUUUGUACUUAUUCUAGUCAAGAAAUGAAUAAUUACCAUGUACCCAACUUGUGUUCACCAGUGUUUUCAUAUAAGAACCCAGGGAAAAUUGACAAUGUUAAGACGUAUAUCAGAAAAAGGUCAAGCCCGUAAUCUAUAUUCUGAAGGAAUAACUGUUUGUUGCUCAAUCUCUCAUUCUGUUUAGCAUUGUCUUCAAGCUGUCGAAAUGCCAAAAACUAUUAGUUUAUGAAAUGUCAAAAAAGUUUCACAAAUAUGACACUAGCAGAAGGUUGCAGUACUCCUUGGUCUUCUUUUGUUCGGAUUCCAGCUGCUGCAAGAUCAGCUUUAACAGUUUUUGAUCCUUCUGAGGCUGCCUUUGAGCGGAAGUACUUCACUAUUGGCAAUUUAGGGAAGAAAAAUGCAUACAGCAGGACGCAAAGAAACUCAAAGAAUGUAGAAAUAGCAAGAAACAACACUGCCAAAAAGAAAAGAAGAGUCAAUAAAAGAAAAUUGUUUUCAAUAAAAACUGAAAAGCAUUCACUUUGUUUACAGUUUUGCAUCCGAAGACAGCAAAUCUAGGGAUGUCUUUGUAAAAAAAAUGCAUAAAUUUAGAAGUUCACUCGCAAUAGGUAGUUUGUCUAAUAGUAAAUAACAGUCACAUACUUGCUCCUUUACGAAGACCAUUAUCAGACUUUUCAAAUGCUGCUUUUGUGAUUAGCCUCAAAGCAGAGGUUAAGGCCCCAGAUGCAGCCAGACCAGCAAAGAAGGACUGGAUCAUAAAACCAACUAGUACUAAGGAUUAAGUCAAGUGCUGAAAACCUUGGGAUAAAAAUGAGAAGUUGCAAUAAAGUAUUAAAGAAGUCAAAGAAAACAGACCUGGAUGAAAUCAGGGAGCAUGAAAGAUAAAUCUCCAACCAUUCCACCUUGAACAUGGGCAUCUGCAACUCCAAAACAGCCUACAAUUGCACAUAUACCUAUAAAAGGUCCAAUUCCUCCUCUCCCUGAUGUGGCUAAAUCCAACUGUCAUAAAAGUUAUGGCAAAAUAGAGGUUAUUUUGAAUCAGUGGUGGGAGAUUCAAGUGGAUUGAGCACAUGGAAAAUCAAGAACUGGAUAUAAAAUAUUGGAGCACUUACCACUAUGAGCAUGAAAGUACUUGCAAAGAAAAGCAAGUAUCCAAUAAUGUUCCUCCGUCUAGUAUCAAUCCUUGAUUCGUUGUAUGCCAGUAUCGCCAUUGUUCCAAGUGCAAAUGGUUGAUAAACAAGGGUAAGCACCCUUGAAGGAUGGUAAUUCUUCAAGUGUAAAAGCAAAUCACUAACUGAUCUUAUAAACCCAUUUUUAAUGAGAUUCUGAUAAAAUAUAUUUAUACAACAGUGACAUUCAAUUCUUAGGAGUGGUGACACAAGAUAAAUGGUGGAGCAAAGAAAUUGUUUGUCCUCAAAGUCAAGUAAUUAAUAGAGUACUCUGUCUCUACUUUUUAUUUGCUGUGGCAUCAAAAAAACUAAUUUGGCUGCACUCAAACUUUCAAGAGAAGAACUUGCACAUAUAAAGUAGAGAAUUUUAUUUAAAUUGAGCAACAGUGAUUUCCAUCUUCAACAUGAAAAAGAAAGUAAGAGUAGGUUACAAACCGGGAACAAAUUGUAAAAAUAAUCUCCAAUUGUCAGCAUGCUAUUCCAAGAGAUAAGAGAUCCAAAUCCAAGAAUCCAACAAACUACCAUGGCACAAAAUUUCCCCUGAUUAAUUUGCACAGAAAACUGAGUGAAUAUUACAUUUAUUUAAAUUAAAGAGGAAUCCUAAGCUCCGAUACUGCCAAUGAAAAAGAAAAAACAACAAAACAGAAAGCAUAAACCUCAAGCCUUGCAGGCAACUCUCCUCCAUCCGCAAUAGUCAUGCCUGUUUCCUCUAAAACGGAUAUCAAAGUUCAGGAAAUGAAAACGGUUUCUUAUAACAAAUACAGAGAAAGAAACAAAAACUGAAAAGUGAAUAAAUAUUGCAAUUUGCAGAAAGUUUCUGUCAAAAAAGAAAAAAGUAUAUAGUUUUAAUUUUCUCAAUGAACUGACUACUCAUCCAAUGAAUGCAAUCUGAAAAUGCGAGCACGUAAGAAGUCAAGGUGAUAAGAAUUACUCUGCCGUGAUAAUGAAAACUGGGUAUUCUUCAAGUAGAAAAAUAUAUCAAAUGAAAAGGAUAUACAUAUUGCAAUAAAUGAAUGGUCAAUGCAAUAUAAAACUACCUAAAAGGAAAACGAAGUGCUAUAAUACCUAGAAAUAAUAAUUAAAUAUGAAAUAUAUAAAGUAAUAACAGCAAGGCCACAUGCAAGAAUGGAAAUAUAUAUAAUAUAUUGACAUAAAAAAAUACAAAAAACAAAAAAAGAAAAAAGAGCUGAUGGGUGUGAAGUGUGAACACUGAAGAGUGGAAUACAAGGCAGAGUAGAAUACAAGGUGUGAAGAGAAGAUGCGACUGAGAUAUGGAAUUUAGAAAGGGGAAAGCAGAAAGGAAAAAGAUGUAGAGAUUCUUUGGGCUUUUAAGAAAUGAAAAUUCAUUGCAAUUUAUGAUGGAUGGAAGACUAAGGCUGAAAAAGAAAGAGCUACGAGUAAGUGAAUGGAGAAGAAAAAGGUGCAGUGUAUGGAAAGAAUCUUUUGUUCAAAAAAGGUUGUCCCGGUGAAUAUGUGGCUGCGUGGCAAGAUAGAGAAUUGCUGUUACCAGGGUAUAUUUUUCUGGAUCCAGAAUCAUGAACACAAUAAAAAUGGAGAAUGCAAUCAACACAAGAUUAGGAAUAAUUUAAGAAGGAUUCUAUUUACAACGGAUUCUUCCCAUACAAAUCAAAUGCAAAUGCUACUUUCUUACCAAAGAAUUCUUUUGGAUGAAAUUAAUGCGUAUUGUAAGUAACUUCAAUAACUCAAUUUUAAUUAAAAAAAUUUAUUUACUAUCAUUAAAGUUCAGUUUAGGAAUAGGUUUUAUACGCAUGAAUAAUAACGACGAAUUUAUUAAAAAGCAAUGAAUAAAAAUAAUGGACAUAAAUGUACCCAAAAAAUGGUUUGCAAAUUGAAAUUUCAUUUUAUUAUGAAUGAAGAGAAUAAGGUUAAGAUCAUGAAAAUUUUAAGAUUUUCAUCUCUUGAUUAUACUUAUAAUUAAGUUAUAAAAUAUUCAAAUUGUGCAACUCAAUUAUAAUGUCACAAAAACUUUUUAUUAUAAUAUUUGGUUAAACUGAUACUUGAAUACGCAUAUGAUGUGAUACAUGUGAUACAUGUACGAUAGAGAUAUAUACGAUAUAGGUAUAUUAUAUGAUAAUAUAUUUAUAUAUCAAUAAAUUUAUAUAUAACAUAAUUUUUUAAAAUUAUAAAAUAAAAUUUUAUAUUUAUGAAUAAUUUAAAAUUUAUAUAUUUAAAGUUAUUUAAUAUAAAAAAUAACAAAAUAUAAUAUAUAAAAUUUGCUUUAAAAUAACAUUAAUCUUAGGUAUUUUAACAUGAAAAAUUAUUAAAUACACUAACAAUGAAAUUUUUUAAUUUCACAAGUAGGAUUUCUUUAUAUAUUUAAAAAAAUUAAUUUAAAAAAAGAAAUAAUACAUAUGUUAUCAUUUGAAUUCUGUUUAUGAAGUAAAAAAUUAAACUGCCAGUAUAUCAAAUAAUUUCUGUUUUAGUACAUAUAUAAUAAAAUUAAAAUUAAAAUAUCAAAAUAGACAUUUAAUACCUUAUACUUAAGUUACACAUAUGGUAUAAAUAGCAUGAAUAGUUCUUUUAAAGCGUGAUUAAGUAUUAUUGUUUCUUUUACUUAAACCCCUAUUAGAUAAUAUUUAACAGCCAAUAAAAAAUUCCAAAUAAAAUUAAGUAAGAAAGAUUUAAGCUAUUAAAAAUAAAUUUGAUUAAUUUAAGCAAAAUUAAAUUAAAUUAAAAAUUAAAAUUAAUUGAAAAAGACAUAAUCUAUUAAAAGUAAAUAUAAUUAAUUUGAUUAUAAUCAAAUUAAUUAAUAGAGAAAUUUAAGCUAUUAAAUAUAAAUUUAUAUAAUUUUGUCACAAUGAAAUCAAAUUAACUCAAAUUAAUGACAUUAAAUAAUGGAUACAUAAUAAUUAUUCAAGGUUAUGCACAUAUUAAAAAAUUAUUAUACUCUAGGUAAUUAUUUUUGUCGAAGACUUUAGCUUUUGCCUUUUGUAUAUUUACAUAUAGGAUUAAAAGUAAAUAUAAUUUAUUUAAUCAAAAUCAAAUUAAAUUAAUAAUUAAAAUUAAUUGAGAGAGAUUUAAUGUAUUAAAGUAAUGUAAUUAAUUUGAUUAAAAUAAAUCAUUUAAGAAUUAAAAUUAAUUGAUAGAGAAAUUUAAAAUAUUAAAUAUAAAUACAAUUAAUUUGGUGAAAAUCAAAUCAAAUUAAAUCAAAUUUAAAAUAUUAAGUAAUGGAUACAUUGUAAUUAUUUAAUAUUAUACACGUCAAAAACUUAGGCUAUCCAAACACGUAUCAAAUUAAAUUAAGAAUUAAAAUUAAUUGAGAGAGAUUUAAUGUAUUAAAGUAAAUGUAAUUAAUUUGAUUAAAAUUAAAUCAAUUAAUUGAUAGAAAAUUUUAAGUUAUUAAAUAUAAAUAUAAUUAAUUUGAUCAAAAUCAAAACGAAUUAAAUCAAUUUUAAAAUAUUAAAUAAUAAAUACAUUAUAAUUAUUUAAUAUUAUCCUCAUGUCAUUCACAAUUAUUUUUUUCUUUCCAAAAAUUUUACUAGCUUUCAUAUAAGAUAAUUAUUAUUUAAUUACUAUUAUAGUAUAAUAUAAUAUAAUAAAAGGGUCAAUUAAUGAUGAUUGGCUUAUACUUCGGCAAGACAAUAGACAGACAGAAAAGAUUUAUUAAGAGUCUAAUUUGGUUUGAAUUAAUGAUGAUUGACUUAUAGUUCGGCAAGACAAUGAACAGACAGAAAAGAUUUAUUAAGAGUCUAAUUUGGCGAUCCAAAGGAUGAGGAAGUCAAAAAGAUUGGCCAUAUUUUUUAGUGCCCAACCAAUGUGAACAACAGUCGUUGUAGAUAUAAAAUAAAGAUGCAAAGACCCGAUAUAAAGGAUACAUAUUAGCUGUCAACAUUAUGGCUUUUGUAUUUUCAACUGAAAAUGAGAAAGGUUCCAACAUCAACCAUUUUUUCUUUUAUCAGGAAACUUAGGGUCAGGGAUGAUCGGCUUCAAGUGUACCUCGGGAUAUGCAUUGAGGGAUAAAGGAGUGGAAAUUUAUUAAUGUGAAAAGCAAACCAUAAGCCAUAUGAUGACCUUUGAAUUGUGAUAAGAACUGGACCAAACGUAGGCGAUUAGAUGCAAUAGUUGAGUUGGCUGCACUGAUUCUCAAGCAUUCAUUCAGGAAUCUGACUCUUUGUUUCCUCGAGAACUAGCCCAUGGUGACAUGGGGAAGUUUCACAACUAAGAAUUACUAGCUACAACGUACAGACAACCCGAGAAAAUUCAUCAGGAUACGUCCAUAAUAUGAUCCAUCUUUUUGAAUUGCAUGGUUUUCUGUCUUCUUUUGGUGACUUUUGAAUAUCCAAGAGGAUUCAACAACCACAAGUUUUCUUCUUUUGGUGACUUUUGAAUAUUCCAGAGGAUUCAACAACCACAAGUUUUCUCUAACAAAACAAAAUGGUUAAACUUUUUGUUCAUCCUCCUAUGGUUAAAAUUUUAGCAAUCAUAAUCUCAAAUAUUUAAAAAAUCAUUCAAUCUUUCAUAUUGACGAACCAAGUGAUACGUAAAUUUUGGUUUUUUGCUAAUUUUUUCAUACGAAUAAUGAUUGAUGCAAUUUAAUUGUAUCUGGUAAUUUUUUUUGUACGAUAAGUUGAAAGAAUACAUGGAAAAAAUUAAUGUCUUCUAACCAUUGUCCAAAUUAGCAGUGAAAGCCCAAAGCGAGUGGUCGAACUUGGAAGGACCAGCUCUCAGUUUCCUGGGCCAGACCAAAACAAUUGGGUUUGGAUUAAUUCAUAGCUAUCCUUUUCGUCUGAGUAUCAAAUAGAAAACACAUGACGUUGAUGAUUUUGAAAUUUGAAUUAUUGUAAUACUCAUCAUUUCAACAAGAAAAGAAAGACAAAAACAUAUCAUGGAGUUUAGAAUUUAAUUCAAUUACUUCAUGAGAGUAACGAGUUUUCUUCAAAAACCAAACGCCUUUCCAUUAUAGUUGUCUUAAUAACAAGUGGCUUAUUAUUAAUGUAUUGCUUAAUACAGGUUCACCUUUUUCUUCAACCUUUAGAGGCCAAUAUGCGUAGAAGUCCUUGUCUCCAAGUGAAUUUUAGUCACCGACCAAACUAGAUAUAAAGAUAGACGUCCUAUCAAUGGUCCCCAACUUGCCAAUAACAAAAUACUAAUAUUUUGAUUUAACUUAUAACUUGUUGAAACAGGUGGGGGAAAACCAUUCGAAAUUUUUUUUUUUAAUUUUAAAAAGUGAUAUGUAUUAAUAUAUUGAAUGAUAUCAUAACCGCUCAAAAUAAUUUAAUAGAAUGAAGUCGAUUUCAAUCAAUUUAUUCGAUCAUACUCAACUAGUGCUCAUCCUUUGCUGGUAUUAAUAGCAAGAAUUUCAUCAACUUGCUAAAGAAAAAGUGUUUAUUUAAUGCAUUGACGGCAGUCAACAACUUUAAUUUUUUAAUUAAUUAGUAUUAUUUUUUGAAUUAAUCUACAAGUAUAUACUUUGUUUUAUAGCACUAUCUAAAAAGAAUUAUGUAUGAACAUUAUAAUAAUUCGCUUUUGACAGUUUAUUUUCACCAAUGAAUAAAUGUGUAGAAGAAUAAGAAGUCUUGCAUAUAUAUACAUAUAUAAAAUUAUAAACGAUAACCAUCAAUGAUAGACUAUGGUAAUAAUUAAAUUUCAAAUACCUUUUCUCGUUAAAAUCAGCACAUAUUAUCUAACGGUAGCAGUAUCAAGUCUAAACUGACCUUGGGCAACUUUUAAGUAAGGUGAUAUGAUUGGGCAGUGGAGAAAUUUACAAGAAAGUCAGUGAGCGUAGCAUUAGCUGAGGGACAAAAAGGGCUGACUGGUGGCCACGUUGAUGCUUACACUCAGACAGUGACAUCCGGGCCCCAUGCAUGGACCCACAUCAGAUGUAGCUGCCCCUACAUGAUUCAACUCCCAUACCUAACAUCUAGCUUUCCAGGCUCCAACUCCAUUCUCUGGGUGAGAGGAGACUGAGAAUCAAGACUUGCUGCUGCUGCUGGGCUAUUUUCUUCCUCAAUUUAAUUCAAAGCAGAAAUCAUCAGAAAUUUAUUUAUAACUGGUAAGUUUGAUCUUUAUAUUCAAUUUCAUUUGGUGUUUGAAACGAUUUCUUCUUUUUUUAAUCUUUGAUGGGUAGUGGGUAUUUAAUAUUUCUGUCAUGUACUCAUCUGCUUGCUUAUAGAAAUUCAAGUUUGAUCAUUGACGAUGAGAUGAGAAUACUUUUGUUGCCAUAUGGUCAGAUUGGUAGUGGCAUUUGGGCUGGAAAAAGAUGAGAGCAUCGAGAGCCUCUUAGUUUAAUAAAUCUUUGUUGCUGUUGUUUUCCUUAUUGUUGUCUUGCCUAGAUAUAAGAGUCACGAAUAUCUUGCUAUUUGCCUGAAAAAAAGUGAAGAUUUUGGUUAUUAUUAUUCGUCUCUGUUUUAGAUUUUGAUUUUACGGCUCUCAAGAUGAGUCCCCGUUGCUAACCGGGGCCAGCCAGAGCCAGGUCUAUUGGGUUUCAUCUUCCAUGUCUGAGUGUCCAGAAUCUUUGUGUCAUCAUCGUUGGUGACAUAAUUGGGCAGGUGAAAGGUGGGUCCAUAAAAUUACUUACAGAAAAGUCGAAGUUAGACUUGUUUUUUUUAUUUGGCACCAACAAAUUGCAAUCAAGAUGAGAAAAUUCGCUGGUUUGAGUAUUCCGAUGAUCCUAAUAUUUCAUUAGUUCAAAACUUUAAGACUUAGAAGAGACGAGACCAUACUACUUCUAGUUUUGUUAAUUUAAUACUUAUAUAGAUUAUAUUUGUACUUAAAAAAACUACAACAAUUUUAAUAAAACCGAGUCUAUUACAAAAUUUUACUGAUUUUUGUUGCUUUUUGGCUUUUUCCCUCCAAAAAUCCAAUAAUUGAGGUUUCUAAUCAACAUCUCAAUAUUUUUUUUUUUUCAUAUUUAAGAUUAUAAGAAUUGAAUUUUAAUCAUUAAAAUUAAAAUUCAGUAUUUUACUAAUUACACAACCGUUGGUCAAAGCAUUGCUAUUAAAUGAUUUUUUAAUCAAAAUUAACAGUUGGUAGUAACUAACUCAUAAAUCAUUAUUAAAGGAUCAGUGGCUUAGCAGUAGAGUCAUUCUACAAUUUUUAUAUUUCAACUUUGCCAUUUUAUGUACCAGAUUAUACAAAGGAAGCCCACCACAAACAAUUUUUUCUUUAAUAUCCCACUCUAAUCCCGCGGCCCACCACCGCCGGCUUCAAAACUGAAAACGAUUGGUAUUCGCUGUGCCCUGUUCAGCAAGGCAAUCACGCAACAAUCACCUCCUUUUAUCCACAUCAUGUGGGCCAAUUCUUGUAGGACCAUAGAAAAGACAAAAAAAAAUCAACGGUCCACAUUCGUCUGUCUUAUCUGAUUUGUCACAGCCGCUUCCCCUAAUUCACCCAGAGUUCAGACGCAGACAUUCUUUGGACAGAAAGCAACAAUCUUCAACGGAGAAUCCAACAUAAUAAAAAACCUUUCUUUUUUUCCUGUCUUACUUUUUUAGCCUUUCUCUAACAGCAACAGGUAGCUAUCACCCCCCAACAAACAUGUCAUCGCACCACCUCUCCGAGCUAGACUCCACCACCGAUUCCGUCGCGUCCUCUCCACGCUCCGAACACCAUGCUCCCCACGAUGCCCAUACACGCGUACGGUUCAUGUGCAGUUUCGGUGGGAAGAUCCUCCCUCGUCCGCAUGAUAAUCAGCUCCGUUACGUUAGCGGUGAUACACGCAUCGUUGCCGUCCAUCGCUCCACCUCUUUCUCAGCUUUCCUCACCAAGCUCUCCAAACUCUCAGGCAAUCCAAAAAAUUACAAAAAAAAAAAAAUCUUUUUUCAAUAUUUUAUGAACACGUUUAUUCUGAUCUUGUUUUCUUUUCUGAUUAGGAAUUGGCAACGUGAGUGUUAAGUAUCAGCUUCCAAAUGAGGAUCUUGACGCGUUGAUUUCAGUGACUACCGAUGAAGAUCUUGAAAACAUGAUGGAAGAAUACGAUCGGUUAGCACAGAAUCAUAACCCUCGGCUAGCUCGGCUGCGACUUUUUCUGUUCUCCAAAGGGGAUGACUCACGAGCCAGUAGCAUCAGCUCACUUUUGGACGGUUCGGUUAAUCGUGAACACUGGUUCUUAGACGCGCUUAAUAGUGGGGCCAACGUUUCUGGGCUCGAACGUGGCCGUUCCGAGGCUUCCUCGAUUGUGUCGGAAGUACCUGAUUAUCUGUUUGGGCUGGAUAACUCCGAUGAGGCCCAACCACGUGACCCCAAAUUAAGAACCCGACAGCUUUUGCAUGAAAAUGUCUCGGUUUCGGACCCGGGUUCUCCUGCCAUGGUUGUUUCUUCUUCUCCCUUUUGUUCCACCUCAUCAGCAGCUCCUAUUGUACCUUCAAUGCCUGAUCUCCCACCUGUUAAGACUAAACCGGAUAACCCCGAACCGGUUUUGGAGUCAAAAUUGAAUCAAACGGAGACUUUUGUGGAGCAACCUGUUUCGCAGCCAACGGCAUAUUCGGGUACUCCUAUGUGGCAUUAUGUUCAAGAGUCUCAUUAUUCUACUCCAGCCGUACAGCAAAUACCCGUUUAUUAUGUUCCUGGUCCUGUUCAACCCGGAAACCCUCAGGUUCAACCCGUUCAAAUCCGGGCACAAUAUGUCCAGCACCAGCAGUAUCCAAUUUCAACUGGUCAAGUACCCGUUGGGUAUCAUCAGCCUGUUCCUGGUGUUGGUCAAGUAUAUAGGCCAGUUGCGCCCGUGGAUCCUUAUGACCCGGCAUUAAGAGUGGGUCCUGAUGGUGUGAAGCAACCAGUGUAUUAUGGAGUUAGAAAUACGGGUCCGGUGCCAGUUUACCCAGGAAUGGUGGUGCCGGGUGGGGAGGAAUUGGGUAGAAGUGGGUCGGAUAUGACACCGGGUCGGAUCUCUCAAUCAGGCCAGUAAGUGUUGGUUUAUAUAUGGAAAUAAUGGCAUGGUAAUUUUGUUAUGGUUGAUUUGAUGAAUAUCGUGAAUUGGAUGUUAAAAGAGUGAUAAGUGGAUUUGUCAUCCGUUGCUUUUGGCUGUUGGAAGGUCUUUUGGUGUGAUUAAAACUGUGAAUGGGGGUUUGUUUUUUGAAACAAAAGUGUAUACAAAUCACAAGGCUUGCUCUAAAUAUACUUAUAGUAGUGUUUGGUUUGCAAGUAUAAUGAUGUUUUAGUUUUUAUGUCUUGUUGGUUGUUUUAUUAAAUUUCAGUAGGAUUAUAUAUCAACUAACGUUAUAUGUAAAAAUUCUACUUAAAUCUAAAAAUUUCUUAAUUUACAAAAAAAAAAAAAGUAUAUUAUCUCAUUAUUUUAAAAAAUUAUUCAUAAAUUUUAUAACCAAAUAAACUCCUAAUUCGGGAAAAUUAGCACUGGGCGUUUUGAAUCUUAUAUCUUUUCAUAUCCAUGGUUUGCAGUGGGAAAUGGUGCAUAAUAUAACCAUCACAAAUAUUCAAAUCCUUAGCAAAAGUUGAUUGGUAGCUGUUGGUAGUGACGCCAAAAUUUCGAUCUUGUAUGUAGAUGUAGCCUGUAGGAAACAAAAACAAGCUUCAUAGGUCGUUAAGCAGUGAACUUGGGUCGAUCGGUCUUCCAAGUUCAGGCCAUGGGCUCUUUAUUUCGGAUUUAGAUUGGAUAGUCACAUGAAUGAAUUGAGCACCAUCAGUGUACGCAAUUAAAGCCCAAUGGCUUAACUCAAUUUGUUGGGGGCGGGGGCCUGGGUAGGCAACUCGCUCCUGCUUUCAUAUCUGAACCAUUUUUACUUCAUAUAACGUAACAUAUGCUACAGCUACUUUUUGUUGACCACGUUCUUAUUGUAAAUUUGUAAUGGGACUUGAUUUAUUUGUCUGCCAAAAAUAGAAAGGGGCAUUCCCUAUGUAAAUCCAGUCUCCCCAAGGAGUGAGGACCAGGCUUACUGGCUUAGGGUGGUCCAAAUUGCUGAUUUCCCCUUGGUCCAAAGUAACAUAUAUAGUUAACAUAUUUAGUGUGUCUGGUCGAUUGGUUGGGCGAGAAAGAUUAGCAGGCUCAACAAGAUUGGAACAGAAUUUUAUUAGCGGUUGGUCCAUUUCCAUAAGUUUCAUGCAGAAGGUGUCCGACUAUUGCAUUAAUGCUUCUGUCUAUAUUGUUUUUGGGUUGCAAUAAAUUUGGUCGGAGAGGUACUAAUAGUUUUAGCUCCAAGGGACUUAAGUACGCUGAUUUUUCUUUUACUAGAAAUGGUCCAUACAGUUUUCACUUUUCACCUGUUGCUGAAUUGAGCAUCUGGUUAGAAUACUAUGUAUCAUACCCUACAUAUUGUGGAAAUUAAGUUCCAGAAAAGAAACGAAAAAACCUGAAGUGUUCAGUUUUUUUUUUUUUUUAAUUUAAUAAAUUUAUUUUAUAAAAUGGAGAUAUUUUCCGUUCGGAUAAAUCAGUUAUAUAUCUUUUUAAAAUAAAAUCAUUUAUAUAUUUUGGAGAUAUGUAAAACUUAUUGAAUUCCAUUGAUCCAAAUAAAAAAUGUGAACCUCAUAAGUUCUAAGCAAACAAGAGUGCUCCUUAAAAAUGAAAUCUUAUUAUAACCUAAAAGAAUUUUAAUGUAGUAUCCAUCUAUCAGUUACUCAUGUACGAUUAAUAGUAGUUCAUUCUUAAAAUGCUACAUGUCACUUUCUCUCUUCCAUCUUUUUUUUUCCCCUCUUAUUUUGUUUUAUUUUAUUUUUCUAAUUUUUAAAAAAUAUUUAAUUAAUAAUUUUUAAAGAUUUUUUUAAGGUAGAAUCCACUUUAUACCAUUUUUUUUCAUUUUUUUCUUUUUCAAAAAAACUUUAUUUUAUUGUAUAGGACCCUUCUGAUGUUGAUGGUAUGUGUGAGUUCACUUCUUUUUUUUUUUUUUUUUCUAUAUUUAAUGAAUACUUUAAAUAUUUUAAAAUUUUUUUCUUAUCCAUUUGAUACAAAAAGUAUGUAACGUAUUAAGUUAUUUGUUUUCUUUUUUUUAAAAAAUUUUUUAAAUAAUUAUUUUAUUUUAUUUUAUAUUUAUGUAUUAUAUUAAUUAUUUAUUAUUUAAUAUCUUAAUUUAAUAAAAAUACUAUAUUUAUAAAUAAUUAAGAUGUAAUCCAUCCAUUCAUUAUAUAAAUUCUACUCAUUUUACAUUUUGUUUGACUCUCAUUCAAGGUAUUAACAUGGCAUUUUAUAUUUCUUUCCUUUCUUCUUUUCCUUUUUUUCUUUCAUUUUUUUAAUUAUAUAAGCUUUGCAACAAAAGAAGCCGAUAAAUAGAGAUGUCAAAAUAAUUUAUAUUCGAUAGAUUUAAAUAGAUCAGAUGCAAUUUUUUGGUUUUUUUAAAAUAAAUUUCUUUCUACUUUUUUUCAUUUAUUAUUUUUAUUAGAUAAAUUUUGUAAGAACAUAAUAUUAAUAGAAAUGUCCAUGUAUCCCUAUGUGUAUUUUCUUUCAUUUUUUUGUGUUUUUUAAUUAGCUCAAAUUUACAACAAAAGAGCCGUUUGAUAAGGAUAACAAAACAAUUAGUAUUCGAUAUGUUUCGAUUUAUUUUGAUUCGAUAUGAAUGUUUUUGUUAAAAUCGAUAUCAAAUCAAAUCGGAUCGAUUUUUUUUAUAAAAAGCAAAAAUGAGUCAAAAAUAGAUUUAGGGUUCUUGGCCCUAAGUCAUUUCGUGAAUAUAUAAAAGCAUAUAUUUUAUAUUAUAUUUAAUUUUAUAUUUAUAUAUGUAUUAUAUUAAUAAAGUCAUUAUUUUAUACCUUAACUAGAUUGUGAUUUGUGUGAUAUACGGAAUAUUUUUACUUAUUUCAUGUGUAUAUACAUAUAAAUUAGUAUUCUUUUUAAAAUUAUAUUCAAAAUUUUAAAAUUUAUAAUAUAUAAAAAAUUUUCUAUCUCACUAAGUUUUCAUAAAAAAUAAAUUUUUUUAAAAAAGCAAGAAGAAAAUAACGCAUCAUCUUUAUUUGCAAUAAUAUUUAUACUCUUAAAAUUUAUAUCAAAUAAAUAUAAAUUACAUGUCUUUCUUAAAAUAACAAAAACAUAUAUAUAUUUUUGAAUGAUGAAUUAAAUAAUAAAAAUAUAUAGACAUACUUUCACUUUUUUAAUCUUAUUCAAAUUAUUGUACAAAAUAUGAAAAGUGUUAGGUGAUGCAUGAAAAAAAGAAAAAUAAAUUAAAAAAAUAUUAAUUUUCAUAAGAACAAACUUGCAACAGUAACAUAAUAUAUCUUGAAAAAAGCCAAAAAAGUAAAUUGUAAUAGCAACUUAAUUCCACAAAGUUGCAAAUCAAAAAAAAAAAAAAGAAAGUGAUAUAACACAUUAUAUUUAUAAUCUUGGAUGAUAUUUAAAAUUGAAUAGAUAAUUUUCAACUUGAUAUUUUAAAAAACUAAAAGGAUAUAAUAAGUAAUAAAAAUUAAAUCAAAUUUCUUAUUUUUUUUUAAAUAUAAAAUUGAUAGUUAGAGUUGAGAUGGAUAUAAAUCCUAUUAUUUAGAGAUUUAACAUAAAAAUACUAUUUGAAUUUUCAAUAUUUUAUGUAAUUUUUAAAAAUAAUUUUUAUUGGAUACAAAUUAAGAUAAAAGAAUAUAAUGAGUUUUUUAAUAAACUUAAUCGUUAUAGUCUUUAAUCAUGUUGAAAGAUUUUCAUAAUUAAAUAAUUUAUAAAAUAAGGUUACUUGGUAAAAAUUAAAAUUAAUCGGAUAAAAUCUAUAUUUCAAAAUUUUAAUUAAAAAAAAUCUCUAAAUUAAUUUGAUUUGUAAUUAUAAUUUGAAUAAUUUUAAUAUUUGAAUAAAUUCAAGUUUAUCCAAUCUGUAACUAAAAGAAGAUAUACUCUUUAGAAACAACGGAUUGCUGCUCAACGAAAGAAAAAGCUCUUGGUGAAUCCCGACAAAUGCUAUCGAAUCAGCGGCUUGAGAAUACCCUCCUAAUGGUUCAGUCAGUUAAGAAGAAAAGAAUCGGUUGCUAGAGGAAGACAAAAGCAAGCGAAGGAGAAACUAUUCUUGCUUGAGUGGAAUCAGUUUUAUGAAUUUCAUUUCCGCUGACAACCGAAUUAGGGUUUUAAUUAGGGAUAGUAAUCAAGAUAAUGAUAGUAAUCAGGAUAAUUAUUUUUCAUAUUUUAAUAGUAAAAAUCAAAAAAUUGAGAUUGACAAUGACGAUCCUCAUUAUGAUUUUAACUUGUAUGAUACUAACUAUAGUUAGAAUAAUCACAUUAAGAGUUGUAUGAUUUAAGAUAUUAACACUUUUUAUACUCAAUUUUGAAUCCAUAAGAUGCCGCAAUGAUCUCUUUAAAAAUUUUUUUUAUAUCUUAAUUUAAAAAUAUUUUAAACUCAAUUAGAAUAUUCACAUAAUACUCUAAUGAGCUCUAUUUUUAUUUUCUUUUCCUUUUUAUGCCUUUUUACUAAAUUAAUAUUGUAAGAAAACAUAGCCAAUUGAGAUGCUUAUACCCUUAUUAGGUUUUGGUUUUGGUUUACUUUCAUUUGUUUUUGGUUUUUUUUAAUUGCAUAAUUUUUGGAACAAAAGGAAUUGAUGGAUGGAUAAACAAUUUGUACCUAAUGACUCAAUUCGAUGGUGAAUUUUUGUUAUUUUUUUAAAAAAUGAUUUUUUGCUUUUGUUUGUUUAUUUAUUUUUUAAUUAAAUAAAUUUUGUAAGAAAAUAAUAUUAAUGGAGUUGUCAAUGUAAUACCUCCAUUUAUUUAUUUCCUUUCGCUUUUUUUUUUAAAAUAUUUUUUAUUUUUUUAAUUAAAUCAAUUUUAUAACAAAAUAAAUCGAUUGAUAAGGAUUAUAAAAUAAUUAGUAUCGGAUAGAAUAUUAUCCCUUUCGAUUUGAUAUGGGCGAUUUUACAAAAAAUCAAUAUUAAAUCAAUUAGAGUCAAUUUUUUUAUAAAAUGUAGAGAGGAUUAAAAGUAGAUUUAUAAUAUUCUGUUCCUUGUCACCCUAUGAUAUAUAUAUAUAUAUAUAUAUAUAUAUAUGUAUUCAUUAGUUUUUUUGAAGGCUUAGUAUUAGUGGGUUUCAGACACAAAAAAAUAAAAUAAAAAAUUUAUUUUUAUAAAAUAUAUUUUGUGAGAAUAUGAAACCAAUUUUAUGUCCACGUGUCAUUCCCAUUUACGUUCUUUGUAUUUUUUAUUUUUUCCCUUUUUAAAUUAGGUAAAAUUUUCAAGAAAAAAUUGGUGAAUAAAGAUUGCAAAAAAAAAAAAACCCACAAUAACACACGGGCAUAAGUGGCAAAACGACCUUAAAUGGGAGGGUAUCCAUGGACACCCCAAAGUUGAAAAAUAACAAAAUUUAAAGAAAGACACCCCAAAGAUGGGAAAAAAAUUUUAAAUUUUUUUUCUGAGCACCAUAAAAUUAAUAAAUUUAUCAUAUAUAAUAAAUGGACACCUUAAAAAAAAAAAGUCUUGGAUCCACUAGGGGCAAGCAUCCAUCUGAUAAUAUAUAAAUUUGGAAGGCGAUCCAGACAUCCUCUCUCAUCUUCAAUGUGCCAUGAGUGAAUAUGAUUGAUCAUGUGUACAUGACAGCACAAGAAUCAUAAAUAAAUAGAUGUAAAUAUAUACUUAUAAUGAUUUUGUCUUUACAUUCGGAAAGAGCCCCACCUGAUUUACUGCCUUAGGCUUGGACGAUAUGAUGCUGCUAUCUGCAUGGGUGUGAAAGGCGUGCAUGCAUGAACUCACCCUCACAUGAAUCCCUCUCCUGUAUUCAAAGCCCCUGCAACAAUAUAUAUAUAUAUAUGUGUGUGUGUGUAUGCAUACACAUUUUCUUUUUGCUGAUAAUUUGUUAAUAAUUAUAUCCCCAUAUAAAUCAGUCAAGCUUAUUUUAUAUUCAAACAUAUUUGAUGUAGUAGUUUACGCAUACUCUGAUCUCGUCGACAAGAAAAAGAAAAGGAAAAAGCAAAAGUUUAUUGGUCUCCCAAUGAGUGGAAAUGAAUUUGUACAAACUUUUUUUUUUAGGCUUUCUCUUGAAUCAAUGACAAUCAGAGAAUCGAUGGGGUUACUAAGAAGAAGACACUCGCUAGGAAAGUAAAGAAAGAACAAAAUAUAAGGAGAGAGAGAUAGAGCAAACAAUUAAAAGGUACAUUAUCCAGGUGGGAACAGAUUGAAGCUCUUUGGCUUCAUAUUCCCACAAGCAUUAAUUUCUAUAAGCCUGUAAAUAUGGCCUCUCCCUUCCCUAAUUAACCCUGUAAAUUAUAAAUAUAGUGCAAAUGGAUUAUGUAAAUAAUUUGUCUGCCAAUGUGAAUUGAAAGUACCAAAAAGUUAUGAUUUCAUUCUAGUUAUUCUGUUUUGGCAAUAGAGAAACGACUAAUGAUUGUUUGCCUAAUUGCUCUAUUGUGAAAUCCUGGUGUAAUGCUGACGACGCUCAUAUGUCUUCAUCUUAUUAUGAGAAAGUUGGUUCAAAUGACUGGAAAAAGUAAAGAAGGCUGAAAGGUUGUGCCUCGAUAAAUGGCAAUGCCCUGAAAGGGCACUCAGGAUUGGUUGAACUUGAAUGUGAAAGAUCCUACUUCAUCACUAUACUAUAAGCAGCGAGCUGAAUAUAAAAUUUUGCAAUGGUUUGUCUUUCAGAUAAUUAAUUUACAGGUACAUCCUGUAAAUGUGUCAAUUACUUUUCCUUUCAUUUUCAAAAGAAAAAUUAUUAUAAUUAUAAUCAAUAAUUUGCUGUUUUACAUAUGUAUGUAGAGUUAUAGUUAUCUUGCACCCACUGACAAGGCCCCAACGUAGGGUGAUAGUAAAAUUGCCUUUUAACGAACCACGCGAUCAUUUCCUUUUUUUUUUUGCUUUUGGCUAACUGGAAUUAUUCUGUAUUAAUAAGCAUUCAUCAUAUUCCAAAUAUCAGCGAUAUGUUUUUUCUCUACACAAUUAAGAAAAAUUCAUAUAGUUUGGCUUGAGGUUGUUAUUCAUAUAUCAUUUGAUUCACACUAGCAAGUCUGAAGAGAUUGUUUCACAAUAAAGAUAAAUGUUUAAGAGAAAAACCAAAUUCAUUUAUUUAUUUAUGUUAGAUAUAUGAUUGAGAUUUUGGAUUUUAUGACCUUUCACUUGUCAAAUUUAAAUUUAUACACGCGCAAAGAUAUUUUUGUUUCACAUAUUUAGUAAUUUAUUUUCAAUUUCUUUAUGUAAAUGUAUUAAUAUUCAUAUUUACAUGUAAUUCUCAAUAAAAGGGAAUGGGAUAUUUGGAUAUUAUUACUAAGGGACAAAGUGAAAGAUUAAACAUGAUUUGGUGCUGGCCUUUUCUUCCUCAUUUGAAUCACAUUGCAAGGAUAUAUAUAUAUAUAUAUAUAUUCAACGUGGGUCUCUAGCCAUUCCAUGUAUAUCAAAAUCUCAACCACAUAUAGUUUUAUGGAUUGUUGUAAUUAAUUAUAUAUGCAUUUUAACGUUGAAGCAAGUGAGGAUAAUGACUGACAUGCACACCUGACAAUGUCUUAAUCAUGCUUGUUCAUAUAUGAAGCACAUAUGUCUUUAUUCUAUGACAAUAUUUUCAACAUCUUAAUUUGUAAAGAGCACUAAGAUUCAAACUGAUAAUGAAGGGACUUCGGAUCGAUCAUUAGAAAGGAUAAUAGCUGUGGAACGAGAUGCAUAAAGGCGAUAUAGUGGAUAAGGAUAUGUAGAAGAGAAGUGAAAAUUGAGAAAGGGAAGAAAGGAGAUGGAUGGACAAAGCAGAGGAUGAAACGGUAAUAUAUGAACAACUUACUUUAAUGGGUCAUGAAAACCUAAAACUUUCCUUUCCUUUCCGUUCACUUUGAAUUACCAAAUUUCAUCAAAUACUCCCUUUUUUAAUGGCAUAAGGCACAAGGAUUAUUAAUUGCAAUCAUGUCAGAGAUUGUAUAUUCUCAUUUUGUCAAUUUUAUUGGUUUUGUUUUUAGGUUGCCAAGUUUUGGUUCUCCAAAUCUCUCGUGCUCAUAAUAAUUAAUCAAUGAUAGCUAUAGCUAGACCAUGAAACAGUAAUUUGUUCAUGCUAAGACAAUAAAAAGUGAGCGAAAAAUACAAGCUAUAUUGUUUGUAAAAGAAUGAAUAUACUCUCGUAUGUCUAACAUAAGGACAUGGAACUCAAAGCUGUCACCCCUGCCAUGAAAACGAAAGAUUAUUAUAAUACUAUUUGUAUGUUAUGAAAAAUUCAAGAAUGUUACUCCAAUAUUUCAGUACUCUCUUCAGGGAACCAAUGUGGUUUCUGUGAAUACAGUUGCAGCUAGCUAGCUAGCUAGCUAUAUCUUCUUUGUUUCUAUCUUGAAAGGAAUUGGCCAUUGACAUCUAUCAAUUUAAUACCAAGGGACCGGAAGCCCACUUUAAUUGUCCAUAUUUCGGUGCGUUUUCGAAAUGUGAUUAGGCUGAUAUAUUUUAUAACUGCAUCUUUUCAUGUUUUGUUUAUUCCAUCAAUAUUUUGGUCUUGAAUUGAUGAUAUAAAUCACAUAAAUGUAAAACUUCAUUUUGGAAUGGGAAAUUUCCAAGAAUCUAGACUGGUUGCAGUGGUGGGGUUCUAUUACUUUUGUUUCACAGGAUUCUCAACAUUAUGCUGAAUUCCUGAUAAGGCGAUCGAUUUGAACAUCGUUUCCUGUCAAACUUUAUUCUUAGCAAAGAAUAGUAGAAGUGGCAUCAAUCAGACAGGGGGGCAGUGUACCAACAUUGACAUUUAUCACAAACACGUGAGCUACAUGUACGGGGAAAAUUCUUGCUUGCCCUGCCCUGCUGGUUUAUUUCUUUUUCCAAUGGAAAUGGAAUGCAUCAGGUAACCAUCUUUGUUCUCCUGUACAAUGGGGGUGUCAUACGUAUUGAAUUUCUUUUUUUGUUUUUAACAAAAGAAGGUGGUAAACUUGUUUAGUAUGGAAUCCAAGGUUUAGUUCAAUUAUUUUAUGAAGUUAUACUUAAGAUGUGAUAUUUAAUAAAUUUUAUUAAGGUUUAAAUCUCAAUAUUUGUAACAUCUUCUUUAUCUUCAUGUUGUAGUCUUCUUUGUACAAAAAAAAAAAAAAACUUAAUACCUACUAGGCUUAGACCUUGCCACUUAUACUAUAUAUAUAUAUAUAUAUAUAUAUAUAAUCUUGUAUAAAUCUAAUUAAGCCACGUUAGGGAUGAUGAAAUGUUGAAACCUCAAAAUUCUCGUAAAGAACUCAAUUUAACAAAAGAAGCUAGUAAAAUUGUUUAGUAUCGAAUCAAAGGUUUAGUUCAAUAUUUUAUGAAAUUACACUUAAGAUAUAAUGUCUAAUAAAUUUAAAAUUUAAAUUUUAAUAUUUGUAAUUUUUUUUAUUUUUCUACUGCAGUUUCUUUGAAAAAAAAAAUACUUAAUACCUACAAGGCUUAGGCCUUGCCACUAGUGCUAUAUGUAUAUUAUAUCUUGUAUAAAUCUAAUUAAGCCAUGUGAUUGAUGAUGACAUGUUGCAACCUCAAAAUCCUCAAUUUACCAAAAAAUCAACUUUCCUAUACAUAUGAAUUACUGAACAUUGCAGAUGUCUACUCCAUAAUUGUUGGUAACGAAAAAUCAUCAGGUGCAAUGUCUUCCCUUGGUUUGCUUUGCUAUUACUCAUGUGAAGAAACGUCCCUACCCUUAUUGUGUGAUAAAGAAAGGCUCAAAAACGAGUAGUAAAAUUUACUAUGGAAAGACAAUCUAUCUUUAUCUUAAUCUUAAAGAAUAUAAAAGCAUGUUUAAUAUGAAACUAAUAAUAAAACAUAUUUAGCAAAAAAAAUAAAUAAAAAACUUCAUACUUGAGAUAAUCUAAAUAUGAGCUUGAAAUCCAUAACGACUGAAUCCAGGAUAUAUGUAUGCCUUGAAUUUCAAAUUGUUGUUAGGUUAAUUAAUUUAACCCUAAUUCCUAAUCCACCUAUUUAAAUAUGUACCAUCGCACAGGCUCAAGUGGUAGGGGGAGGGGGAAUAUUGGGGUUGUAAAAGAAAAUGGAAGGCCUUUUAAAAAAAAAAAAAAGUACCCAAGUCAAUCCACAUAAAUAAUGACUUGGAGAAUGGAAUAUUUUUGUCAAUUUUAUUUUUAUAAUACAGUCAAUAAUUUUCUUUAGACAAUAUUAAAGAUCAAUUGUUUUACAUCCAUACGAUGUAUUUAAAAUUUUAUUUUUAAAAUAUACUCUCCAUAAAAAUUAAUCCAAAUUAAAAACAAAGUUUUUCUCUACUGAAUGGACUAAACUUUUUAAGCUUUCAAAGUUGUCAAUUGCCAGCUAUUUUAUUACUAUUUUUCAUCUGAUCAGAUUUCAAUUUAGAUAGAUAAAAAUUAUUUUCUUUGCUCGAUAACCUCACCUAUCAAUCAAAAGGGACAGAGAGACACAGAGACAGAGAGAGAAAAAAAAAAAAAAGACAAGGUGAAAUUCUUGAAGCAGAGAGGAAUGGAAAAGUUGAUUAUUAGUAAAAAAAAAAAAAGCAAUAAUAAAAGGCUGGUUUGCCAGCUAUACAUCUACUGAUAUUAGCCUGUAGGGCAAUAGCAGAAGUGUAUUUAGCGGUGGAUUAUGCGCCACUUCUUUAAAAUGGACCGGCGCUUAUCGCGGAAAGAAGAGAGGAUAUAGACCGCAACUGUCUUUACCUUCUCGCUGGUGUGCUCUGCUCGGGACCAUUUUUCUCCUUUUGCUUUGCUUUGCUCCUUCACCCCUUCAUUUUAUUUCAUUCAACUCAAUUGAGAUUUAAUUUUAUUUAUAAUUUGUUCAAAGAAAUUUUUAGAUAUCUUUGACCGAAUUAUUAAAAAAAACUGGUAAAUAUAUAUGUUUAAAGAAGAAGGGCAUUUUUAUUCAUUUUUAUUAGCUUUUGAAAAGUACAGCUCUUUACAUUUAAUAUCUAGUACUACUAAUUUCAUAUUAGUUUGGAUUAAAUUAUGCAACAAUGUGUUAAGUUAGUCCCUGUUAAAACAACAAAAUGUAACUAUGACUUUGCUGUUUUUACUUUUCCAAGGGAGAGAGAGAAAGGGCAAGGGCUGGGACCAACACACACACAUAAAUAGGGCAGCUGCUGAGAGUGAGGAGUCUCAGAAGUGAAGUCGAAGACUCUAUAGCUUCUUUUUCCGCACAGAAAGCGAAGCUUCUCUUUUCCAUCAUUAUUACUCACUCUUUUGCAAGCUUAGUCCCAACACUUAAUUUCUUUCUCAUUCUUCUCUCAAAUUACAUUCAAUACCAACAUAUAGCAAAUAAAAAAGGUGAAAUUUUCAAGGAAGAAGAAAAAAAACAGAAAACCCAAACGAAGAGAGUUGUUAUGGAUUACUUUGAUCUUGAGGUCCCAUUCACAAGCUUGGAAGAACACCAUUCUGAUAAGAUUUCAGCUCUCUUCUCUUCAGAAUCUGAUCAUAUGCCUUCUCAGAACUAUUUUCAAAGUUUAAAGACCAGUGAUUUCUACGUUUCUUUCCGACAGGAAGCCAUUUCUCUCAUUUUGCAGGUAUCCUAUAUUUAUAUUAACAUAGUAACUGUUCUUUCUUUCUUUCAAUUUGUAUAUUGUUUACUAUUCUUGCCUUCUGUUUUCUCGUAUCGUGUUGUAAAUUUGUUUUAGUUGGUCAGGCACAGUAUUCUUGUAACCUUGAUCCCUACACGCCAUACCUGGCUAUUAACUACAUGGACCGGUUCAUCUCCGGGCAACAAAUGCCGGUAUGUAGUCAAGCUAAAUGCUCUCUUUAUCUUUGUAGUUAAAGAAUUUUACCGUAUAUAAAAAACUUGAAAUAAGAUGCGGAGUGUUCAUUUGUUUGUCUUUCUUUUCUUGGUAAUCAAACAGAGGAUUGGUUGAUGCAUUAGCUAACAAUCCAAUUCAUCUUGAAUUUUGCAGCAAGGUAGCCCAUGGGUUCUGAGGCUUCUUGUGAUAGCUUGCAUUUCUUUGGCUGCAAAGAUGAAGGAAAUACAUUUCUCUUCCUCCAAUUUCCAGGUAAAACAUCUCCUUUGGGUUGAUAAUGUUUACCGUUAAUUUGUUUACCCUCAUCCAAGGCUAAUACAAAUGAAACAGAGAGAAGGAGGAUUCAUCUUUGACGCUCCAGUUAUCCAACGAAUGGAGCUUCUGAUUCUUGAUUCCCUGAAUUGGCGAAUGAGAUCAAUAACACCCUUCUCGUUUAUCUAUUUCUUCAUAUCUUUGUUCGAACUAAAAGAUCCACCUUUGACUCAAGCUUUAAAAGAUAGAGCAACAGACAUAAUCUUCCAAGCUCGUAAUGGUAAUUAAACAGAACAUAAAUCAUUUCACUUAUGUCUUUAUCAGAAAACAGCUUAAACCCUUAUGGGAAGAACUCUGUUUUUGUUACAGAAAUCAAUCUAUUAGAGUUCAAACCAUCAAUAAUUGCAGCAUCAGCUCUUCUUUUGGCAUCUCAUGAGCUAUUCCCAUUGCAGUUUCCAUCUUUCGAAACCUCAAUUUUGUCUUAUGAAUAUGUGAAUAAAGUAAGCAACCAGUACCAUAAUGUUUAGUUAAUUUUUUUUAUUACUUUACGUUAAUGAAUGAAUCUAAUAAUUUUGACAGGAGAACCUGUUGAAAUGCUUUAAUGCAAUGCAAGAGAUGGUGAUUAACGAAAUGAGCGAGUCAAUUGUAGAUACGGUGUCAAGCUCAAGUAUAAGAACCCCAAUAAAUGUUUUGGACUGCCACUGCAACAAAUCAGAAAGUGAGAGUUCCACUAGCAACAUGGCUGCCACAGCAAUGCCUGGAAAGAGAGAAAUCAAGCGUCGCAAAUUGAACGGUUUUUGCAGUGAAAGUAAUAGGGUGAAGAUUUCCCAGAUUCAACCAUGUGGAUAAGAUUUUCAGCCCGACUUUCAUUACCUAAUGUGCUAAAGGAUAAAAAAAAAAGGGUCAUGAAUGGUUUUGAUUAGAACCUCAAGAGAGAUGGCACAAUAUCACUAAGCCCCUCUUUUUUCUUGCCAUUUUCUUUGACUAAUAUUUGAAAAAGAAAAAAAAUAAUAAAAAUUUUGGUGAUGAGAGUUAGACAAUCCAUUUUGUUUCAUGGGGUUUUUUUUUUUUUUCUUUUUUUAUUUAUCUAAUUAUUAAAUGUAACCGGGGGCCAGCUGUUGGAAACGGGACAAGGACAAAACAUGGCUUCAAAUGUCAAAAUAGUAUUACUUGUUGGUGUUAAAGUUGUGUUGUUUUAUUUAUUUAUUUUUUAAAUAUGUUGUGUUGUUUUAUAGCAGAUAGGGAAUAGAGCAAUGCUUCAUUGAAUAAGAUAUUAUAAUGUAAACUGCAAAGUAAGAAAAUAGUUUCCUAGAAAAGGCAAAGAUGGAGGUUUCAUUUCUCAUGUCAAAGUAUAGAAUAUGACUAUAAAUUAGUGAAAAAGACCGAGGAAAAUGAGAUUGGCGGGAAAGAACACACUCCAAUUCCUCCAAUCAGUACUUGAGAAAUUACAAAAGAAUUUGUGGGGACAAGAGAGAAGGCAACGUCCAAGGCACGUUGCUGUCUUAAAUGAUUUUGGUAUCUUUGUCGAGAAACUACACAAUUUAUGUGUUUGAAAGCAACCAGGGUGAGAAAUAACGAUGUCUUAUCUUUGUGGGUUGUUCUGGAAUUGAGAAGCAUAACAAUUUAUUGCUUUCUUGAAUUUUUAUUUUGUUCAAGCUCAAGAUUAAUCAGUCAGCUUAAUUAUAAUGUUUGUUUUCUUGUUUGUCAAUUGGGGAAGAUGUUUGUGUAGAAUUCAAUUGUCUGCAAAUUGCAAAAUUUACUAUUAAUUGAUAGAUUGGGCAAUGUUUGAUGGUCCUGAAUGAAGCUCUUGGCCCACUUUUGAAGGUAAAAAAUGUCAGAAAAUUGAAUUCUGUAGACUGGAAAACAUCAUCUUAAUUCAGGGACCACUGGGCUUAGAUGGUCCAAGGAUUCAAGCCCAAAUUGUAUGUCCAACUUCUAAAUCAGUGUAUAAAGUUGUUUCUGCCAUUGCUGUACUUCAGUUUUCUUUCACAAAAAUUGUGAAGUUGUUUUUUUCCAUGGCAAUGACAAAUUUCACCCAAAAUAAAAAAUAAAAAAGAAAGUGAAGGGUAAAAGCUCCUUUUGCCUUCCCUUUGCCUCUCAAUUAAGUUGCAUAAAAGUAUUCACUCUUUCUUGAUUUUAAUUAAGGUAACUGCAAAUUUAUUGACCAUAAUCCACUGUCCUAGAUUACAAGUUCAACUGAUUUAUACUACAAUAUUAUUUGCAUAUUUUAUUUUUGUUUUGCCUGCAUUUCUUUUUUUUAAUACAGGAGAGAAGUUAAAAGCCACAAUCAAGAUUUCCUACCAAAUUCCGGAUCAGUCCACCAGAACCAAGAUUUGCCCGCAUUCAAAAAGGAAGCUGAAAACUUUGUUGCUAUAAGAUAUGCACAUGCAUGGACAUUAAGAGCUGGCAUCCAUCCAAAUCCAAUGCCAAUAGCCCAAUACCACUAGUCUAGCUACAACCUGCACAAUACUAUUUAUGAACACUUAAAUGCGCUAGAAAUUUAAGAUGGACAAAGAGAAUGCUCAAAAAAAAAAAAAAAGAUUGGAAAAGAGAUUAUUAGCCCCCGUGGAUGUUUUCUUUCAUCAAAAAGUUGAACCAAACAUCAUCACAGGAAUUACCCCGAUACUGGAACCACUCCAGGUGAGAGCUGGAUGAAGAAACUUCAGGUUCUGCAUAAAUGGCCCCAGAAUUCUCCGCUCUGUAUGAUCCUUCUGCAGUGAAUGGCUGCUCCAAUAUGCUUUGAAGUUCUCCAAAUGUUUCGGAUGAACCAAUAGUUUGCUUUUCAUCAAUUUUGGCUGCAGGGUUGGAGCUUGAUGACGGAAAACUGUCAGUAGAAAAUUGUGGGAACAGCUGGAUUGCACCACAGCUUUCUGAAUUUGGUGCUUUUGGAGCCUUGGCUGGUGGAAGAUCAAUUUCGGAUGAGCUCUUCUGUUCGGUUUCAACAUUGGAUAUUUGGAAAGGUUCACUUUUUGGCAUUGAGUUGUGCUUCAAACGUUUGCUCAAGUGAGUAUGCCAAUAAUUUUUAAUCUCAUUGUCAGUUCUUCCAGGCAACCUUGACGCAAUCACUGACCAUCUGCAAACUUCAACUAAUUUCUUAGUUCAGAAAAUCCAACAAAAUUUAUCUUUCAUUACAGGAAACUGCUCAAAUUCUUUUAUAAUCAUGCAAUUCAGGUCUCAAUAUGCCAGAUUUCAUCAAAUAAACAGAAAAUACUAAUUAGAAAUAAUUACUAUUUACACACAUGAAUUGGGCUCAAUGGUAGCUGAGUGAAUCCGAUUCUCCAAAAUUCCUAAAAUCCUCACACAGACCAAACAUGUUAUGGUUUUUGUAUAGUAUAACAGUAAAGUUAAUUCAUUUUUAAAAUUUCAAGGGACUUAAUAGGAAAUUCUGCUGGAAAAUCAGCAUCAGUUGCAGUAACCACGACAAAUCGUAACCUGCAUAGUCAUCAACACUCACAGGGAUAGUUCUAUGUACAACCUUCAGCACUUACCGAUUUCCAAGCCUUUCAUGCAAAUCAAUUAUGGUUUCCUCUUCUUCCCUAGUGAAAUUUCCACGCUUAAUUCCAGGUCUUAGAUAAUUCAACCAACGAAGUCUGCAACUCUUCCCGGACCUUUGCAAUCCUACAAGUAAAAAACUACAUAAAAGACUGGAUAAAAGUGUAAAUUAGUAGCCAAAAACUUUAGUAUUUCUCUAUGAUAUUGCUUAUUCCGGAGCACGUUUUACGGUUUUUUUGCUUAAUUACCUGCUGGUUUGGCCAUCUCUGUCCAAUUCCAGAUACCAUAUCUAUUAAUAUAAGCUAUCAAUUUGUGGUCUUCUUCGGUACUCCAUGGACCUUUUCUCAGAGCUAUUUUUUCGACCGACUUUGCCAUAUCUGCAAGAUGUAAAUGAAUCAGAUUUCAAGCUAAUGCAAAAGCAAAACGUUUUAUAGAAAGAUUUGUUGCAGUUUAUCUUAUGAUUCUGUGGAAAAACGCGUUUCAAUGUCCCCAAUUUUCCAAUGAUUUGACGAUUACAAGGCAAAGCAUUUAUUCCAAAGAGGAUUCCUCGUGGAACAUCUCUUAUUGGUAUUAUUCCAAAUGCUUAUAUAUAGAGGUCGACGCAUAUUUGUUAAUUUUGUUCUUUGUCAAGAAAAGGGUUAAAAAAAGACAGAAUAUCCUGAAUUAUUUAUCUAUAUAUAUAUAUAUAUAUAUAUAUAUAUAGGAGGACUAGGUAUGAUAAUUAACUACAAAUGCAACUACUCUGAUAUAAGGCUGCUGAUAUCUUGUGACUUAGGUCAUCGCUUAUGCAAAAUUAAAUAAGAAUGAAAAAAACAAGUCAAGUAGAUAAGUGCAAAAUUAACCAACAGUCACAAACUUACAUUAAUCAGUGUAUAAAAGAAUCAAGACAUGACAAACAGUACACCAAGUUUGAACUUCAUUUGCCUUCAAAUUUUCAAAAUGACUAGGAAAUGCUGGUGGUGUCAUGGUGUGUUUUCGUUGAAGAAAAUUGCCUUGUAAAUAUUAACAUUCAGGCAAAAAACAAUACUUUCACGAGGGCAAUGAGAAAAGACAGCCUUAUAUAACAAAUUUUAUAUAGGAAACGGCUACCAAGAAGGGUAAUUGAGGUUGAUGGCUUUAUCAGAUUAUAAUUAAAGUAAUUAAAUUAAUAAAACUAUGGCACUGUAGUGACAUUUUAUGACCGUUUGGUACUAAAUUUAUAGAAUUAUUGACUAGCAGGUUUCUGUGAAUUAGAAACUGAUAUUUUAAAGAAAGUACAUCGUGAGGACAAAAAGUGGUGUGAAACACAUUGAUUUGAACAUAAUAAUAGUAUAUAGAUUAAUCUAGGUCUUAUGAAAUAAGUUUUGAAUAUUUGGAGUUUGCAAUCAACACAGGAAUCAAAGUCAAUUAGGUGUGUUUUGGUUACACGUUUCUCGAGUAGUUAAGUCCUAGAUUAAGGAUUAUACUAAUAACGUUUAUGAUGGGAACUGGUUUUGAUAAUGUAAUUACCAUUUACUUUCUCUGGCAAAGAAAAAUGAAAUCCAAGACAGUUGAAGUUUAAGAGAGUAGCUAAUUAAAUCAGAACUACCAUGAGCCCAGAUUAAAAUCCAACCCUAACCAAUCACGGUCAAUUCAUUUAGAAGCCCCUUUAAUUAGGCCUUCAAGAAAUUUACAACGAAGCCUCAUUAGUUUUUUUCUUUUUUUUCUAACUAUUUUUUUUUUCACAUACGAAUUUCUCUGGUAUGGAAUAUAUUAUGAUUAGGCUUUAUUACGUUCUUUAAAGUAACUUCGUAAUUUGAGAAAUUCCGGUAUUCAAUAGGAAUGCAUAAGAUAUACUAUUACCGAAAGAUGUUUUGCAUUUGAGAAAACCGGAAGACAGGUAACAAAUUACCCAUGCAUCGGUUACUCGCGUGUAACUCAGAUAAUCUGAGCCAUUAGCUCCAGCGGUAGCAAUUCUAAAACUUCGAUGGAAACAAGGUUCCGUGCGAAAGAAACCUGAAUAUAGACACAAAAAUCACCGUUGCUCUCUCCAUCAGGCUAAUUUGCAUACACAGGGACAAGGGAACCUGAAGCCUGCAAAGGAGCACCUAUCAAUAUGCCAAAUUCAAUCAUGAAUGCUAGUACAGUCAGCACUCGGCACAAGCUAUGUUUAUUCACAAAAAGAAGAAAAAAAAGACAUGGAAUAAAAUGACAAAUCUAUUUUCAAGCUAAUUUUAAUAUAUAUAUAUAUAUAUAUAUAUAUAAAAACUAUUUUGGAGAAGCAUCUACUGCAGUCAUGGUGAAUAGGGUGUUCCCUAAUCAAUCAAGGUCUACCUGGAGGGCAUAUACUCAAAGUCUACCUGGGGAAAGUAACAAUGUAACGUCAAGUUCGAUUGGAUGUCCUAAAAACUUCCCCCAAAUUGUUACAAAUAGUUUCCUUUUAUGCACAUGGAAGCAACGUUGUCUUUCACCAUUCCCGCAGGAUUCCAUGGUUCAAGCUGCACGCAUUGCUCUUCCACCUGCUUGUAUAACAUCCCUCCAACAAAUAGCAAAUUUUGUGGGAUGUUUGUAAUUCGCCGUUGUAUCCAAUAUUCAUUGUACAACUUCUCACAUUCAAGCCUAAUCAUCACCAUUCAAACUAUUUUGCGUGCUGCAGGGCUCAGAAGUCUUAAUUGAUAUAGGAAGAGGAGGAUGUAGCUCAAAGAAUGCUCUGCUCCCUUCACCAUGGCUUCCUAUGCAUAUAUCACCACGACCGUGCCAUGUACCAUUUUGGACAUUGUUCAUCUCCAAUGUUCUAGACUCCUGCUCCAAGUCAAAAAAAAAAAAAAAAAGAAGGCACCAUUAUUCAGUUAAAAUGAAAGAUUUGAAGAACGCUCAAUAUUUAGUAAAAAUAAGAGAUUUGAAGAACUUAAAUUUGAGCCACAUUUGACUUUGAUUCUUUCAUAGUAUUGCUAAUUGAAAGAGUCUCAUUGCAUUUUUGGAUUGUAGAAUCAGUAAAUAAAAUACUCAAAGUUCCAAAACAGUUUGGCAAGGACAAGAACCUGGGAUAAUGUACAGCAAGGGCAAAUAAGAUGGUAGAUGCAAUCAUCCAAAAAGCUAUCAUUACCCUGCAAACAAACAUAAUCCCCAACAAUAGUAUGAUUUCAGCAAAAAUUGUAACAGGAGUGCAAGAUUAUAAGAAAAGAAAAGUAAGAAAUGUAAAUAACUAUCAGAAAUCUAUAAAAAAUACAAACAUAAACCAAAGAUCAGGAAAGCAUGAUCAUUGAUCAUGUAGUUGAAAUUCAAGGUAGCUAGUCUUAUCCAGAAAAUAGAUCAAUCAAACACCAUCUUUUACAAUUAAUUGUAUGAGCUGACAAUGAACAGGGUCAUAUGUAUUUAUCAAGCUUUACUAUUCUUAUAAGCAAAAGACCAGAAGUUCAAUGCAUUGACAAUGCCAUAAUCAAGACGAAUCAAGAGAAAUUAUUAUAACUGCCCAUAAGACUUUUGUCCAAUUGUAAAAAGGCAGGCUUUGGCCCAAGGAGAUCCAAGAUUUAAAUUCCCCACCUCAGUGUGUAUGACAGUGUGAGUGCAUUGUUAAGUAACAAUUAUAAAUUUGGGCUCUUGUAAAAGAAUGGAAAGCACCAUGCAUUUAUUCCAAAUGUUGUGCAAAACAGGAUUUCCUCAAUCUAUUUGGUCCUUUUGACACCUCUAUGAAACUUAGAAGUCAGUCCACAAGAACUAUAACAUCCUCAUUCAGUAUAAAGAGGUCAACAAAGUUGAUUAUAAAUACAAAAACUACUAAGCAGAAGGAAAUAUCAUAGGAUCACUUAUCAUUAGACCCUACAAUCAGAAAAGAAUCAAGCAUUAUAAUGAAUAAAAGUUCUCACCCUAAUAUUGAAUUUUCUCUUAAUCUGUGUACGGAAAAAACCCAAGUAUGCUCCAACAGAUAUGAUGAAAGCAACAGCUAAAUACAGAAAGCAAUUCCACUUGAUGACAAUAAAGGCAAGGAAGUUGAGAAAUGCACUCACAACAAGAAUGAAAUAAACAGUUCCCUGCAAAAGCACAUUAAGAAUUCAGGACAUAUUGAAAUAUAACAUCACUGGAACUCUAAAGUGCAGGAACUAGAAUGCAUAUAAAAGUUACAAAAUCCCCAAACUUGCCUAUCAUGAGGUGACUAUGAAAACACAUAUUUGGGAAAUAUCCAUUUCGAGGUAUGGUAUUUUGAGUUGUAAGAAAGUAGAAACAUGACAAUUUUUACCUGAAGAAAACAAUAACCGAAACCAGCCCUCCCCAUGUUCUUCCCAAAUCUGUAGCAGGGGCAACUACAACAUAAGAAAAAAAAAACACCAUUACACAAACAUUAAAAGAAAAAAAAAAAAAACUAUCAGCUAAACCUCAUGACAAGUAACUCAAAACAAAAAAAAAAGGGGGUGGGUGGCAGGGUGGUUAGAAACUCGACUAAACAGCUAGAACCAGUUAAUCAACCAAUUAAACAACUUUAAGAGAUUAAACUAAAUAAUUUUUGAACUAACGAUAAAAUUCUUUCCUUUUGGGGCUAAAACUAUUUUACAGGAAAAAAAAAAAAAACCGAAGCCGCGAAAAAUAUAUAUUUUUUAAAAAUAAAAGAUUUAGGGUCAGCAAAAAAGAACAGGUUUUUCUUUUAAAUCAGUUUCGUAAAAGUAAAGGUUAUUUCUAUGUGAAACUUUGUUAGGUGGCCUCCAUAAUUUUCGGAUUUAGACACACAAAUGAAAAAAAUAGAGAAAUGGAAACCUUUUUUAGUACUACUAUUUUUUUUUUUCAGAAGUUUCUUUCUCAGAAAAAUUAUUAAUUUUCCAUGGAAACAAACAACCUCUUCUCACAAUAAAGAGAGAGAACUGACCAGGCAGAUUGCAGAGCGAGACGGCGGUCAUCGAAGAAAUCAAGAACAACUUCACCUUCCCACAUCCUCAAAACGCCACCAAAGUCGGCGUUUCCUUGUUCUAAACUAUCCUCAACGGUUUCAAGUUUCCUCCAUUUACCUUGGGUUUGCAAAGCCACCGUCGAACAUAACAUGUCGAAAUCCAACACCGCCAUUCCCUCUAACAACCUCUCUUCUUCUUCUCCUUCCUCCUUGUUCCCAUUUACAACAACUUUCUCUUGCUUCCCUAAUUCCGCCAUUAAAACCAAACAACGGAAAUUUCACAGCUUUAUUUUCUUCUUUCUCUUUACAAGGAGGACAAUAAAUAGCAGCCCUUUGGGUUGGCGGGGGGAAUUAAUGGGGAUGUGGGACCCCAAGGGAGGCGGAUAAAUGACCGACCAGCUGUUGCCCCGUAGGAUUCACAUUAUAGGAGUUUAAGAUUGUAAUAUUGUAAUAAUUGCUAUAUUAACGUUCUAAUCUACCUUCACUAGUUUCCCACCAGAAAGAAAAUCUUUAAUUAUGCUAACAUUAUUCUCUUUCCUAUUCCUUUUUUGGGUAAUUAUUGGAUAAUUAAUGGUAGUAAUUGUUUCAACUUUUCAUGCUUUAAAUUUGGACAGAGAAAGCAACCAGCUCUUUUUUGGGCUGUUACAAUAAUGUUGACCAAAAGAGUUUGAAUUGGAUAACAUAAUCCAAACCCAAAGACAUCUUAUUCGAUUUUAGAAUGUAAUGGAUUGAAUUUAAAUUAAUAUAAUAUUAAAUUUAAGUUUAAUUUAAAAAUUAAAAAUUUAAUUUAAAUUUAAUUUUUUAAAUUUAAAUUUAAUUUGAUAUAAAAAUUAAAUCACUUAAAUUCAUUCUAUUAAAUUUUAUUAACAUAUAAAAAUAAAUUUAAUUUUUAUAUUAAAUAAAAAUUUAAUUAUUUAAGUUUGAAUUCGAAUUAAAAUUUAAAAUAUUUUAUUAAUUAAAAUAAUAAAAAUAUAUUUUAAUAUAAAAUUUUGAUUAAACUCUUAAAUUAUUCUUAUCAAAUAUAAAAAUAUUUAAAUUUAAUUUGAUCGAUAAAUUAAAUUAUUUAAAUUUAAAUUUAAUUAAAUAAUAAUUAAUUUAAAUUUAAAUUUUAUUUAAUUUAAAUUUAAAUAAUUUAUGAAUAUUAAUAUAUUAUUUAUAUUUUUAAUUUUAACACGAUAUGUUAGCACGAUAUGUUAGGUUUUUUUUUUUUUUUUGGUGUCUUAAUACACGCAAUAGUAUUAAUAAUGUUGGUGAAAUUAAAUAGUUUAAAGUUACUUUUAUAAAUUGAAACAUGGAUGGAUAGGCAAGCAACAGCGUGGCGUCGGGAGCCACUAGCCAGGGAGAUACUGAGCUGUACCACAACCUAAUUAAUCCUAAAAAAUGUACCCAAAAGCCAAAGCUAUUUUAUUAUAAAUUAUGUGUGGUGGAGAAGUGAAAGUGAAGCAGCAAGCGACAAGGGGCAGAGGCAGACCGAAGCAAGGGGGCAGUGGUUGUGGUGGUGGUGGUGGUGGUGGUGGUAGUGGUGGGGUCUCUAUCGUAAUACUUGAUAGGCUUUGAUGAUCAGAUCAGAUAAGCUUCUUAUGAUUCCCAAUAAAGGUCGUUUGAGAGUUAUCGCAAAUUAUCAACCACCCCACGUGCAAAAAGCGUUUUGUGCUGACUAAUGAAAAAGAUUUGUGUAAUCUUCCCGUAGUCCAUAUAAACUAUCUUACUCACUUAUCACUACGCGCAAUUGUAUACAGGCAGCGGAUGCAGUGCUUUUGGUUGCAUUACUGAACAUUUUAUAAAAGGGCCACUAUCAAAUCUGGCCGUUGUUUUGUUGAUGUUGAGAGGACCAGUCAGCCUAAUGAGAUUUGACUCCCGCGUCGGCGUCAUGCAUUACCCUUGUUUUGCUUAUCUUCCCAUCUCUACUUAGCUUGCAUUCUUUGUCUAAAAAAAAAAAAAAAAAAAAACUAUUGAGUUUCACAUGAUUUAACGACGCGGAAGAACCUAUAUUCUAUUGAUAGAAUAUGAGUUGUGACCAAAAACAUGAUUUAAACAACUCCGUUAUUGUCAGUUCAUCUGAUGCAAUACCAUAUCCAUAUCCUACCCUUUAAAAGAACGGCUAAGACAGUCUUAAGCACAGGACAAAAACUAACAGGCAGCGAGAGUUCUACAUAUGAACCUGCAGUUUGGCUCACUGGGAACCUUUUCAUGAACCUUUCCUAGUGAUAAUAGUAAUGAAUAAAGAUUGGAGUUCUAUUUCUAUAUGCGUUUUCCCUCGAUUAGAAAACAAUGGGAAGAAGUUCAACAUUUCAACGCCUAUAUUUACCAUUUUAGUUUCAAAGGCAAAAGGCUGAGCCUUAACAUGUUUAAACAUGAAAAAAGAAACGAUACCACCAUUGCUCUGUUACAAUAAAAUUAAACACAUUCAUACCAGAAGUGAAGAUUCGAAUGAUGUGUAAAGAUAACAAAUCUGAAAAGCAUAAAGAAAAUGAAACUUGUUGACCUACCAAAGGGUAAAAAAGAAAGUUUAUGUCUUAGAUGCAGGUCUAACAAGCCCCAAGCCACUACCACUUCCCAAAUGCUUAAAAUCAGUGGCUUGAAGUUGAUCCCCAUGGCCAGCAAAGCCUGUCCCUCCUUUUUCCAAGGUCACCAAAGUCCUCUCUCUGCAUGCCUUAUCACAAACCAAACAUACUUUAUCGACAGCCAUAAACCUGUCAGCACAUUUCUUGCAAAAGACAUGCCCACAGGAGCUAAGGGCUACCAAUGAUAAUGUAUUGGUCAGUGUGACCUUGCAGCUUGGACAAAUAUAAGUCUUAUCAAGAGAAGAUUUCUUCUGUUCACUGUCAUCUUCAGUGAAAUAGAUAGGAAAAAGGCUCUUCAGCUUGAGUUUUUCCUUGCCUUCUGGACAGAUUGUAAUAGUGGAAGGUGCCUCAACUUUAACAGAUGCUUCUGGAGUUGCCGAGGGAAGCCAAAAAGCUUUCAUCGUCCGGAGUGCUUCCUCUUCAUAAGAAGUGACCUUCACACUAUUUGCCCCAUGGAACCCAUUCUUGUCUCUGCUGUGGUUUCUGUCAUUAUAUUGUGGUACAGCACCAUGAUUUUGCUGAUCAAAUGCAUCAAGCUCCCUUGCUUUCUGCAACAUCAACCUCUCCUCCUCCUCUUCCUUCUCUUGUUUCUGCUGAGUAGCGUGGGCAGCAAGCUUCCUGCCAGAUAAGGAAAAACAUUCUUUUGACCAUUGACCCCAUAAAGAGCAAUUUUUAGCUAACUAUGAACAGAAGAGUUUUUUUUUUUUAACAAAUGCAGUAAAAAGCAACCAAAGGACCUUACUUAAAAGCUUUUUCUGCAUGACGCGAAAGGUAGUUUUUCGCAUUGGAGACUUCCAAUUUAUAGUGCUAAAUUAACAAAUAAAUGUGUUACAGAACAUUAAAAGCACAAAGUAAGACAUUUGAAUCCUACUUUGCUUCAAUAAAAAGGAUGGGGGGGUGUAGUGAAGAUGCUCUCCUUGGCCCUCACAAGCUUUCAAAUCAGUCUCCUAACCUCCUAUCUUUGGGCAAUUACUAACAGAAGCUCUGGAAAAAUAGCUUAUAGCCAAUCAACAAGAGAAUGUACUGACGUGAUCUAAUUGUAAAAUAGGUUACAUGAAUAAAUUGUCUAGCUUAUCAUGAAAUGCAACAAACUCGGGGAUGAUCUAAAACCUCGAAAAAGAAGUUAAUAAGAACAGCGUUCUUCUUCAUGUGAAACUCAUGAUUGUUGUCAUGCUAAAACACAUCGCUAAUGUUUAGGGGAAACGGCCAGUGUAACUUAGAGAAGACAAAUACGAGCACAUACUAACCGAAAGCAUCCUUACAUUUGCAAAUACAAAAGUUUGUUAGAACUUAGAUCUCUAUAAUAACUAGCUUCUCUACUCCCAUUCAGUUCUGUUUCUUCCACUUUCAAUUCUAUCACAAAGACAAAGCAACACAAAAAAAUGGGGGCCAUCAGAAUAGUUUGUAGUGGCCAAUUAAAUUAAAGAGGAAGCUGAGUGAGGUGACACCUCAAAAAUUUUUUGCCACCAAUCAUCAGCCAAUGUUUUUACAUGCACCUCCACCUACAGCCAUUAUGAUCCACCGAAUACCGAGAAUAUCACGUUCUGAAGAUCUUAUGCCUUAGCUGUUGAGAAACAACCCCUCAACCAAGAAAAAACACAAAUUCCAAAUUUUCCUCUUUUACUAAUUGAAUUACAUCCUACUGAUAGUUACAACUUGAAUUAAAGUUAAAGGCACCACCCCAAGAAAUGAUAAUACAAACAAUUAACAAGUCCUUAACAUGAACUCUAAAGAAAGAAAUUGAGCAAAAAUGCCAAUCAAUCACUCAUCGAGUCAAACAUCAAGGCACUGGGCUAAGGGGGUACCUUUGGAUGUCCUUUUUCUGGGCUAAAAGGCAUUCGAGAAUGCAUUCUUUGCAAAAGACAUGACCUUUUUGGCAAGACAUAGGAUUGAUGAAAGGCUUCAAGCAAAGGCAGCAAGCAUCGAAUGGCUUAAUCGAGUCUUUUCCCAACCUCUCCUUUUGAGUCCCGUAUCCUAGCUUCCUCUUCUCAUCAUACGUGAAGAAGGCUAAAUCGUUGUUGUUCUUCGAGUGUCUUUGUGGCAUCUUUGGUUAUUUGACUGGGAAAGGGAAAACCCUAACCCUAAUUAACUUCAAUUGUUAUUGGAUUGGAAGAUCAAGUAAGAGACAGAGAGGGAGAAGUGAAACCCUAGAAAUUACCAGAGUUCGGAUCUUCAGAAAUUGGAUCGACUUUUCUACUCUACUUUUUGAAGAGGAACCGAGAAGACGCUUUUUUCGGUCUGAUAAGUUUAUCCAAACGGUGCGCAUACAGCCUUCUUUUUUCUUUCUUUUUUUUUUUUUUUUUUUAAUUUCUAAAAUACUUUAUUGAAAACAUGGAAGCUAUGGUACAUAGAAAAUGCCAUAUUAAUAAUUAUUUGAUGAAAAUAAAAGACAAUUACAGAAUAAAAUGGUUGGCCAAAGUUAUGUGCAGUAAUUCAUUAUCCAUGACAAAAUAGGUUUUCUUUUAUCGUGUGAAUGAAGUUGAUUGCUUAAUUUAAGCGUUUUCACAAAAAUUCAAAUGAAUAAAAUAACACGUAUCAAAAAGAAAUCCAAUGGACAAAAGUGAAUAAAUCAUGGGUUUUUAAAAUACAAAGACUCUAAAUUUAACGAUUUAUUAAUUUUUUAAAAUAAAAUUAAAUAAAUUUUAUAAUUUAAAAUAUAACUAAAUAACAAUAUAAAUAUAAUAUAAAAAUAAAAUAUAAAAUAAUAUAAUUAAAAAUUUUAACAAUAAUUAUAAAAAACUUUAAUAAAAAACAAUUCAACGGUUCCGUCUUUGUGAAUCUCAUGGUGAACUGAGGAAAAGGAAUUUGGGCUUUUUUUUUUUUGUCAAACGAUUAAACCAAACUCUAUUGUUUGAGUGCAAUUGGUAUUCCCAUUUGCACUAGAAAAGGGUCCCACUGGUUUCCUGGACUCUAAGCAUCGUCAAGGGUGGGGUGGCACCAAAUUUGCCACUUGUUCAAUGUUCAUUUUUGUUAAAAAAAAAAAAAAAACCCUUUGUGCUAACUUGAGUAAACUCUCAGGAGUUUGAAGUACUGUGGUCCAAAUAAUUUGGUAAAUUCAAAUGUUGGAUACCAAAUUAGGAAGGUGAGAAGUGUCGUCAUUAUAGGGAAAUUGGCUUUCUCAUAAUUGGUAGCAUUAUCUUUGCAUUGAUUCCAUCAAAGUGUAUUGGAAAUGGAAAAGGAUAAAGAAAAUGUUGUUGUUAUGGAGAUGUGGUGCUAUCUUCUUUAAAAACUACAUGCAACUUUGGCAAAUCUGAUCAUUACAGUGCAAUUCACCCCUUAAAAAAUUGAUAGCUGAUUGUCUGAGUCCUACAAGGAACAAGUGAUCCUAGGUUGAGGUUGGAAAACAAUCUAAGUUUCUUUAUAAAGAACAAAAUUUAUUAGCUGUUAUUAGCCUCUUUAACAGUGGCAGCUAUGCAUUGGUACAGAAUGUGCUUUCAGCUUCAAUUUAAAACUAAUUUCAACAAGAAAAGAAAGAUUAAAACACAUACAUUUCUGCUUUAAUUAAACACAAACCAAUACAGAUCCAUCAAGACUGGCUGACUUCUAAUUAGAGAAAGUUACCUCGUACUAAAAGAAAAUUAAUUACAGUAAAAAUGCCAUUAACAUCUUGAAGCAGCUUUUGCCAUUUGUAGAUAUCAAGCAUUUUUGUGACUUCUUCAUCCAUCUCCAGCAACCAUACACUUCUGUAAUUCCUUGAGAGAGUCUCGCACUGGUAUUUUCUGGUCUUUCAGUGACCAGAAGGCAUCUAAAGAAGCUGAUUCAUUUGACAAAUUCAUGAUGUUGUGGAGAAUAUGAGCAGUCUGGACGAUCCUGCUUCAAAACAGAAAUUGAGAAACGUCUAAAGAUCAGGUUCUGGCUUAAAUGAAUGAAAGAUUCCAGGACUAAUCAGGAUUAUUAAAGUGAAAUUAAGAGAGAAGGAUUAUCUUACUCGAGAAGCGGGCUCUGCAGUCUCACGCAUGCGCUUAAAUGAAUGUACUGUUCUUGAUUGAGAAGCAGUUUCUUGGGUGCUGCCAAACCUGGUGGAACAUUCUUCACUUGUUGAAGAACUGGAAACUGGUGGCAUAGAUGACCAUGGAACCACUUGAUUUUCUUCAUCACCACCACUGUCUCCAUCAUCAUCUUCGCUACUGUCAUCUUCCUCAUCAAGAUCACCAUCUUCAUCUUUUUCAUCGCUUGUUUCUUCAUUUCUUAUCUCCUCUCUACAAGCAUUUCUAUUCACACAAUUUUCGCAAACAGAAACAGUCGGGCCAAGCUUUGGUCCGGAGCCAUUCCAGGGCGUAGGAGAUUGACAGAGGUGGCAAAGAAGAGUUCUUAAAUGCUUCGCAACCAGAAAAUUGGCCCCAUGUACACUGAAGUCACAAUCCCAGCACAAGAUGGCUUGAUCUGAUUCACAACAUAUCUUUGCCAGAGAGUUGCAGAGCUCACACUUUUUCAUUUUUUUUUUCUUCUUGUUUUAAGAGAAUUGCCUUCAAGCUUGAAUUUUCAUGUGCGUGACUGAGUUUUAUGCCUAAAUGUUUUGUUUUUAUUUCUGUUUACCCCACCCUAGUGUUUUUAAAUACAUAACACAUGCUCAAGGCAACUUGUCAAAAUGUUUAUUAAAUGUAUAAAUGCCCUUUCUGCUUUCUUUUUCCUUUUCUUAAAUUUAUUAAUUUUAUAUUUUGAUAAAUCUCACAUCUUUUUCAGAUUUGGGAAAUCUUCCUUUGGAAUUGAAAGUAACGCACCAAUAACCUAGAAAGAACUAUGGCUGUUUUUGUUUUGAAAUUUCACAUUGGCAGUAAAGAAUAUUAACAGUACCAAAUUGAUUGACUUUAAAAAAUUUUGGUAAAUGAGAAGCAAUGAAUUGUUUACCAGAAAAACAAAAUGAAUCAACAGAAAACAAAGGGGGGCAAAUUUGCAUUGAAAUUUCUUAGGUGGGAUUUUGGUCAUCUAUUGGACAUUCAGUACCCACCCAGAUCUUGCCACAUCAUGUUCUAUUCAAUAUUCAAUUCAUAAUACUAGUCCUAAGUUUUGGGGUCCAGGCGUCCAGCUCUGAACCUAAAUAUAAUUCGUUUAUUUUGUUGCUGCAAGCGUAAUCUACUUCUUUGCCAUUAAGUGAACUAAUGUUGAUCAUGAAUGAUAAGCCAUUACUCUUUGUGGACCUUUGUGUCAAUUUCAAUACUCCUCUGUCGGGCUCCGCUUGUUACAGUACUCGCAUAAGACACCUGUCUGAAUCCCAGUGAACUAUCUAUUUCUGUGGACAUCAUGGUAGUGUUUACUACAUUUCCUUCUAAGGUGAGUAAUUGGUUGCGCUGGUUUCAGACGGCGACGUUUCUAACGAGAAUUUUUUAAAAAGAAACGUGUUUGACAAUAAUUAAUAUGAAAUAAAUUAUAUGUAAGAUUUAUAGUGAUUCGAUUUUAAUUAUUUAUAUUUAUGAAUAAAAAAAUUAUUAUAAAUAUAGAAAUUAUAAAAAAAUAAAUAUUAAUUAUGAGCCUAAAAUAAUAUUAAUUUCCACGUUUUCUACCAUUUAACUUAUAAAAUUUCUUUUAGUGUUAAAAUUAUAAAAUAUCUUUUAUCUCAUAUAAUCCGAUGCUUUUUUCAACUCUUUUUCAUACCGUACAAAUUUAUUUUUCAUGUAGAGUCACAUAAUAAUUAUAAAUUUUUUAUAAUUAUAUUUACUUAAAAUUUUUGUUUAUUAAAAAAAUUAUCUAUAAAUAAACUUAAUUAUCAAAUAAUUAUCUAAUUCAUUAAAUUUCACUAAAAUUCAAAUUAAUUUUUAUUUUAAAUUUAAAUUAAUAUCUAAUAAAUCUCUAAUUUAAUACAAAUUCUAUCAAAAUAUUGGUUUUCAAGAAACCUACUGCACUUUUUCGAAUCAAUGUUAACUCCACCUGCAAUUGACGCUUAUUAUAGCACAUCUUUUCUUACAUCUUUUUUAUUUUACUAACACAAUUUACAAUAACAAUUUCCUUCCACAACUGAUAUAGGAUAAUUUCAACAAUCUUUCCCUUUACUUAUUGGGCUGUGGGGAGAGUUUCUAUAUUUGAGCCUCGAAGGGAUGUUGACAACUUGACUUUGAUACAAUAUGUUGAAGUUUUUCAAGUAAAUUUACAAUAAGAUAAAUAUAAAAUAAAUUAAUCACAUAUACAAAAGGUAAUAAUUAAUGUGCUUCAAUCAUAAUUAUUUAUAUUCAUGGAUGAAAAAAAAAUAAUUAUAAACAUAAAUAUUAUAAAGAAUAUAAAAUAUAAAAAAUACUAAUAGCAAGUCUCUAAAAUAAUUUUAAUUUUUACGUUCUCUCGUGUUUAAUCAAGAAAUAUCUUUUAUCCAAUGUAAUUUUGUGCUUUCUCUAACUUUUUUUUACAUUCCUAUUAAUUUGUUUCUUAGAUAAAGAUUAUUUAGCAAUUAUAACUUUUUUUCGUAAUUUUAAAAUUUAACAUGCAUUUUAUAUUUAUAAAGUUCUAUUUCAUGAUCAUCAAAUUUUUUAUUUACUUAAAACUUUUAUCCAUUAAAAAUAUUUAUAUUUAAAUAAUUUAAUUUAAUCAAUAAAAUUUUACCGAAAUCUAAAUCGACUUUCAUUAAAAAUUUGAAUCAAUAUCUAACCAUUUCUUCCAAUUACAUCUGCCGAGCGACGAAGUUUAUGUUACCGGAGUCAGGUUUGACAUAUUGUCUGGCUAAUUAGUGUCCAGUCAAGAGAGUGGUGGUUGUCUAGUCCAUUAUUGGCGCAAAUUAGGCCCUGAUAAAUAUAAACCUUAUCGGGAAUCAUCAAUUAUCUAGUAAUUAAACCUUCUAUCUCUUCUCUUACCAAACUUUCACACACCACUGUGUAAAUUUUUUAUCGAUUUAAGCUUUUAGUUUGAGGUUUCAGGUGGCUAGUCAUUUGACAGAGUCUGAUCUAAUGUUUUUAAUGAGAUUGAAAAAUGUGUGUCUGAUUUUAUCUCAUCACCUUUAAAAUCUAAGCUUCCUAUUUGGACCAGCCUGAAUUGAUUUUUACUAAAUGUUUUGUCAUUUAAAACAGUAACUGGGCGUGGACAAUGUGGAUUUUCACACCUAAGUUAAACUACAUCUUCCAUAGCUUAUGUUUCCAAUAUUCUCGUGGUAGAAGAACACAACAUGAAUCCUCGUGCCUGAUCGAAAUGCAACAUGAUGAAUAUGAUUGUGGCCUUGUUAGCAGUUACCACAAGAUAUAAAUGAAUAAAUCUUUUUCACCCAAGGCCAAAAUUGAACGAGGAAAAGAAAUUUGUGGUUUAGAUUGAGAGGAGAAAAAUAUUCAUGUUGCCUUUGAGCCCGUGAGGAUCAGCUUGUCAUCUUUUUGAUACUCGACAUGGUGGUGGACCUGUUGUGGUGCUUCAUAUUCUGUAAGCUUGAUGUUGUCGGUCGUGCAAUGAUGUAAUACUGUAUUGCAUUGCUUUUUAUAAAUGUGGACAAGGUUAAACUUUCCUCAUCCGGUGGCUGAGAAAUUUGUUUUCUCUUCCUCUUGAGCCUGAAAUUGAGACAUGCAAAACUUAAAGCAUCUCUUUAUUAAAGAUGUGAAAUAUGGAGGGGGGACAUUUUACCACUCCGCCAAUUAACUAUCGAAAACAAAGAAAAAGGGUCCUGAAGGGCAACAGGGCAAGAUUCUGAAGAUAAUCUACUGGACAUGAGAUUCAUACCUGCAAUUAUGUCCAAUUAAGAUAUUAAGAAUCUAAUGCAUGGCCCAUGUGGGCAUCAGUUCAAGAAUCUAGUCUUAAAGAGGAAAACUAAAAAUUUUUAAGAAAAAAAACUGAAACCCAUGUCUUUUUUCUUUCAUUAAUAGAAAUGAUUAGUUUUUAAUUUAGAUUUUAUGGUUUUUUGGGCCAUAGUAUUGGCCUCUUCAAUGGUAUGAAUCCUGAUAGAGUUGAUAUUUUGAAGAGUCUAGCCAAGUAGCCUAUAUUGAUAGUCUCAACACCUAGCCCAUUGUGUUUUCAGAUUGCACUCUUUAGCAGUUAGCUAGGCAAAGCCCAGAAAAUCUGAACCUGGCCUUUCUAUUUCUUUUUUUUUUUAAUUAGCAGGUGUUUGAGAGCUCUGACUUCCGAUCCUAUGGUAAACAGGAAUCUAGAGUCUGAUUUUUGCCCAGAAGCGUAUGGAAAAGAUGUCUUGUCUGUUGUUUGUUUCUUCUUUUGUCCAUUUAUAGUUCCUCUUUCCUCUUUGUCUUUUUGCAAACCUUUGUUUUUUCCUCUGUCCUUUGCAGAACUUUUUUUUUCGGUAAAAACAUAGAAGAAACUGAAAUUCUAAAACAACUCAACCAAUUUUAGUAUUAAUAAAUAAGUAAAACCAAUGGAAAGAAUGCCAUAGUCAACCAGUUCGCAUCAAUUUCUUCACUAAUUUGUUGCCUUUACAAGAACACAAUCUCUGAUUUGGCAAGCCAAAGAUUUUGAAGAUUUAUUUUCUCAAAUUUAAAUUCGUUUGCCCUUCUUUAUUUGUUAGUGGGAUAUAUAAUCUCUUAAUCGUAUCAGGGAAAAGAAAUUACUGAAAUGGAAAAAAAAUUGAGAGGGAAGCUAAAUUUUUUCCCGAUAUUGAUCACAGACUGCCCUAGAACAACAGCACCACCUACAAUAUAUUUUUUUGGCUAAAUGCAAACAAAUUAAGGAUUACAUUUCGUUAACCAAAGCUUCUACCAACAAUUUUCUUGAGCUUUUCAUCAAAGCAGGACUCAACCUGAACAUUAAAGUACAAAAUUCCAUCUCAUCCAAAGCACCAUCUCCAUUCAAAUCCCCUUCUCUCAACAUGCAAACCACUUCUUCAUCGCUCAUAUCUUGCAAUCCAAGCAAAACCAAGUUCCUCUUCAAGCUCUCAAAAGUGAUAAUUCCUUUGUCUCCAUCCAUCAACAACCGAAACCCAUUGCACAGCUCCUUCAUGAACCCUUCAGCACCUAAUUUCUCCAUCAUAGCAGGGAAAAAAUCCUCGAACACAAUCCCAUUUUGUGCUGCCAUUGUGAGGAAUUUCAAAUGGAAUAUUGUGGGAAUUGAAUAGAGAAAGGCUGACUAGAUAUGGGGUAUUUAUAAUUAUACAUAGUGUGUAACAUGGAAUAUAAUCUUAGGAGGAAAGGAAACGGAAAUGUUGGUGGAAAGGAUUGUCGAUGACAACGAAUGUACAGGUAAGAGGAAGUUGUUUG
rnacentral:lncRNA from 1 species